rnacentral:lncRNA from 1 species
CUUAUCAAAAAACAUAGUUUUCCAUUCAAUGCCCAUUUCUUCAGGCUUCUUAAAGUGCUUAUGAUUGGUGGAGGUUCUUCCAAAAUCACACAACUUCCAUAAUCCAUUAGGGCCCAAUAGAAGAUUCUCAGCAUUUAUAUAAGAACUUCAGGGUUUAUACAUAUGAUCAUGUUACAGUAUAAAUCAUAGUGAACUGGUGGAAUUUGAUCAUUAGCCAACCUCAUCAAAAACUGUUUCACAGUUGAGGGGAUUGUUAACCUUGCCAUGGGCCAAGCAGCAAUUUCUGAAGAAGCUGGGUGACAAAGAGUACCAUCAUUUGGACUAGUUUCAAUGGAAAUUCCUCUGUUUCUAUACAUGAUAUCUUCAGCUUCAGCUUUUCCUUUUGCUUUGACAUGGCUGAAACUGAUCCUGAAAUCAAAAAUCCCAUGCAAGUAGAUAUUUAACAGAAGAGGAUCCGAAUCUCUUCAAUUGAUUAAUGUAUAAAUGAAAUAAUCAAAAUUUUUAGAGAUAAUUAUAGGGAGAUGAACCUUGUACCUCUGAGUUUCUUAGUCUUCUUGAACAGAGCAAUGAGCAUCAAGUGUUGAGCACCCAGGAAUCUCCCUUCCUCACAGGGAAAAUCUGAACAAUCUAUCUUUCUUCAUAUUCCACUUCCUUGCAAAAGUCAUAACAUGAAGAAAAUGUCAUCAAAAUUGAGACAAAAAUAAGUGCAUCAACUGUCUCAAGAAGAGAUUUAUGCCUAUUGCUUACCUUUUGCAGAAGUCCACUUGGUUAGAGCACAUUUUACAUGGACGCCCAAUCACUGCAAGCUGCUGAACCAAAGGAGAGUUCAAACAUCUAAAAAAUUUGACUAACUCAAGUAUCAUAAAAUACUUCACAUGAAUUCCAAAUGAUCUCAUAUCUAAAAAACAUUGACAUAAAAUUAUUGUUGUUUACCUUACAUGUUUCUUCCAUGGUCAUAAUCGAAACUUUGUUUAUCAUAAGAAAUCUUCUAUGCUCAUCCUGAUUACUUACAAUGAACAUUGAAAUGAAAAGACAAAAAACACAAAAAAUGACGAUUAGUUUGGUUUGAUAAUUUUUUAAAAUUAGAAAUUAUAAAACUAUUUUGGUUCUCAGAUUUAUCGGAAAAUUGAGGGAAAAACAAAAAUCUAAGAGAAAUUUAUUUAACACUUAUGAGGAACCAAAAAUGUUUUAGAUGUUGUCCAAUCGAUAAUUUAAACGUGUUUAAUUUCAAUUAAAUGAGUUUAAUCAAACACAUGAAAUUGUGAAUAAAAUUAUUUAAAAGCAUUGAAAUUCAAGUCAAUAAAGUUGUACAUAAAAUUUGAUAUAUUGAAGCAAGAAAAAAACAAAGCAAUUUGAAUGACUUGCUAAUAAAGCAACUAACUAGAAUAUGCCCUACAGUUGUUCUGUGCCCUGUAUAUAAGAAAUUUAAAAAAAACAUUCCUAGAAAAAAAACAAACAAAAUAUCCAUGGUUCUUACGUUAUUUUUUUCUUAAUUUUUCAAUAGUUAUAAAUGGUUCAUUUAAUUCUUGCAAACCACCAAAUCAAAACAGAGCAUGAAAAUGUGUUCAAUAUUUGUUUCAGGCUUGAAGCUUCAAGAAAAAGAAAACCUUAAAUCAAAUAAACAGGACUAGCGAAUGAAUUGGAACUUGAAAGAAAAGUUCAAGCGCAAAAGAAUUACUUGACUCUAUAUUGGCGGAGUGGCACUUUGAUUAAUAUAGCACAUUAUUGAUCAAUAUUCUUGGAAUGUGAGCUAUAUAACGCCAUUCUUCCCCUUUCUCAAAUCCACCGUUUUUCCCCUUUCUCAAAUCGAUGAAAAGGUAGCAUAUAUUUUUCAUUUCCUAAUUAUAUCAACUACUUCAUGGUGCCUUUGUCUGAUAAGCUUAAUAGUUCUUCUACAUUUCCACCAUCUAAUUCUCUAACGUUCAUCAUGAUAGGGUUGUAAAUUUCAUCAUCAAAUCAAAACAUAUCCUCCUAUAAGAGGCCUUUGAAUUAUGAAAUAAUCAAUUCACUUGAUUCUCAUAUUGGCAAAGACAAGCUUACACUAUUGGAAAGACUACCCCUCACCUUUGCCUUCCCAAAUAGCAAAGAUGAGAGAGAACCUUUCACAAAAUCACAAGAAUUAUUCAAGUUUGGAAUUCAUAGGCAUUGUUAUUGAAUUUCAGUUGUAUAAAAUUGGUGUGUUGUGUUUAUUUUGUUGGUAUUAAAAUUGAAUUUUUUUAAUUGCAAAUUGAUGAUUUUUUCUCUCUCUCACAUUUAUACCCAUUAGAGUUUCUUAUUAGGGUUUGUGUUUGAAAUUUGGAGAAAGUAUGGUGCAAUUGUUCACCGGUGUGGUGUACCAUCUUGUUUGUUGUAUUUGAUCUUUGGGUAUUUGAUUUAAUUUUGUUGUUGUGAAAUUGAAAGUUGAAAUCCAAGUUAAUUGUUUAACUAGCUAUUUGUAGUUGACUUGUUUGCACCGAUCUUGAUUAUCCAUUUCAUGGGAAUAAUUGAUUCCAAUUUUCCUUCAUGGUUACUGAAAAUAUAUUGUGGGUGAAGGACUAUUAUGGAGUAUAUUUAAUUUACAAGAUUGAAUAUUGAACAAAGAUAUGCCCUAGGUCUAGCUUAUAUGGAAUAGCAUAUCUUACAUUUAUUUAAUUAAAUAUACUAUACAAAUUUUGGUUAUAUAUAAUAUCUAUGUUACAAAUUUGGAUAAUUCGAAGUCUAAGUGACUUCAUAUAAUUAUUGUUACAUCUUAAAAAUGAUUUCACAAAUUAGAAUUACAAUGACUCCUACACACCUUAGAUUCUAACUCAAAUUCUCACUUGAUUUUAUUUUAUUUUUAUUUUUAUUUUUUUGUUUUCAAUCAAUUAAUAAUAUGUUAUGGGCUAGUUUAGCUUAUAGUUGAGAAGAAUUUUAUCUAAGAGCACCUCAAUUUGAAGCAAAUUGAAGAAAAAAAAUGACUUAUUAUACCUUAUGAAAGAUAAUAUUAUUAAUUUCCAUGUUUUUUUUUCAAAUAACCUUUUCAUGACAUGAACUUAUAUGGAACAUUGUUGUAUUAAUUGAUUAGGAAAUCACUAAGCCUAAGGAAGUGAGAAAAUUUAAAAGGGAAGGAAUGUCACCAUUGCAUUUUAGCACAAAGAAAGAUGAUCUCUAGCUAUGACGAAAAUUCAAGAAAUGAACAACUUCCAUUAAAGAUGAAGGCACAAUUGGGUGACAUUUAAAAAAAAAUAACAAAGGAAGUUAUUGUUUUAGCUAGGGAUAUGUUUUUUUUUUUUUCAGACUUCUUGUGUUACUCAUAUAUACAAUAUGCAAUGUGAUUUCUCUUUUAUAUUAUAAAUUUAUUACUCUUAGCACUUCAUUUAUGGGAUAGAUAAAUAAAAAUUACUUUAAUUUUAUUUAAUUAUUGGAUAGUUGUUGGAUGGAUAAAUGAUUGUUAUUUUCUUUAUAUUUGAGUUAUUUCAAUAUCAAAUGCCAAUUAAAAUAAAAGAGCAAUAGGUGAAGCUAAUUUUAGAUUGUCACAAUCCUUGGCACUUCCACUAAGUGUCAAGGUUUAGAGCAAUCAACAAUGGAAAAGGUGAACAAUGAUACUUCCAAAAGACGUCAAGGUUAUUUCAUCUUGAACAAUAACAGUUUUUGUAAGUGUCAUUAUUUACAAAAUCAACAAUAACAUUGGCAAAUUGGUACACCUCAAUGCUUCUAAAAAACAUCAUUAUUUGUUCCAUAUUUACAAUGACGCUAUUAAAAGUGUCAACAUCGCUAAACACUCUUUACAAUGACACUCGAUUUCAUGGCGCUUUUAAGAAGUGUAAUGUUUGUAGAAACUUAUUAUUGAUCACCGACUUUUUGCAACCAUACAACACUACAUAACCUUAAUACCUAUUGUUCAUUAUGAUGUUGUAAGAACAUAUGCCUCUAUGUGACCUAUUAAAUAAACUGGUCUUAUCAACUGAAAAAUGUUCCUCUAGUUAGUAAAAACUUCAUUCAUGUGGUCAUUUAUGAGCAUCAUAAUAAUCCAUAUUAAAAAUAUUUAAAAACAUUAAUGCACUAAAACAUUGAUUUCAUCAACAAAAUUACACUCAUUCUUUUGACUUAUAGCAUUCAAAGAUGUUUAAAAAUAUAUAUGUACAAUAAAACAUCAUCAAAUUUAUUAACAAUUAAACUUUUAACCCCAAAACAAUCCGCUACUUUAGUAGAUAAGACACUAUUUGGAAUAACAUUAUUUUUAGCUCAAGUUAGAAGUUAAAAUGAUAAGGUUAAAAGAAUAAAACCAACAAAAAAAGAAGAAGUUAUUUUUUGUCAAACUUGACACUAGUUCAAGUUAGAUAAUGUAGCUCAACGCCCUAUUGAAUUGAGUCAUAUAACUAGACUCCCUAAUUAUAUAUUAUGAUACACACACAACCUUUGGUCUAGUAUACAUGAUUAAAUUAAAUGCCCAACCUAGUUUGCAAAGCUAAACUAGAAUCCCAAAUCUAGUUCAUUAUAAAUGCUCUUCAACCAACUUGCUAUAGCAUUCAAAUAAGACAAUGACAAUGAUAAAAAACCAAAAAAAAUACCUAAUAUAUCAUUGAAAACUCCUUCCUAAAGGAGGUAAAAAAAAAAUCAUGAAGUAACUUUCUUCUAUUAAUAAAAAAAUGGGAAUACAGUGAUCUAUAUAGUGUUUUAACUCGAAACUUAUGGUAUUACAAAUAUUAAAGAAGCGAUUUAAAACACACACACACACAACAAGCAUGUUGUCAAGCUUAUAAAAGUUGGAGAAAUCUCUACAUAUAAGUCUUCAAAACAUGAUGGAGAGUAACCUUGACAUUUAAGUCAACAAUAUACAAGGAAAGGCAACCCAAAAAGAUACAACUUUGAGAACAAACCCUUCUUUUUGCUUUUUUACAUAACCCCUUUUUUUUUUUUCUUUUUGAAAACUUCUCUCAUUUCCUCUAAUUGUUACACUACACAACAAUCCUAAAAAAACAGAGUUUAAAGGUCUGUUUGAUAAUUGUUUUUAAAAAUAAUUUUGAAAAAUAGUUUUUGAAAAUUAUUCUUUAAUGUUUAAUUUGUAGAACAAAAGUUUGUUUGGAAACCCUAAAUAUUUUUAACAUGUUUUUAAUGUUGUUAAAUAUGUUUUAAAUUUUUUUUUUUUAAUGUCUAGUAUUUUAUUUUUAAUCAUUCUACAUGUUUAUAUAAUUAUUUUUUAAGACAACCCUUAAAAAAUAAGUAAAAAUAACAUAAAACAGUUAAAAGAUGUUAUCUAAAAACACCUUAUUUUAUUAUAGCAGAAAAUAAAAAAUGGUUUUUGGUUGUCAAACAUGUUUUCUUAGUUUUUUUAUUCUGAAGAAUAAAAAAUUGUUCUUGAAAACAGUUGUCAAACAAGAAUCUUUUCAUGUUAGUCUAAGUAUCACAUUAGUUAUUGCUUAAAAACUAGUCUUUCAACUAAAAAAGAAGGUCCACUACUUAUGGGUCAAACCUUCAACUUUCAAACCUCAACACAGUUAUAGUCAAGACUAAUAUUCACAUAUUAGUAUUAAUAUAGUUCAUUAAAUAUGAAAUUUCUAUAGAAGCCAAAAUCAAGUUUUUAGGGGAAGUAACAUUCACUUUCAUAAUAAGCACUUUUUAACUCAUAAGUUAGUACUUGCAACAAGAUUUCUUAAUAGAGACUUUAAUUGAGUUUUAAGAAGAAUUUUUUGUUUGUCAAAAACCAAUUCAAACAAAAUCUAAAACUAAUAUUAUUAUCUAAAAGACAUAAUGAACAACAUAAACCAUAAACUAAAGUGGUAGUGACAACCAAUACGUAGCGUUAAUGAAUAAUUGAAAAUAGCCUCAUUUUCUAAUGACCUCAAACCUAGAAGCUCUAAAAUCCUUGCCUAAUUCUUUGUGAUGACUUUAGUUCAACCUUAUUGGCGAGGGCAAAAUUCUAAAUAAUUUUUGUCACAACUCAUAAAUUUAGAAGAAAAAAUGAAAAUAAAUGGAAUCCCUAAUGAGAAAUUGUUAUUUUUCCCCUUUAUGACAAAAAUAGUAACCAACUAGUAUUAUUAAAUAACAUGGAAAUUGUUUUUUCAACUUUAAUACCAUGUAUGACAUAACUUUAAUAACCUUAAUUUAUAAGAUUAUUUAAUUUAAAAGGAUAAAACAAUUACAUAUUCAUAAGAAUCACUUCUAUUUUUUAAAAACAAUAAAUUCCAUUUUUUGGACAAAAAUACGCUCCAUUGUUUUUAUCAACAUUUCAUAAUCAAACAAUUAUUGGAAAAAAAAAAAAAAAGGUAUAAGGGUAGCUAUAUUAAAAUGAGGUUAUAAUUAUAAUACUCAAUAAGUGGAGAUUGUUUUUCCUAAUAUUGGGAUCAUCUUGUCCAUUUGACAUAAAAAAAUUUAAUUUAUAUUAUAAUUACUCUUAUAGUAAGAGAGAGAGUAAUUUCACAUGAAAUGGACCCAUAAACAUAGGUUUAUUAUGAGGCAUGAUACUAUAAUAAUAAUAGGAAAUAAGACGAGUGCUACCAUAAUAAUAGAAAAUAAGAUAAGUAAUUCAAUACUUAAUAAAGGUCUAAAACAAUUAUGCUCUCAUUAAAUGAUAUUAAUGAUGGAAAAAAACUAAGGGGUGUUUAACAAAAUUUAAUAUUUAUUACUUCAUGAUUUAAGUUGACUAUAAGUUAAAUUAUAAUUAAGUUGUUAAUUUAAAACUUAUUAAUUUUUAUUUUAAAUAUUAAGACUACUUAAUAAAAUUAAUUUAUAAUUUAUUAAGACUGUUUGAUAAAAUUAAAUUAAAAUUUAUUCUAAAUUAUCAAAUUGAUAUAUUUAUUUUCAUAAAUUAGAACUAAGGCAAAGGAGAUCAAGUAACAAUGAAUGUCGUGGAGUAGUAAAAAAGAUCCUAGAGGUAACGGGAUAAAUUAUGGUAAAAAAUGUCAAAUAAAAAUAUGAAUUUAAGAAUAAAUUAAUUGUUUGUACUUAUUACUUAAAGUUGUUUUUUAUUUUAUAUCAUUAAGUUAUUUUAUUAAACAUGUUUAAUUUAUUUAAUGACUUAAAUUAAGUUAUUAAGUCACUUUAGGCUAUAUAAUCGGUUUACCAAUCAUAUGGAGUACAUUUGGCUAGUAGGCCUGGAGUCAAGAAUAUUGCUAUCAUAUGUUUUAUGUAUUAAGGUGCCAAGAAUAAUUGACCACAAAAUAUAUGAUUGAUAAGUAUAGGAUACAAUCUAAAAAAUGCACUUGAUUUCAUCAUCUAAAUAAAUGCUCUCGGCAAAUGGAUCAUCCUAGCUGAAACCAGAGCACAAGCCGCCAUGGACAGGAGGCAACGGAGAAACCCUUCUGCUUCUUCUUCUGCCUUUUCAUCUCCAGCUUCAUCCUCAUCGCGUUUCCGCUCAGAGAAAUUCUCCUCGAAUCCCCCAAAAACUAGUAACUCCCUGGAGGAUGCUCACCAAUUGAAAAGCAAAUGUGGGAAGCCACAAAGACCAGAGCAAGAGGAGGAAGAAAAGCAAGAUCCGAGCAAUCUUCUCUCCUUAGUUGGAACUUGCCCCUUCAUGUGCCCUGGUAAAAAUGCGUGCUUAUUUUUCCAUUUUUUUAAAUUCUAUUUUCCUGUUAUUCUGUGUUUGGUUUCCGAGAAAUUGGAGGAAAACAGUAGAAAAGAGAAGUGAAUCUGGAGUUUGUGUCAUUUUUGUGGCUUUUACAUAAAUUUUACAAAUAAAAUUGAUAUUUCCCCCCCUUUAUUAGAUACCAAUCUGCAGAAGAUGUAGGAAUCCCAAAAAAAAAUUCGCUUUUGCCUUUACUUCCCCCAAAUCUUUCAUAAUGGAAAAUGGACUUACCACCUCUUUUAUCACUUUUCCUUUACCAUGUCAGGUUUACAUGUAAUCAAACACUGUAUUUGGAGUAGAGCACUUAUCCUAAUGUCAAAUGGUGUUGAAAACUUGAAUUACUGGAUCUUAAGACUCCAGAAGAAAUUUAAUUGUUUAUGAUUAUUGCUCCAUGAGAAGGGAAAGGGAUUUCUUUUGUUUUUGCUUACAUAUAUGGCCAAAUUGAUCUAUCUCCUUCUCAUACGAACAAAAUAAGGACAUUUCUUGUCUUGCUGCCUUUUAUGCCACCGGUUCCACAUGCUGAUGUGACAACCCUUGUGCUAUUCUGUACAAAUGGUAGGAAAAUUCUGGUAAGACUGGUGGCCAGCCUAUCAUGUUCAGAGAAUAAAUUCAUUGUAUAUCUGGAAUUCACUCUAUAUCAGCAUAGGGUGUUGAUAUUGAUUAUAAAUGACUAAAUUCAAUUUAUUAUCCUUACAUUAGGGAGUGCUAAAAGGAUGCAAAUUGUUCGUGUUAUACCCAAAGACAUACAAGUGAUGCUAGAGAUUUUCACAAUGUAGAUAAUCAUAGAGUAGAGAUGAACACUAUGGAGUCCUUUGGCAUGUGUUCAUUCCAUGUAUGGGAACAUGCAUUGGAAGAUUAUGUUUCCUCCUCCCUCCCCUCCCCUCCCCAAAGUUAAUACUAUGUUGUCAUGGCAAGAACUUUGGUGACAUGCUUCUGAGUGGAAUAGCCUCCUAGAAGUCCAUUUAUGUGGCAAUUGGCAAAUUCUUCCAGUCAAUGAGAACUUUGUGACUGUCUGAUUGUUGUACUAAUCAUCAUCAGAUUUUUUUUAAGUUCAAGUUGCAAAUAGCCUUUCACAGUUGAAGGUAGCAAUGAAGAGGCCUGUUGACAUAAUUAUUUCUUCUGCUUGAAUGGAUUAAAAUCAGAUACCACACCUUCAGCCUAGAAAACUAUGGACUUUCCUAUGUACCUGCAAUUGGCUGAAUACUGGUGUGACACUGAGCAAAGGCUCUCUGAUGCUGUUAUUAAUUUCCCGAGCAAAUAAGAGAAAACAGAGAGGUCAUAAUGUGAAUCAGUUACCUGUUGAGUAGGGAUGAAGGCUUUUUAUAUUUUUUUACUUUCUGGUUAGGCCUUGGAAGCACUUCUGUGAACCAUGAUUUUGUACUGUAAAAUUAGAUGGGAUGGAUAGGUCACCUUAACUCUACUUUUGGAAGUGAUUCGGGAGUGCAUGACCGUAUGAAUAUUGAUGUAUUCUCCCCAUACAGAGCCCAACUUCUUUUUGAACUAGGAAGCAUGAAGGGUGGGUGGAUGUGGGCUGAGGAAGGAAGAUUUGAAUUGUGUGCUGCAGGCCUGCAGUACCAAUUUGUUCCAGAACUUGAUAAGGCCCAUAAACUGGUAGGCAAGUUUCAUUAUUUGGUCACCACUGAAUUUCGGCAGUAUGGCCACAAGGAAGGUAGGAAGGAGAGGGAGAAGAGAAAACCCCAAUUGCCAAUUGCAAUCUUCCAGUUGGCACAGUGCUCAUUUGCUGACAUUUCCAUUUGAUUUUGACCUUGCAACAGAUACAGCUUAACGUGAUGGACCAGUUUUUCGCAAUCUUGUGAUUCAUUACCCAACUUCUAGUAACAGUUUCUCAGCAGAUGACUCACCCAUGACAGGCUGAUGAUGUCUGCACACAACUUGAAAGGUAUAUAUGCCAAGGUGUGAAAGGUAAUAUUGUGACACCGUUUUUCCUAUUCCAGAAAAUGUACCAAAUGUAUGGCUGGUUCUUGACCAAAAAAUGCUGGCAUUGGUCACCAAGUGCUAGAGUGAUUCUUGACAAAAAAUGUUUGUAUUGUUCAGAACAAUGAUUUACAACUUCAGAUUGGCCAUCCAGUUAACGAUGAUAAGCACUUGUUUUACAAAGUUCAGUGUCAUAAAAGCAAAAUAAUUUUGUCAACAAAUAUGGGGAUAACUUUAUCAUAAUUACUACUUAUGGAAGUUAAGGAUAAGUUGGGUAAUGUGAGAAAGCUUUGGUCAGAGGAUAUGAGGAUAACUUUGUUGCAAUUGCUAAGCUGCACGUCCUAGGACUACUAGGAGAAAAGUAUGAGCAACAGAAUGAAUUUACAGUCCAUCCCCACUAGCUGCAUGGAGAGGUUGGCCUUAUUGCUGCUAUGGUGGAGGUCACCUUCUUGUAGACUUUGAAAUGUGCAAAUGAAGAGGCAGAUUUCUUAGAAGAAUGGGUAGGAUUCAGCUUGUGGUAGAUAUUGAGCUUAUCGCCUCUAAUUUCAUGUCUUCUCAAUGUGGAUUUGAGGUUUAACGAGAUUUUUGGGAAAUCAUUAAGAUUAAAAGUAAUCGAAGACUUCCACAUUAAUGAGGUAAUGAAUAACCACUGAUACUUCUUCACCCCAAAGUUCCUUCACAAAAAUUUGGUGAGUGAAGAACUAUUACUGAGUUGUGAAGCACCAAUUCCAGCUUCAUUAUCUUGAUCUUCAGAAAGAGGGGUCCAACUUGAUUUGGGAUUUUAUACCUGUCAACCCAGUCACUAGUUUUUAGGAGAAUACUUCCAAUUUACCCUUGGGUUGCUUUAGGAAGUUUCUUAAUAGUGCCAUCUCUCUAGCUUAAGGGGCUUUUGUUAAUGGAAGGCAAAUUCUAGAUGUGGUUAUCAUUAGUAAUGAAAUCCUAGAUAAAAAAUUCUGUUCUAAGGACAAAGGGAUGGUUUUUAAAAUAGGUUUUGGGGAAGUUUAUGAUCACAUAGAUUGGGGUUUCAUGUAUGAUACAUACUUUGAAUAGGGAAGGCCCUUGAACCUGGAUGGCACAAAGGGACUGGAUAUUUUGAGGCUGUUUUUCAAACUGCAGACUCUUUAAUGGUUAUUGAAGCUGAGUGAUUAGCACUCGAGGAAGAUUCGGACAUGGUUGUUUGCCUGGAUGUAAUGAACCUCCUUAUUGAAGGGGAUUCCUUUGUUAUUGUCUUAGAACCCUCUUUGAAGGCAAAGGUCCUUAGUGGAUUGCUCAUCAGAUGGGGUGGCUUCAUAAUCAUGCUAGAGACAUUGCUUGUUCUUCUCUAUUGAGGCCCAGAUCAGCUAGCCAGGUGCAUGGCUAUAUUUUUCUUAUAGGGAUGCUAAUAUCUGAAAAUUUUUAUUGAGAACACUUACUGCUCUUUGAUUGGCUUGAGGCAUGGAGCGGCUUUUCUGUUCUCUUCUUGCCAUACAUGCAUAUCAUCCCUCUUUUUUUUAUCUUGUUUAACUCAAUAAAUUCUCAUUUGUUAUAAGGAAAAAAAGAGAUAUUAUGUUACAUGAUGGAAGGACUUUAUUCUGUUAUGGAGUAUGCAAAACCUAGAUCUAUUAGCUAGAGCUAUACAGUAGGCUGUUGGGUUGUUCAGUAUUGUCUCUUUUUUCGAUAGGUUUGGCCAAUGCCCCUUGAUGUUACUUUUUGGUAAUGUAAUUUUCUUUGAUUUUUCUUGAAACUUCCUCAUUUUUCAAGCUUGCUUGUAUAUCUUUUCUUCUUCCAUUAAUGAUUGUUUGAUUCCUUACUAAAAUAAAUAACAAAUUAUGAUGCAAAGGAUUACGUUUAUGGAAAAUUUUGAGAUUUUCACCAGAUUAGAGUCUCCGAAGCUGGUACUUGUCUUGACACAGAUAAUAGGAAUCAUUUUCCCCCCAAACUACAUAAGACAUGUCUGCUACUUGGUAAUGUUCCAUUGGCAGUUAUAAACUCUCCUGUAAAAUGUGAAUCUGUUGUAGCAUUCCGAAUGGUGUUGUGUCGUACAUAGAUUGGUAAUUGAGGACUUUAUUAUGGAUUUUGUCCUGUUUUGGUUGUGCCAACAAGUUCUAUCCUGUUCUUUGUCUUGCUGAUUUGGGUGGUUGUGCAUCAUGUUCCUACCAGCUGUAUAAUUAUGCUUCAGGAGCAUAGUUAUUCUGGUUUUACCAUCCAGAUGAUGGUACUAAAGUAUUUGUAUUCUAGAUUGCACAACUCCUUAUAUGGGAUAUUUUUGCACCAAAUGCUUAGUGAUCAAGAGAACUCUCAUAUUAAACACAUUCAUCUUCUAUUAAACUAAAUUCCUUAAGUAUGCAGUCUCACAACUACAUCAUACCAUUCUUUUCCUUUUUUCUUCCUUUCUUGCUAUUACAGGUUGGUUGCCACUAAUAUAGUAGAAAGCAAAUUACACGACCCUGCUUCCAUAAGACCUUUCUUAUUCCAUAGGUUGAAAUAGAAAAAACACUCGAUGGGACUAAUGUUUCUCUUUGCAACCAAGCAAAUUAAAAUGUUUUGAAACCCAUGCUGCCAUGAUCUAGCUAAUUUGCAUUUUAUAUGUCUACUCCUUUCUAUUUACUCAAAUUGUGUAUUUCUUAUGCUUGUAUUUAUUUCCUGAUGAGUUUAUUCUGAUUCUUUGAUCAGGAUUUCUGCAAUCACAUUGCUUGCUAUUGAAUUUUCAAUGGCUUAAUAUGAAUUAUUAACAAAGAAGUUGUUUAAUUAUUUCAGCAGCUUAUACCUUGUAAUUUCUUUUAACAACUCUUAUCUUUGAUGUUCAUUUGUAAUAAAUAGCUGGAGAAAGGGCCCAACGUGAACGCCUUCGGGACUUAGCUGUGUUUGAGAGGUUACAUGGAAAUCCUGGGAAAACAUCUCCAAGCCUUGCUGUCAAAAAGGUAAACCCUACAUCUCAUGCCUCUAUACCGCAUCUUAGCUUCUCAUCUUGCAUCGGACAAUGAUACUCUUAUUGAAUCAUCUUUACCAUAUCAGCCAUCAACAUGUGCACUUAUUGAGCACUAAUUCAGGCACUGAUACUUGUGCUUUUGUUUUGUUUUAUCUUGUCUUGUCUUGUUUUGUUUUGGAUGUGAUUGUGUUGGAUGACCUGUAUCUGUGUUAGACACCAAAGCCUAUCUUAAUGCUACUGUAAAGUAAGACUAUGCUAAUAAGCUAUUGAUCUGUUACAGGGUUUAUGCCAAACUGAUUUUUUAGUUUCUCUAGUAGAAAACUUGUUUUUUCCCCUGUUAUAUCGGUGCUAUUGUUGGAUUUGUGUUUGUUGUUGAUCAAGCAUUUGCUGAAAGUUUUUUUUUUCCUUUGCUUCUUGAUGUGCAAAGCAUUAUUGUUUGAAUUUUAAUGAUCCCAUUUGAUUCACUAUUCAAUAUUUUUAUUUGAUAUUACAUCUAUCUCAUUUGUUUUCUUUUCUUAGUUUUUAUUUUUUUAUUUUUUAUUUUUAAUUUAUUUUUUAUUUUUUGAAUUUGAUGGAGCCACCAUUAAUUUAUUUUUCCUUAUUAUUGUGGGGUGUGCUUUAUUUUGUUCAAUUGUUGUUGCACUAUUAUUAUCAUGUAACUUUUUUUUUCCUUUUUUUUUUUUUUUGUUUAAUCUAUUGUUCCUAUGAGCAUUAAAUGCUCCUAAAAUGUAUGGAAUAGGCUAAACCUUUCUAUAGUUUUUUUAAAAAAACUCAUUUAUUAUCUAUUUUCUUGUGCUCAAAAAAUUAUAUUUUUUUAGUAAAAUUGAAAAUUUAGGGAGCGCUUAGGCCUCAACGGCUCAACCCCUUGAGGGUUUAUGCCUAUCGUAGCAAGAUGUAAACCCCCUUGCCUCUUAUGCUUUUACCUUAUGAAACUAUACCAAGAAAAAAACACCACAACUCCCUGCUGCCAUCAAAGGAUACUUCAAAGUUUGCUUCAAAUCAAUCUUAAGGCUAAUUAUCAUACGCUUGUCAUCAUGUCACUAAAAUUGGUAUUGUAACCAAAGUCCUAUUGCGAAAUCUUCAAGUUGCAGCUCCUUUUUUUCUGUUGGUAUUUGUAUUGUUAGGUGGCCGCAACCUGUUGCUUUACUUAUGCUUUAUGAACUACUCCAGUUAAAAUAAUGCUUCAAGUAGAUGCUUUCUGGAUCUUGACUCUAGCAAGAGGCUUAUAUUGCAAAUUUUUUUGUGGAGUCCUAGCUAGGAAGACAAUAGCUUGCUUAAAAGGAUUGCCACCUCUCUUGUUGGGUUUGUAAAAAUUUUGCUUCUCUCUUGACCUUGGGAGUCCUGUGGUUUCAAUUUUGGGUGUGCUCUAGGUUGUAGCCUGUGUUAUGCUUUCUAAAUGGUAAUCUUCUUAUUUUGGCUGGGAUGCUUUUGUUUAUUUUGCUUGUUUGCUUUCUUUGUUUCUUUAUUGUGGCUGUAGGAUCACCAAUCAACUUUUUAUUCUUUGCAAAAACUGUUUAUGUUUCAUAACAAAAAAGGAAAAAACAAAGGCAAGUUAGCCUAGAAUAGGUUUUAUCUUGUUUCUUCUUUUACCAUUAGUGUGGAUUCAAACUCAGGAAGAGGCCUUCAAACAAGUGGCAUUUGUGUUUUUUAAACAUAUAUCUUUGUUCAAUCAUUGUUAAGUGUUUGCUGUCUUGUCUGUUCUUUUGGUUGUUUUUGGCUUUGUCAAAGUGUAUAAUUGUAAUAUCCUACAUCGUAUAGAGGAAAAAGUUCCUAGCGCUAUAUAUGUAUGAAUUUCUUUUAAUCUUGUUGAUUCGUUUUCAAGCCGCGAGGGUCGCUUAGGCUCAAAGCAAAUAAUAUCCACACAACUGGGAGCAGGUUGUUACAAAUGGUAUCAAAGUCAAUCCUCGACCUUGGUGGGAGAGUUUGUUUGGCCUAAAAUGGGUGUCCGUUUAUUUGACCCUACAAUCCUGUUGGACACAACAAGAACGUUGUGUCUGCAUGAGAGAGAGAGUGAUUGUAAUAUCCUACGUUAGAUAGGAGGAAAAGUUCCUAACGUUAUAGUGUGUGUGUCUUGUAAAGCUUAUGUUGGGUGUCAUGAUUUUAUCUCGUCCUUUUUAUUAUUCUGAUUCAACAUCAUCUUAGCUUAUAAUCAUUUAUACACUUGAUGCAUGAGAAAUGAAGAUGCUAUAAAUUGUAGGAUUCUUUUUCUCCAAUUUGUUCCUUGAUAUUUUAUAAUGCCAUGAAAUAUCUAUAUUUUGAUGCAGAAAGCCGUUCACCCUCCAUCUCUCUCACUAGUUUUGCAGAACCAUUGCCACUAAGCACAUGCAGGCGUCAGAUGUGCGGCCACUUCCAGUGUUGGAAGAGACUUUGAACUACCUAUUAAACCUGUUGGAUGCCACGGAACAUCCUUUUGAAGUGGUUCAUGAUUUCGUCUUUGAUAGGACAAGAUCAAUAAGACAAGAUCUUAGCAUGCAGAAUAUCGUUAAUGAUCAAACAAUUCAUAUGUAUGAAGAAAUGGUAUGAAUUUCUUGAAACAUAAUCUCAAUUACCUUUUUUUUUCUGAGCAUUCAUCUCCUCAACAUACAAUAAGUUAGCCAACCCAUUGCUAAACACUCUCCUAGUUGGAGAAAAUAAUCAAAGUAUACAAGAUAUAAAAUGUUGAAAAUUGAGUCAUUAUCCUCUCCUUUUGCUUUAUUGAAUAAGAUAAUUUAUUCAGUUGAGUCCAAACGAGGUGAAACUGUGAUCACACAACUUGAAGCCUACUUUACAAUGGAUAAAUGAAUGGUCUGAUUUUGAAUCUUUCUUGGCACAUUAGUUAUUAUCCAAUCCAUUCUAAUUAAAUUAUCCACUAUUAAGUGUCUAUUUCUAGUCACCCUCCAAGUUAUGAAAGACCCAUAGAACCAAAGCAACUCACACCACAUGUGAUGGGAAUUGGUGCUCUCUUCCAUAAUGUCAAGUUUUCCAGUACACUUGCUGACUUUGUAAAAUAUGCCUACAAAAAGGGCUGCCACCUCCUAAUUCCCAAUCAUAGAAGUUUCUUAACCAUAUUUCAAAAGCUGUAUUUCCUGUUCCCUCUCUUUAAGUUUUUUAAACCUAUAUCUCUUUAUCCUAGUAAUUCGGAAAAAUGAGGAAAUUAUUUAACAAGAACUCCAUCAAUUUGUUCCUUAAAAUUUUAUAUGGUUUCUCUCUCACUUUUUAUUCAAAUUCUUGAAGCAAAGGAACAAAUUCAUGGCUAGUAACAAUUUUAGCCAAGCAAUAGAAUGCACAACAAACAUGCAUAUGAAUGACUUUUGUUUUUUGAUGAUAAUAGAUCAGAUAUUUUAAUCUCAUCCUAAAACCUUGGAGUUAGCUAAAAGCCGCAUCUUAUGUUCUGACUUGUGGUUUGUUUCAUAAUAUAGGUGAAAUUUCAUAUUAUAUCCCACCACAAGCUUCGCAGUUGUAGCAGCAAGCCAAAUUUUUCUUCAGUUCAUUACCUCAAUAUGGAGCAGCUGAAAAAGUGUUUGAUAUCUCUAUAUGCUCUAUACAAAGAAAAUCGAAAUUCAAAUUCUAUUUACAAGAAUGAACCUGAGUUUUGCUCAUUUCACGUUCUUCUUCAUCUUGGCUUUAACAACCAACCAUUGGUGGACACUUGCUUCCAUUGUUUGUUUGAGUUCAUCUUUGUCAGUAUCUCUUGCAGCCUUGUACUGGUUUCUGAAUAUGUUACUAUUUCUGUUCUGAAGGGAGAGUCACUCUCUUUGUGGUUGGGUCGUGUACCUUCUCUCAUUUUGAAGUCAAAGGAAAUGUGUUUUGCCCGGAGACUUUUAAGGUGACCACAAAGCUAUUAUAGAUUCGACUUGCAUAUAAAUUGUUUAUAUUCAUUUUACAUUUAACUCAAUGUAGAGUGGUUCUGUUUUUCAAUCGAUUUUUUUCUCUUCUUUUAGUACCCAAUGUUAAAAUUUUUGUUUUCAUGAACUGAAAGAUCUGUCUUUUCUUGUAACAGAUUAUUUCGGAUGGGCAAUUAUAAGCAUUUCCUUUGUACUACAGCAACUGAGGCAUCUUAUUUGCAGUACUACAUUAUUGAACCUUACAUCAAUGAGGUUGCUUAAAUAUGUUGAUUUUGCUAGAUUUUUCAGUUUGAAAAAUAUAUGCUUCUUUGUUCAUUUAUUGUAUUCCAGUUUCAUUUAUGAGAAUAUAUCUAAAAUCUAGACUCGAGUACUUGUGCUUUUGGGUUUUAUUUUUCUUUCAUUUUUGUUAGUAGUUGCACUUCAUUAUUCUUAAAUUUCUCACCAACUGUUUCUUUAUGUGGUUUAUUGCUCCUCACUUUCUUCAUUCAUCUGAAGUUUUCAAAUUCAAUUAGCUUGUUUCAUAAACUAGGUCUUAUUUAGAAGUUCUUCUCAACUGCCUUUUUUUAGUGCUUCUAAAAGACAUGCCUGAUUUAUGUACAUUUUGUUGGUUUUCUUUUGACCGUAAAAGGUUCGAGCAUUGGCAUUGUCAUGUGUAAAUUAUUGUGGCUACAAACUUCAUCCAUAUCCAAUUGCACACUUGUCCAAACUCUUGAUGAUGAAGGUAUGAUUGCAUUUACUAGCAUUAAAUUGCUAAAAUUUGUCAUCCAAAGUUCCAAUUUCUUUUGAACCUUGAAGACUCCAUUUGCAUUCUUGUAGGAAUUAGAUGUGGAAUCAUUUUGCAAUGCUUGUGGUCUUGAGACCAGCACUGGUGAACGGGGAAAUAAGUUCUUAUCAACCAAGCAAACAAACUUCCAUUAUCCCAAGGAAGUCUUUCCAAGCUACUGCCUUCGGGUUUGGAACACUUUUAGAGGUAACAAUCAAUUGGAACUAGUUACUCUUUCAAACUUCUUAUUGUACAAAUAUAGCCUGCAUGUGCAACCAUUUCUGAUCCCAUAAUUUCAAGAAUUUAUGACACCUUCUAGUGGUUAGUUUUUUUGGGAAUAGAGUAAAGCAAUCUAUUCACUCCCAGAAACUAUCGUCAGAGGAACAGUAGAUAACCCCGCAAGACCAAAUUUAUGUGUGUUGCAUGGAGAUGCAUGUUUUCUGCAUCCCAAUCAUGCAGUGUUGUGUCAAAUGGAAUAAUAGCAGGUGAUGAUAAGUGGUAUUUCUAAAAUCAUCUAAGAGUAUUCCAUCUAUUGUAAUAUUGUUUUCUCAUAACUGUCUUUGAGUCUUAUAUGUAAAUAUUAGAGUUGACCUCUUGUAAGCUAUCAAUUGAUGUUGUAACUUAACUUGAAAGGGAAAUUCUAUAAAUUUAGCCUUGGUUUGGCACUUGGAAAGCAAAGAAAAAUUAGGUUAGUGAGUUGAUUUCUUCCCUUCCCAUGGAUGUAAGCACAUUCUUGAAUCAUGUUAAUUAUUUUUUGGUUUAUUUUGUUGUUUUGUUGUUUAUUGUUCAAUUGUCUCCACAUAACAAGUGGUAUCAGAGUUGUUUCCGACACACUAGAUGAUUCUUGUGCUAACACAAUGUUUGAGGCUAAAUAUAAGAUAGUAAAAGUUUCUAGAAUAUUUCCCUAUGACAAUUACCAAUAAAGAAUGUACUUAACAGGAAGUUUGUAAGGUGUUACAUGGCAAGUUGAACAAAACCAAUAGCCAGAGAUAACUGAAAUAUUUGGGCCAUUGAUCCAAUAAUAGCAGAUAAUAACACAAGAAGAGACCCUCUAAUCACCAUUUUUGCUUUUGAUUCUUCUUUACAAAGCAUCAUCUACUUUAUACAAAAAGACAAUCCAUGGCUGAGCCCACAUUAUUCUCUACAUAUCCCAAAAAAGCCCUCCAAAUUUUAGGGCAUGAUGCUCUUUUUGGGGGUAUUUUUGGUACUAAAUUUGUGGUAGUCUCUCAAAUACCUAAACUAGCCUCCAAAUUUUAAGGCAUGCCCCACUGUUUGAGGUGGUGUUUUGGGUACUAAUUUUUGUUAGGAGAGGUUUUAGUGUGGAAACUGGAGGGCUUUACACAUGUCGCAUGUAUUUUAUUUUGCAUGCGUUACACGUGGAUUGGAGUUUAUGCAGUUACUCACACUUUUUGUGCGUCCAACAAUACUGUAGUGCCACGUCACCAUAUGAUGGGCUCUUUAGUCUUUUCAAACCCAAAAAAACACCCAAAAAAAAAAACUAAUACUAAAAGGAGUGCUAACUAGCUAUGUGAAGGUGAACCUUUAUAGCUAGCUUCUUAAAGGGACCAUGAUCGCUUAGGCCAAGGAAGUUUGAGGUGAUAAUAGGUCUGUGAUGCCUUUAGAUGUUUUAAGCACAUGUGCGUUACACUAAUGUAUUCAACGAGUCUAUAACCUUAACCGACAGGUCCGGGUAAUCUUUGAAAUUUCAUUGUGAUGGGAAGGUUCCAUGUGAACAACACUUGCACAUGGGUUAGUCAAUCUUAAGAGAUGGGGGAAGCCCGUCUAACAACGCACAAUGUGCGAGCUUUGAAAGGCAAUAGGGUUAACAUUUCUGAAUUGGGACAUGACAAUGACAACAACAUUAGGUAGUCUAGAGAUGUUGUCAUAUUAAUUGUUAUCAAUAUUUUUAUUUAUUCAAUAGAAAUUGAGGAUUAAAAAAUACCACAAAAAAUAGAAAAAACAAAAUUAAUUACAUGGCUUACAUUUCAGAUAUUUAAUAAAAUAUUGUAUGAAAGUUGAAUAUCAUACACUAUUAAAUGACUGGAUUCUCUUCUUUAUUUUUUUUAAUUGUCUCAUCCUAUUAAAUUACUCAUCUAAUAUUAAUUUAUUUUAAAGGUAAAAUUAAUUAUAUUGUAAAAAACUUUUAAUUGACCAGAGUUUGUGCACAACAUCUAAUAUAUACUUAAAUACUUUUCCAUGCUAUAAUCCUCCAACUAAGAAAUGAAAUCAAAACUUAAAAAUCAUUUAUAUAUAUAGAUAUAUGUUGUUAAGUUUAGGUAGUGAAACAAUUAAUGUGGAUAUAAAAUUAAUGCCAAAACUUUUGAUUGAUCCUUCACAUUCUCCACAACCAAACAAAGGAUAUAAGAAAUAAUGAAAGAAAUUUAGGGUAGUUUUAUUUUUUGUUCUCAUCUUGUUGUGAAGUUAAUAGAGGAAUGCUUAGGUUGGUGCUCAAUAGUUAAGUGACACCAGGGUAUAAUGAUUCUUCCAAUUGUGUAAACAUUAUCCGCUUUAAUUUCAAUGGAUCAUCAUCACUUUAAAUUGCAUCCACAUGGUUAAGAGUAACUCAUAUGUAUAUAAUAUCAUGAAUUUCUUCUUAUUCGAUAUGGAAUAUCAAAUUAGGUAUCUUUCAAUUUUAGGUAUUGUAUAAGCGUUUCAACUCAAAUGACUUGGCUUAAUGUAUGCUCAAAGCCAUGACAAAGGAACGUACAUGUAAUAAAGUGAAAAUUAAACCUUGUCGCCCUUCUAUCUCUAGUAUGAAACACAACUCCAUUAGCCCUUAAACAUCUGCAAAAAAAGAUAUACACAUCUGUUACAUUAAUUAAAAUAAAUGAUGCAAAAAGAGGCUCUACAUGUCCAUGUACAUAAUUUGAUUAGAUUUGUUAUAUAUAUAGAUAGAGAGAAAAAAAAACUGCUUAGAUUAAGGAUCUCAUUAAUUAAUACCUAGAAAAUAUAAAAUAAUAAGAAAAGAUUAGAAGGUGUGAAUCAUAAGAUAAGACUACAUUUUUGAAUUAGAUUCAUCGAAAGAUGGCAUAUUGUAUGAACAUUUGUACUCUAUAUAUAAAAAUUCAUAUUAUGGUUGAGAUGUAUUAAUUUGUCAUAUUUUUGGAAAAUUAAAGUAAUGAGUAAUUACACUAAAUUAAAUUAUUGACCUUAUUAAUCAAUACCUCAAGAGUAUAAAAUAGUAAGAAAUGAUAAUACAAACUUCAUUGAAAUAUUUUUAUACACAUUGUGUAAAUAUUCUUAUUUAAUAAAAGUUUAUAUGUCAUUAAAUAAAUAGAGAAUUUUAACAUUAAUUGCAGUGCUAAGUAGAGGAGAUCCCAUAUUUAAGUUGUUGAUUAAGGCUUAUUUGAUAAAACUUAAUAUAUAUUACUUAAUAACUUAAGUUGACUUUAAGUUAGAUAAUAUUUAAGUUAUUUACUUAAAAUUUAUUAUUUAAUAUUUACUUUAAGUAUUAAAGUUAUUUGAUAAAGCUAAUUUAAAAAUCAUUUUAAAUUUUCAAAUUGUCAUAUUUACCUUCAUUAAUUUGAUAACUAGAUGCAGAUAAAUGAAAAAAAAAAUGAGAUUAAGAAUAAGUUAAUUACUUUGAUUUAACACUUAAAAUUAAAAGUAACUUUAAAAUAUAAUAUUUAGUUAUUUUAUCAAAUAUAUUUAAUAUAUUUAAUAAUUAAAUUAAGUUAUUAAGUCAAUGAAUGAUUACCAAACACCCUAUAAGACCUAGAAAAUCGAAUGAGUUUUAAUAGUAUUCAGGAUGGGCAUGACUAGGUGGUGGUUCAAUGUUGAUUAAUCAUAAUUCAAUCAAGGCAAAAUAUGUAACAAAUACAUGUCAAACUGCACCAUCCAAAUGGGCACCAAGAACGUUACAUUUGACAAAUGCCAUUAAACCUUUACAGCUAGCAAUUAGAAGAUCACUCUCUUCUUGUAUCUCUCUUUUUCUCCAAACUCCAGGAGGAAAAACGCGAACUCCAUUAUUUUGAUCACAGAAAAAAUGGCAAAAAAGUGUGUUGUACUUCAUCUUGAAGCUCAUUAACUUCAUCUUAAUUUGAUCCAAAUUGCAGAAACAUUCGAAACUCCAUGAAUCUAUGGUGCUAUGGUGGCCUACAUUCAUAUAACUGGGGACACUUUGGUUUGCACUACAAUGACCCCCAAACAUGGUUUGUAGAGACUUUAUCAAGAUCACUAGCUUCAAAAGACUAAGGAAAGAAAGAUGUUCUCAAUGAAAACUUGGAGUCAAAUUGCAGAUAAAGACCUAAAACUCCCACUCAAUGUGUUUGAGGAAUUGUUGUUUCAUGGGGAUAAGCCGUUUGGUUUGUACACGUCUCCUUGGUGAUACUUAGAGAUUGGCGAAGUAUACGUCUCCUUUGUGAUCUGGUUUGUAUCUGGGCAGAUGAAUGUUCAUGCCAGGUUCAUAUAUGUUUCUGAUAUAUAUCACCCUGGAAGGAUCUAGAUCAAGGGGAUGAGUUUGAAAAGCUUGAGUAGGUUUAAAAUGUUCCGAGAAUUGGUGAGCAUGAUAUAUAUCAACAUGAUAUUGCAGAAGACAACAGAGCUUCUGAAAUAUGUCAGAUUCAAUAGUAGGAAAUCUUAUCAGCUGUCACUUACUGUAAUUCUAUGCUCUCAAUAUUCAUUUGUUGAAGAAGAAAAAAAAUUGCUUUCACACUAUUCAAUUACAGGAGAAUGUUCAUUAUUGAAGAAAAUAAUAUUCGCUAGUCUCUUUCAACUUAAUCAACAUGCAGAGAAAAGCAGUCGGGCGACCAAUUAUUCACAUAAAACUUACAUACAUUGUCUCUCUACCUCUACUUGUUACUCAUCAGUCAAGCUUAUAGUAAUAUAAGCUUGGGUUCAUCUCUCUAUGCCAUUGAUGAAAACUCCACAUGGGCUUUGCCUUUCUGGUGAUUUUGCAUUUGGAUUCCGACCCUCUCCAAGUGAAGAGGACCUAUUCCUUCUUGCUAUCUGGACUGCAAAUGGAAGUUAACCGGUGCCAAGAGGAUCAAAAGUUGGGCUUACCACCAAUAGACAGCUUGUUCUCUAGAGGCUGGUAAUGUGAGCAGCGAACCAGUGCAUGGUGCCAUGCUUGGAGAUGGAAAUUGUAUACCAGUGUAUGGGAGAGCUUCAAGCACCCGACUAAUACCAUAUUGCCAACCCAGGGAUUGGUGUUGGAGCCUACUGUUGAGUUGCUAUUUUUGAGGACCUGAGGUUUCCAAAUGGAACUGGAAGCUGUUGGAGGAAAAGACUACCUCUUUCAAAUGGGAGGUUGGAUCAAACUGCUGUUUCCAGAAGUGCUCUAAUCAAGAUAUUGAAGUCCAGUGAACUAACUUCAGGCAGAGGCAACCAAAAUAAAGCAAUUCUAAUACUCUCAGUCCUCUUAGGCCCCUCUGUGUUCUUCUUCUUCAUUUCUCUGGCUGCAAUUUCUCUAGUUUUCUACUGCUUGAUCCUCAAAAAUCUGCAGCUUUAUCACAGAAUCCUGAGUACAAGCGAUGGUAGAAGCCUUUGGCACUGUCUAUAAAGGGAUAUUACCAUCAGGUUCUGGAAAUUCUGUUGCUGAAAAGAAGUUGGAGAAGGUGGUGGGAGAAGAUGAGAAAGAAUUCAAAGCAGAAGUGAAUGUGAUAGGCCAACUCACCAUAAGAAUCACGGACACUAGCUGCGUUACUGUCGUGAGGGUGAACACUGACUACUGGUGUUUUUUUUUUUUAUGCACAAUGGCUCUUUAUCAAGCUUCCUUUCUGGAGGCGCCCAAGGACUUGUGUACCUACAUGAAGAAUGCAGUAAACAGAUCAUCCAUUGUGACAUAAAGCCCUCAGAACAUAACUCUUGGAUGAUUCUUCUACAGCCAAAGUUGCAAACUUGGACUGGGAAAGCUUCUGAUAAGCAACCAGACUAGAACACUCACAGGCAUCAGAGGGACUAUGGGGUAUAUUCAGACAACUCGGGCAGCCUAUGUCUCUUAUAAUAACACGUUAUGAAGCAUCAGCUCAAUGCCGGGGUUCAAUCUGCAAAGCAAGGGAUUCAUCAAUGUUUCCUUCAAACUAAAUGAUAAGGAACAGAAAUGGAUCAUUCUGCAUUUUCAGUGGUGUUUGUUAUAGCAUUUAUACAAGAACUCUAGGGGUUUCUAUGUAUAACUUCAUUCCCAUUUUGUAUAAUCCAAAUCUCUUCAAUCGAUUAAAUGUAUAAAUGAAUCCUAUUCAUUGUUUGGAGUAACAACAAAAUUCUGGAAGACUGGGAAAGUUUCAACACUGGAGAGAAGACAAAAUGACAAGACCAUAAAUUCUGGAAGAGGGCUUUGCUUUCUAACCAUUACCAUAAUUUUAGAGCUCAACCUGGAUGAGUAAAUUAUAUUUCAGAAUGUUCAGGAGAUAAUUCUAAAGUGAUGAACCUUCUACUCACAGUUUCUUGUUCUUCUUGAACAGAGCAAUGAACAUCAAUAGUUCAGCACCCAGGAAUCUCCCCUUCCUCCAAUUCCUCCACUGGGAAAAGUCACCUUUCCAGUUAAGAAAAUCAUCAGGAUUAGUUUGAGCAAAACAUCAGAGUAUACAUCAAGAAAGCCUUGAUCAAAAUCAAAAUACAUCAAGAGCUGCCAUUUUCUUCUAUUUCCUCUUCCCUGAAUGGAAUGCCUUUUGGACUGAGGUGAUCAAUGGUAACAAUCUAACACACUCCUUAAGCUCUGAUUGAGGUCAACGGGGAUUGGCACAUUUAAUGACUUUGAAAUCAUAGCUGUGUGAAGGGAGGCAAACAUGAAUCUCAGGAUAAUCAACAAGUCAACAACUAUCAAUCAGUAAGGAAAAGGAAAAGGAAAUACCUUUGGAUAUUUACAAAUAAAAAUGAAAUAUGAUACAAGAUUUUCAUGGAUUAAACAAAAAUAGAUGGCAAAAUAGAAGGAUAAGGUCACAGACAGGACAAUAUUAAAAGAAAUUAUUAUUUUUCCGACCUGAAAAUCAAGGAAUUCAGAACAGUACAAGUUUGUAAGUAGUCCAUGGAAACCAGGGAACAUAUGCAGAUGUUUUAUUCUAUUGCAUAAGGCAAACACUCAAUACUUACAAGCAUAAUCAUGCCCAGAAAGCCAUGAAUCCCUUUUUGUUUUGCCUUUUUAUCUAUUCCCAUCUCUUAUUGCCAGAAGUGCCCAGGAUGAUAUAAGCCUCACCAAAUAAGUUAGAAACCAGCCCAUUCAGCAGGUUGAGUAGCCAGCUUGCCCUCAAUCUUCUUUGAGUCAACAAACAGCUGGGCAUUAUUGCCUCCAAUGGAGGGUCUGGAAAUAUUAGAGCCGGCAGCAGGGGUGGCUGUAAAACUCUCUGUUCCAAAACCCCAAGUUUCAGGGCCAGAAGUUCCUUCUGUGGCUGGUUUGUUGUGAUGGCCAUUUCGGGUCCUAACAGACUUGCUAUUGUUGUCUGGGCACCUGCCUCAGAGAAAGCCUGCCAAAGAUUAGAGUCUGGGCCAGGGGAAACGGAUUUUCUUUGCUGGAGUUCCCAGUCUGUUGCUUCAAUCUUUUCUCUGUGCUGUUAUGAGAAGAAAACCUAUCAGACACAUGAAUGGGUACAAAAAGGUAAACUUCAGGUUUUGGUUGUAUUGAAAAGCACAGGAAACUUCACAAGAGGCAAAUUAUACCCCAGACUUAUUGAAGAAAAAUAAAGUACAAUUGACUUACCCAAAUGUCUACUUUCUCAUUUAUAAGUUUCCUCCUAAACAAAUCCCCACAUCUAGGACAGGAAAAGGAAGAAACUGGGAGUCAACAUUUUUUCAACCAAAUGUCAGCACUAAAUUAUCAAAAAACAUAGUUUUCCAUUCAACCUCGGGAGCUGUAUGUGCAGGUGUACUGUACUUUCUGAUAUUGUCUUCUUCAAUGCCCAUUUCUUCAGGCUUCUUAAAGUGCUUAUGAUUGGUGGAGGUGCUUCCAAAAUUACACAACUUCCAUAAUCCAUUAGGGCCCAAUAGAAGAUUCUCAGCAUUUAUAUAAGAACUUUAGGGUUUAUACGUAUGAUCAUGUUACAGUAUAAAUCAUAGUGAACUGGUGGAAUUUGAUUAUUUAGCCAACCUCAUCAAAAACUGUUUCACAGUUGAGGGGAUUGUUAACCUUGCCAUGGGCCAAGCAGCAAUUUCUGAAGAAGCUGGGUGACAAAGAGUACCAUCAUUUGGACUAGUUUCAAUGGAAAUUACUCUGUUUUUAUACAUGAUAUCUUCAGCUUCAGCUUUUCCUUUUGCUUUUGACAUGGCUGAAACUGAUCCUGAAAUCAAAAAUCCCACACAAGUAGAUAUUUAACAGAAGAGGAUCCGAAUCUCUUCAAUUGAUUAAUGUAUAAAUGAAAUAAUAAAAAAUUUUAGAGAUAAUUAUAGGGAGAUGAACCUUAUACCUCUGAGUUUCUUAGUCUUCUUGAACAGAGCAAUGAGCAUCCAGUGUUGAGCACCCAGGAAUCUUCCUUCCUCUACAGGGAAAAUCUGAACAAUCUAUCUUUCUUCAUAUUCCACUUCCUUGCAAAAGUCAAAACAUGAAGAAAAUAUCAUCAAAAUUGAGACAAAAAUAAGUGCAUCAACUGUCUCAAGAAGAGAUUUAUGCCUAUUGCUUACCUUUUGCAGAAGUCCACUUGGUUAGAGCACAUUUUACAUGGACGCCCAAUCACUGCAAGCUGCUGAACCAAAGGAGAGUUCAAACAUCUAAAAAAUUUGACUAACUCAAGUAUCAUAAAAUACUUCACAUGAAUUCUAAAUGAUCUCAUAUCUAAAAAACACUGGCAUAAAAUUAUUGUUGUUUACCUUACAUGUUUCUUCCAUGGUCAUAAUCGAAACUUUGUUUAUCAUAAGAAAUCUUUUAUGCUCAUCCUGAUUACUUACAAUGAUCACUGAAAUGAAAAGACAAAAAACACAAAAAAUGACGAUUAGUUUGAUUUGAUAAUUUUUUAAAAUUAGAAAUUAUAAAACUAUUUUGGUUCUCAGAAAAUUUACGGGAAAGUAGGGAAAAAAAUUGUAAACUUUUUCUCUUGUUUGAUUGUUUAUCGGAAAAUUGAGGGAAAAACAAAAAUCUAAGAGAAAUUUAUUUAACACUUAUGAGGAACCAAAAAUGUUUUAGAUGUUGUCAAAUCGAUAAUUUAAACGUGUUUAAUUUCAAUUAAAUGAGUUUAAUCAAACACAUGAAAUUGUGAAUAAAAUUAUUUAAAAGCAUUGAAAUUCAAGUCAUUAAAGUUGUCCAUAAAAUUUGAUAUAUUGAAGCAAGAAAAAAACAAAGCAAUUUGAAUGACUUGCUAAUGAAGCAGCUAACUAAAAUAUGCCCUAGAGUUGUUCUGUGCCCUGUAUAUAACAAAUUUAAAAAAAAAAAAUCCUAGAAAAAAAACAAACAAAAUAUCCAUGGUCUUAUGUUAUUUUUUUUCUUAAUUUUUCAAUAGUUAUAAAUGGUUCAUUUAAUUCUUGCAAACCACCAAAUCAAAACAGAGCAUGAAAAAGAAAAUCUUAAAUCAAAUAAACAGGACUAGCGAAUGAAUUGGAACUUGAAAGAAAAGUUCAAGCUCAAAAGAAUUACCUGACUCUAUAUUGGCGGAGUGGCACUUUGAUUAAUAUAGCACAAAAUUGAUCACUAUUUUUGGAAUGUGAGCUAUAUAACGCCAUUCUUCCCCUUUCUCAAAUUGACACCGUUUUUUCAGUAAAGGACAUUUGUAGAUGAACAGAUAAGAGAGGGAGUCUGGAAGUCUCUCUUUUGUCAAGUAUUUGAGCUUACGACACUUACAGAUCCCUAAUGUUUUAAGAGAGGUGAGGUGUUGAAGACCCACUUUUGUCAAGGAUUGGAGCAUUGGGCAGUUAUCGAUCCACAAACAUUCAAGAGAGGUGAGGUGUUGAAGACCCACUUCUGUCAAGGAUUGGAGCAUUGGGCAGUUUUCGAUCGACAACAUUUCAAGAGAGGUGAGGUGCUGAAGACCCACUUCUGUCAAUGAUUGGAGCCUCGAGCAUCCAUCAAUUUCUAAUCGUUUUAGAGAGAUAAGGUGUUGAAGAACCGAUCCUGUCGAGAACUGGAGCUCUGGGCAGUUUCUGAUCUUUAAUUGUAGAAGAGAGGUGAGUUGUUGAAGACCCCUGCUGUCAAGAGACUUGAGAUUCGAAAGCUCUACAAUUUGAAGAGAAGUCAGAGAAGAGGGCAGCAAACACUCCUUGGGAAAUAAUUCAAUGUCUUCACAUCCACCGGUGAUUGUGAAAUGAGUAAGAGAGGUCAGCCUUUGCAAACCCCACUCCACCUGGGGUGUGAGUUGGUUGCACUUCUUAAUUUCAAGUUCACGUAGGUUGGAAGGCAAACCCUCUCUCUGAAACAACAAUUCUGGACAAUCCCAUAAAUUCAACGACCUGAGCUUGGAGCACCUAUAAAUCUUACAAGACUCCAAGUUGAGAGCGUGCAAUUCGAUAGAUUCAAGAUCAGGGCAACCAUCUAGAGACAGGGAACAUAAAGAUGUGGGAUCACCCUCUGAAACCAAAAUGGAGAGCUUCUCAAGCCCCUUAAGAUCAAGGAUUGUGAAAUUAGUCAACUUUGGGAAGAUGCCUAAUGAGAAGGAUAACGAGAGAGAAUCAUCGAUAACACCAUCUUUGAUUUCUAGACUUUCAAGGACUGGGAGAUGGCAUCUGAACAACUCAGGUAGGAGAAACGCUAAUUUCGAGCAGUCAGAGAUGAAUAGUGAUUUCAGUGUAGUGGGUAAACCAACUUUGUGCAGGGAUCUAGAAAAACUACAAUCAUAGAUUUUCAGAUCAUGUAUGUUGGUUUGCGAGAUUUCCUCCUCUAGCAGAGACUCCACAUAAUCACAUUUUCUAAUUGACAGCUGGUGUGGUGCCAUUGGAAGUUGACUCCACUGAGACACAUCUAAAAUUUCAAUUUCUGAAGUUUGAAGAGCUGUGAAGUCACAACCUGCCAUUUGCAACUGCAGUUUACCAAAAUCCACCAUCCUCAAUUGACGAAUUGCAGGAACUGUGAGUGAAGCCAUAAGCAGUUGCGGACAUUCAUGAAUUUGAAGUUCCACCAAUGAAAGAAGCUGUUCUGGUAAUUUCCCAAUGAGUUUGGGACACCUUCGUAUAAAAAGCUUUUGAAGAUGAGGGAAUUCUCCACAACAUAACCAUUUCUCCCAGUUCUGCAUAUCCUCAAAUGAUAGUGUUUCUAGGAAUUGAAAGGAAGCAUUCCCAUAGAACUCAUCACCCACACACUCUACUCCAUUCAUCCUUGAGAUUUGCAGAUAUUUAAGUUGGGUUAGCUGUCCAAGUGGUGGCAAUGUUGAGCAAUUGCCACAACCCCGAAGCUCAAGGGACACGAGAUUCAACACUGAAGGAUCUCCAAGCCAAUUUGGAAAUCCUUCACCAGGAUAGUUUGUGAUGGAGAGUUGUUUUAAAUUUGGAUGAGGUUGUAACUUGUUGAGUAUAUCAUGCGUUGUUGCACCACUUUGUGUAACACCAUUGGUACACAUGUAACGCCAAUCAAAGAUCAACUCAUCAAGAUAACUUUUAUCCUGCAUAUUAGCUCUUGAUGCAUCAUUAACACUCACCACAUUCUCCAUGUUUGAAAUAUAAAGUUUUCCUCGAAGCUCUGAUAGCUCCCCCAAUUCUCCAAUUCUUAAUCCAUUGUUUUGGCCCACAAUAAAUCGAGUCAACCUUUGUAAAUUUUUUAAUUGACCAAUUCCAUGACUUGACAUUGCUCUCAAUGAACGACAUCCAUCAAUAUCAAGAUAGCGCAAAUUAAUCAAUUUUCCCAUCUUUGAAGGCAAUUCAUCAAGUUCUGAACAAUUUCUCAGCAUCAUCGUUUGUAAAUUGCAUAAACAACAUACUGAUUUAGGUAAUUUUUUAAUCCUCGUGACAGACAAAUCCAAGUAACGCAAAUGUUUUAAAUUACCUAUCGAUUUAGGCAAAUCAGUUAUUGUAUAUGCACAUAAUGAUAACACACGUAAACACCACAUUUUUGGUAAUAUAUCUUGCAAAACUCUUUUACUCAAAUUAUAUAUCGGAUAGUCUUCCAUUUGCUUCACUCCUAAGAAUGUUCGAAUAGAUUUAGCUUUAGUGAUAGCCUCAAAAUUCUUAAAUGCAACAAGCCUCUCAUAAUCACUUUUAAAGUACAAAAAGUGGUGAGCCUUCUCAGAUACUUUCAGUAACUUAUCAUCCUCUUCCACUCGAGCACAAAAAUCUCCAGACACGUGUUGAGCCAAUUCGUGUAUUAGAUCAUGCAUUACAAAGCAUGAUCCUUUUGUUCCAAUAGAUUUUUGAAAGAAUGACUUGGCGAGAAGUUCAUUAAAAUAUGACUCACCUAUCUCUUCCAUUCUCCUUCCUUCGUUUUCUUGUGGAUGUAAAAGACCUUCUGCCAUCCAUAAUAAAAUCAGCUUCUCUUUGUUGAAUUGGUGGUCCUGGGGAAAAAUAGAACAAUAAGCAAAACAAUGCUUCAGAGGUAGAGAAAGAUGAUGGUAGCUUAAUCUCAAAGAUGGAAGAAUUUCGGAGCCACUCUGCCGCCAUAUGUCACUGUUCAACACAACGUUCCAUUCCCCUUUGUCGGCCUCCGAAUACAAGAGACGGCCGAGUACUUUCACAGCCAAAGGCAAUCCUUGGCACUUGUCCACAAUCUGUCUGCCUAUGGGUUUAAGCUCAAGGAAUGCGUUGGGGUCUCUAUCUCCAAAUGCAUGCUUUUUAAACAGGGACCAACUAUCUUCAGAGCUUAAUUUCCCAAGAUCAUGAGUAGGGGCCGCUUUCAUGGCUUCUGCAACAGAUUUAUCACGACUGGUCACAACAAUCUUGCUUCCCUCUGCUGCAGCGAGGAGUGGAGUUCGUAGACGUUCCCAACCUUCACGAUCACUAAGCUCCAUGUAACCUUCAUCACGAGGCUUCAAAUUCCAGACGUCAUCAAGAACAAGCAGAAAUUUCUUGUUACUAAGUUGCUCUUUGAGUUGAAGCUGAAGCUUAUUUAGGCUGUCAAAAUCAUCAGUUUUAGAACCGAUUUCGUAUAGAAUUGUUUUAGUGACCUUGAUAAGGAGAAACUCAGUGGAAACACAGACCCAUACUUGCAAGUCGAAGUGUUUCUUCACUUCCUCAUCGUUAUAGAGGUGCCGAGCAAGCGUGGUCUUGCCGCUGCCGCCCAUGCCCACUAUGGACAUCACCCCCAUUUUGCCGCCUGUUGUAUUGUCAGAAAGCAACCACUUCACCAUCUCCUUCUGAAUUUCAUCCCUGCCGAGAACAAUGGAGUCAUCCUCCAAAGAAGUGGACGUUGGUAAUCUUGGUGUUGGUGACCGUGAUCCUGCUAGCCCCAACCGAACAAUUUCUCCUCCGAUUUUUUCCAGUAGAUCAAUCAUGCCCCUGACCCUGGACUCCAUGCUUUUGAUAGCAAAUGGGGCCUUCACAGAAGCAGAGAACUUGUUCCAUUUCCACGCCUUAAGAGUUCCGCCGGUUUGGGAGUCAGCAGCUUCCAUCUUGCAACGCAAAGCGUCGGUAGCGAUCUCGUCCAACAGGUCUUCCGCAUCAUACACAGCAUCCUUGACAUGGACGAGCCACUCUUUGACAUUUGGGUUGGAAAAUUGCUUCACCUCCGCAUCAUCGAGCACAUUGAGAACAACCACGAGUUUCCUCUUCAACUCGUUGAGGAGUUCAUCGCUAAGGUUCCGUCGCCGAAUGAAGUUUAUGAGCUCUGGAGAAGCCAACCUUUGGAAUAGAACUUGAAGCGAAGCUGAGAGGAGGGCGUCCGCCAUAUCUGUGUCGACUGUUGCUUUGCAAUAGGAAUUCAGAGGAUUGGUUUCUGUUACCGCGAUACCACCAAAGUGCAAAAGACUGGGUUUGGAUUACCACACUGCAGAAUGCUUGAAGGAAUCAUUAUUGGUGGUGGACCCAGCUGCCAGAUAUUUGUCAAACACCAUAAUUGAGUGGUGAGAAAAAGAACAGGAAAAGCAAGUGGGAGAUGGAUGGUGCUUUCCCAACGGAAAGCAAAAGCAACAACAACAUUCGGUAUUUUUCUUUUUCAUCUACGCAUUUCUUCUUUCUUCUUUCUUCUUGUAGUAUUAUUAUUAGUAGACGUAUACACACAAAUAUUUGUUUAUAACAUUAUCAUUCCUAAUAUUAUAAAAUUUAUUAUUAAUAGAAUUUAUUAUAAAAUUUGUUAUUAAUAAUAUUUAUACUAAUAUUAUUUUUUAAUAAUUAAUUAGUAUCCUUACUUUUAUUGUUUAUAAUAAUAAUAAUAAUAAUAAUAAUUAUUAAAAUUUAUUAGUAUUUUCAAGUAAACAAUGGUAUAUGCAUAAGACAUAUUAAAAUUUUGAAUAUUAUGGUUAUUAUUAUUUGAUUCAAAAAAAGUUUAUAAUAUAAUAAUAACAAAAAUAUUUUUUUUAAUAAAAUAAAUUAUAAAAAUAUAAGAAUUUUAUUAUUUAUAAAAUAUAUUUAUUUUAAUAUAAUUAAAAUAAUUAAAAUAAUUUUAAAAUUUAAAAAAAAAGUUAAACGUGACAGGAUUAGGAUGGGACCGACCUAUCCCAAUGCUGCCCAUUGCCAUCCCUAACUCACCUAGUGGUAAUUAAGGCCAUUUUUUAUUAUUAUUUUUUUAAAAUGGUCUUUUAUUCUUAAAAAAAGAAAAAGGAAAAUAUAUUUAAUAAUUAGAAAAUAAAACAUAAUUUUUGUUUUUAAAAAUAAAAAAUAAGGCAUUUUUAGAUGAUACCCUUUUAGUUACUUUUACUUGUUUUAAAAAAAUUAUUGUAAAAGUAAUUAUAUAAAUGUAAAAAAUAAAAUAAUCUAGGUAAAAAUUAUUUUUAAAAUAUAAAAAAUUAGUUAAGAAUACUCUAUCUUCUCAAGCUCGUUUUAUAAAAUAUCAUAAAAUAAUUUUCAAAAACUUGUUUUUUCAUUAUUUUGACAACCGGAAUAAUACACAAUAAAAAUAAAUAAAUAAAAAUAAAAAGAUCCAAAGAAAGACAAAUGUGUUGCAGUAAUGCACUUAAAUUCACUGAACCUAAAAGCCAAAUGUGCAGUGUUGACUUUUCAACCGAGAGUUCACACAUGCCCAUUUUUUUUAAUUAAAGCACUAUUAAUAUAAAAUAUAUAUUUAAAUAAAAAUUAGACUUUUAAAAAAAUUAAAAUAUAUUUUUAAAAUGUUAAAAAAAUAUUUACAAUAUUUCCUUAAAAAAAAACAUCUUCCAAAAACAUUUCUUUAAAAAAUACUUCCACCUAUAAUAAUUCAGACACACUUGUGAUUUAAUAGUUAAAUAUUCUUUCUAAUAGGAAUUCAACUAUCGGUUUGUAUUACCACGAUACCACCAAAAUACGAAAGACUAAUUUUGGAUUACCAAAAUGCAAAAGAGCUGAAGGAAUCAUUGAUGGUGGAUGAUUCAGAUGUCCACAUUAUUUGUCAGACACCAUAAUUGAGUGAUGAGGAAAUGAAAGAAAAGCAAAUAAAAAACAAAAAAGGUGAUGCCAAACAUGGUCUUAUAAGGUGGGUGGAGCGAAAGCAACAAAGGAAACUAGCAGGAUUUUUCAUUGCUAUUACAUACCUCAAAGGACAAAUUUUGAAUUACCAAAAUACAAAAGACUUAAAGGAAUCAUUGAUGGUGGUGACCAGAUGUCCACAUUAUUUGCCAAACACCAUAAUUGAGUGAUGAGAAAACAAAAGAAAAAGCAAAAAAGGUGAUGCCAAACAUGGUCUUGUAAGGUGGGUGGAGCAAAAGCAACAAAACAAACUAGUAGGAUUUUUCAUUGCUAUUCCAUAUCUCAAAGGACUAAUUUUGAAUUACCAAAAUAUAGAAGACAUGAAGGAAUCAUUGAUGGUGGUGGACCAAGAUGUUCACAUUAUUUGCCAAACACCAUAAUUGAGUGAUGAGAAAAUGAAAAAAAAAAAAUGAAAAACAAAAAAGGUGAUGCCAAACAUGGUCAUGUAAGGUGGCUGGAGUGAAAGCAACAAAGUAAACUAGCAAGACUUUUCGUUGGUAUUCCAUACCUUAAAGGAUUGAUUUUGAAUUAUCAAAAUACAAAAUACUUGAAGGAAUCAUUGAUGGUGGUGGACCCCGAUGUCCACAUUAUUUGCCAAACACCAUAAUUGAGUGAUGAGAAAAUGAAAAAAAAAAGUUAAGAAAAAACAAAAAAGUGAUGCCAAACAUGGUGUUAUGAGGUGGGUGGAGCGAAAACAACAAAACAAACUAGUAGGAUUUUUUGUUGUUAUUCCAUACUGAGAAAAUAAAGGGCUACUCUAGGUGAAUAGAAGUUAAAAAAUGUCUUUUUAAACACAAUAAAAUGAAGCACAAGAAGUACAAAUAUAAAGAGGUAAGGUUAUAGAAAGUAAACUCAAAUUUAUAGUGGUUCGACACUUCCGUGCUUACAUCCACUCUCCUCAAGCUCCUACCUGAGUGAGGGUUCCACUUAUACUUGAAGUUUCAACCAAGCUUCUAAUCACUUUUUACACUUGGAUUCCAGCUCCAAUGGAUUCUUAUACAAUCUCUUCAAGUCUUUACUCACUUGAAUGUUUUAACACUCAAUUAACAAGUUUGAAUCUCUCAACCUAGCUCAACAAUGACUCAAAUACAACUCAAGGCUAGGAUGAAUCACUAAGGUGCACUAAAGAAUAUGCAAAUGGAAGUUUAAUGCACUAAGAAAAUAAUGAGAGCUUUUAUGACAAUAAUAAGUAGGUAAACAAAUAAAUGCAAGUGUUCUCUUGCUCAUAAAUGAGGUAGAGCUCUCAAUUUAUAAGUUUCUAACCUCAGGAGCUAAAAAUCCAAAAAGCAAUCUCGACUAGUCGAGCUGGGGGUUGACUGGUUCACUAGCCGUUGAAACAUUAAAUGCUUGGCAGGUGACCGUUACCCUCGACCAAACCUUAACCGGGAAGGCAAAUCCAUAAACCAGGAAAGAAAGGCUACUGGAAGAGAGAUAAUGUUUUUUGCAUCUCUUGACUUAGAAGGAGUAAUCGGUAGACCGGUACCUAGCCGAUUGAGCCGGUUGACCAGUGCCUCGACUAGUUCACCAUUUUUAGUUCGAAAACCUAUCUUUUUCUGGUCUUUUUGCUUCUAGCACUUAGGCAAGGACUUUAGAUAAAAUAAUAUGCCAAUUUUGAAUGUUUUGCCUAAGGUUCAUUUGAUAGAACUCAGAUUUGGAUGGAAAUGUAACUUUAAUGCAUAAACCGAGUUUUAAAGAUGUAUGAAAUGAUAUGAAUAUCCUAAGUACACCCAUGCAUUCGUCUUACGUAUGUUUCUUAUGAUUAAAAGGUCUUUCAAAAGUCUUAAUCUUGCAUUCAUUAGGUCCUUUAAUGAAUUUCCAAAUUAACACCUGAAAUUCUUUAUAAUUCAAAUCAAUUAGUAACUUAACCAUGAUUUGUUAUCAUCAAAACAUGAUUAGAAGAAUCAUUGGGCUAACACAUACCCAAAGGACUAAUUUUGAAUUACCAAAAUAUAGAAGACUUGAAGGAAUCAUUAAUGGUGGUGGACCAAGAUGUCUACAUUAUUUGCCAGACACCAUAUUUGAGUGAUGUGAAAACGAAAGAAAAGCAAAGGAAAAACAAAAAAAGGUGAUGACAAACAUGGUCUUGUGAGGUGGGUGGAGCGAAAGCAACAAAGCAAACUAGCAGGAUUUUUUGUUGCUAUUCCAUACCUCAAAGGAUUGAUUUUGAAUUACCAAAAUACAGAAGACCUGAAGGAAUCAUUAACGGUGGAUGACCCAGAUGUCCACAUUAUUUUUCAAACACCAUAAUCAAGUGAUGAGAAAAUGAAAGAAAAGCAAAGGAAAGGAAAAAAAACGUGAUGCCAAACAUGGUCUUGUAAGGUGGAUGGAGUGAAAGCAACAAAGCAAACUAACAAGAUUUUUUGUUGCUAUUUCAUACCUCAAAUGACUGAUUUUGAAUUACCAAAAUACAGAAGACUUGAAGGAAUCAUUGAUGGUGGACAACCCAGAUGUCCACAUUAUUUGCCAGACACCAUAAUUGAGUGAUGAGAAAACGAAAGAAAAGCAAAAAAGGUGAUGUCAAACAUUGUCUUGUAAGGUGGAUGGAGCGAAAGCAACAAAGAAAACUAGUAGGAUUUUUCGUUGCUAUUCCAUACCUCUAAAUCACCAUAAUAAUAAUAACAAUAACACCAAAUUUUAAGGUUAUUUUUUGUUAUAAAAAAAUACUAGGAAAAGAAAAAAAAUAAUUAAGGAAAAUAAUUUUUUCAUAUUUGGUUUCACUAUAGAAAAUAUAUAUAUAAAAAAUCAAAUAUAAUUAAAAUUAAUUUGAAAUUUAUAUAUUUUAAAAGUAUUUAAUCUUUUUAUAAUUUAGAAAAAAUAAGUAAAACGAGUUUGAAGAAAUGUAUAAAAAUAAUUUAUUAAAUUUAAACUUAUUUCUUAUUUUCCUUCAUUUUUUCUUUUCUUCUACUUUUUCUUUCUAUUUUCUUUCCUUCUCAUUUUCCCUCAAAUUUUCCAAGAACCAAACAUAGCUUAAAGGUUUAGAAUCUUAUGCACAAGACUUUCAAUUUUUUUUACAAUAUUAUUUUAUUAGUUAAGAAUUAAAAUUUAAUGUACCAUAUCUAACACUAACAAAAAAAAUUAUAACAACCAGUCUUAUCUUUUAAGAAUGUAUUGUUUAAAUGAGAUUAAAAAUUAAAAAUAAAUUUUAAUUCAUUUAACAACUAAAUUAAAAUGAAAUUUAUAUAUAUCAUAAAUUUAUACAAUUUUGAAUCAUUUUAUAUGGAGGAUUGAGAAUGGAGAGAUUGAAGAAUUGUUUGGUGACGAGGAGAUUGAUUGAAGAUUUUAUAGUCUUAAGGUUCUAUGGGAUGAAAUUUUUUGUAAAGAGUUUAAAUUUUUGUAAAAAAUAAAAUUAGUUUUAUGUUAUCUGAUUUCAUGGAAAUAUAAAGUUUUAAUUCAAAGAUUAUGUUUUAAAAAUAUUAUUUUUAAAAUAUAUUUAGCAAAGAUUUAUAAAAAUUUAAAAUUAAAAUUAAUUAAUCUAUCAACUAAAUUAAAAUAAGAUUUAUAUAUAUUUUUAUAGAUUUACAUGUGUAAAAUCUUUGAAAUGCCUCAACUUAAAAUAACCUUACAAAAUUUCAUUAAUCUACUAGAAUUUGCAUUAGGAUGAAUACCAUCAUAAUAAUAAUUACGCUCCACAUAUGACGUAUCUUAACAUCCACUUGGAGGUUAAAAAAUAAUUAAAGUAAGGGAAACUAAUAUAUUUAAAAUUUAAAAAUCAUGAUGAAGAUUUGGACAAUAAUUCAAGUAGGCAUCUUUGAAAUUUGACUUCCAAAUCCAUUUGUCAAUAUACACCACCCUAUGACAAUUAAAUAAAUUAAAAGAAGGAAAAAAAAAUGUUAAAGGAAUGACAUAAGAAUUAUUUAUGUAUGACUAGAUUUAAAGUUUAAUUAUCUGAGGAAUCCUUUAUUAUGAAAAUAUAGGGAACAAUUAUAUUUAAGGAGUAGACGGGGUUGAUAAUGACUAAAGGGUACAAAUUUUGCAUAAUUGAUCUAAAAAGGUAGAGAAGGUUUGUAGAUUGUUGUGGAGGAUAUAAACCCAUUUUGUGAGUCGAAAAUGCUCAAAAUACCCUUAAGAGUGUUUUUUUAAAAAGGACAAUUAAGUACUCAUGAUAAUUAAUAUAUUAAGAUUUCAAGAAAAAUUAAUAAUAAAUAAAAUCUUUUUCUAAAUCUAUUUAACAAUCAUAUAGUUUUUAUUUUAUUUUAUUUUUUCAAGUUGCAACUAUUAUCUUAAUUUAUUUUUCAUUUUAAGGUUCAAUUAUUAUUAUUCUUUAUUUUGAUUAAUUAAAUGAAACUGUACAAGACAUAUUUAUAUUAAUUAGCUAAAAAGGAUAGAUUUUUUAGCAAUACGAUUAAAAUAAAUAAAAACAAGGAAUUUGAUUUUCUUUAUAAAAUAGAUUGGGAAAAGUAUAUUUCGAUACAUUCGUAUGAAAAAAAAAAUCAUAAAAUAGGAACUCAAGUUUAUAAAAUACAAAUUUUAAGCAUCCAUCUAAAAAUAAUUAUCAUUUCAUGCAUUUUUUUGGUUAAAUAUAUUAUAUUUGACAAUUUAAGUAUUAUCUUUUAAUAAUGUAGGUAAUACCUUUGACCUGCAUACAACUUGAAUUAUUUUUAGAUAGUUUCUAUUGUAUAAUUAGUUCAUCAUUUGAUAUAAAUAUCAAAUAAUUAAAAAAUAUAUCUUUUUUUUUUAAGAAUUUUAAUUAUAUUUGACUUUCUUUUGUAUUUUCUAUUGUGUAAACCACAUAUAAGAAAAUCAUUUUCUUUAACAUUUUUUUUUCUUUCCUUAAUAAUUUUCGAGAACCAAACAUGGCUUGUAGGUUUGGAUUAUAGGGUAUAGAUGCCAUAAAUACUGGAAUGAGUUCGGGUUUUCCAUGCUAAAUGUCUUUAUUAUUAUUUGGUAGCGCUUUUCCAAAAUUGUUCCAUUCCCAAAACCACUUAAUUUGCUUAAAUAUUUUAACCUCACGAUAUCAUAACAUUAUAAUGGAAUAGAUUUUGUUGGUGUUCAAAUCAUGUCAACUCAAUUUCCAAACCAUUUGGAUUGUCAUUUGGUGAAAAAUAGAAAGAAAUUUUACUUGAUUGAAAAGCAUUUCAUUUUUAUUUGAAUAUGCUGCAAUGAAACAGUUACUAAACCAUGGGGUAGCAGAAGAAGUAAUCGAGAAAAUGAAGAAGGAUGUUUAAGAAUUCUUUAUGCUGCCAUUGGAGGAGAAGAAUGCUUACACAUAGCUACCAAAUAGCAUUGAAGGUUAUCACAAAGAAUGCUUAACAGUUUUCUUAAAUUUUGUCCAAAGUUUAUGAAUUUUUAUUUUUUAUAAUUUUUUUUUACUUAAAUUGAAACUUAUUAAUCAAGGUAAGAUUUCAGCCACAUCGAGAAACAAUUUACGUGAAAAGGGACUGAUAAAAUCUUGAGUUAACAGAUGUAAAAGACAUAAGGCCAAAGACUCUAGAACUCCAACCCACUGAAUCAAGAAUAGAAACACAAAUUUAUCUACCAACCUACACUAAUCUCAUAUCUACAAUGCAACACCAUCGUACUCUUAAGUGACUUGAAAGGAUGUGAAUAUUUCUCACAAGCUUCAUAAUGAAAUUCAAAUUAGCUCUGAGAGUUUUGGGUUAGGCACAAAGAGUAAUAAUGCAUAGCUUUUGUGUGUGAGUUUUUAAGUGAACUUAAGACUCAAUUUAAAGCAUGUAUUUUACUAAAAAUAAAAAAAUAAAUUUAAGAAACUUCAAGAAUUUUGGAAAGAUAAAUUUUAAAAAAAAUUCAAAGAGAGUCAGAAAAUGUUUCCUUUUUAAAUUCUCAAUUUAAUUUAUUUUCAAAUUUAUUAAGAGUUUAAGAAAUAUUUUCUUUUUAAAUUAUCAAUUUAAAACGCUCUUUUAAAUUAUUUUAUUAUUAAUUUUCAUGCAAGUCUACUCUAUACAUUUUACAUCAUUAUUCUCAAUUAACUCAACAAUAUUAGAGUGUAACAUCCCCAAUUGAUUUUGCACCAACCUUAAGUCUUCAAAGACAAUGAUUGAGGCAUUUCUUCUCCUAUUUUCUCCGAUGUAGAAAAAAAAACUUGAAUAAGGUUAAAGUUGGUCUAUAGCAAAAAGUCUUAAUUUGAGUUAGCCUUUUUUUUUUUUUUUUUCCAAAUGAUAUGCAGGUCCAUCUAGCCUUCAACUCAAAUUUUUUAUUCAAAAAUCACAUGUGGAUAUGUGAACAAGUAAAAGUUGAGUUUUACCUAACAUAUCAUUUUGAAAAUUAGGAAAUUUAAAAGGUAUUAGUUUGUUAAACUCACCACCCCUGUCUAUUCUACAAAACAAGAAGAUUAGCAAAGAAAAAGUAUUCAUAUUUGUACUACAAAAUAAAAAGAUUAGCAAAGAGAGAAAUUGUACGCAUGAGUGCAGAGUUUUGGGUUAAAACAACCCUUUUGAUGGGAAAAAUAUUAAAUUUAACCACUUUGUCAAACUAAUGUGUAAAAUGAUCCUUUUAUUAUCACAUAGGAGUCAUAUCACUAAUAUAUAUAUAUAUAUUUAAUUUAAGUUGAAGCCUCAAUUGCCAAUUAAGGCUUCAAUUAUCAAUUACGACUUUAUUUUUUAACCCGAAACCUUACUUGCCAAUUGAGGUUUCAACUAAAAAAAGAAACCUCAAUCGUCAACUAAGACUUAAUUUUUUAAUUGAAGCCUCAAUUAACAAUUGCGGUUUUAUUUUUAAACUGAAAUCUCAAUUGUCAAUUGAGGCUUUAUUUUUGUGAAAGGAUUAUGUGACACUCACGUUACUAGAAAAAAGCCAUACUGAAUAUAAGUUUCAAAAGUGGCUUAAAAGGUAUAAAUUUUAUGAUCAAAGAUGCCAUUUUGACCCAAAUCCCAUGGGUGCAUGAGACUCUAGUUAAUCAUAGAUUUCAUAGAUAAAAAUCAGAGUUAGGAUGAUUCAACCCCUAAGCGUCAAGAAUUCUUUAACAUAAUGUUAGAACAUUUUCCAAUUUAAAUUUGAGAGUUGACUUUAUUUGAAUAUGCUUUUGAUUUUUUUUUUUUUUUAAAUAAGCUUCAGUGUUUUUUUUAAAAAGAAAUAAAAAUAAAUAAAAAUAGGAGCUUCUAUAUAGAAAGUAAAAAUUUUAUCCAACAAAUAUAAGGCUCACCUUAUAUCCUUAUAAAAUAAAAAAUUUUAAAUUUUUUAAUACCUCAAAAUUUUUAAUCAAUAUUUAAAUAUCAUUAUAUUUUCAAUAUGAUCCUUUAAAAGUUAAAAUUACUUAUAUUUUUUAUUUUCAAAAAAAAAAAAAAGAAUGAAUUUUUAUGUUUUUUAAUUAUUAAGAUGGAUGAAAUAAUCCCAAAUUUGCAAAAAUAACUUCUUCCAUGUUUGAAUUUGAAAAAUAACUCAUUUCCAACAUAAAUACUCUUCAAUAUUUGGAUUAUUUUAAUAUAAAUUUUAGAAGAAAGUGUUAUUUUGACUGGAAAACAUGAAAGACAUUUUUGUUAAAAAUUGAUCUUUUUUUAAGGCUAAAAUAUAUAUAGGUUUAUAUUUACAAAUUUGAGACUAUUUCGUCCUCUUAAUCAAAUAACUUAAAAAAGAAAAGAGUUAAUUCCACAAGUGGGUUUAAAAUACUCACAAAAUUGCAAUAUAUAUAUAUAUAUAUAUAUAUAUAUAUAUAUAUAUAUAUGAAAUUACAAAUUUACCCUCGUGUGUUGAGCACAUGACACUUCCAUUCAUUAAAGCUAACAUUGUUAAAUAACAAAUGUACAUUGCAACUAUUUAAGAAGUAUGAAGGGCACAUUGCUUGAUUUUAGUACAUGGUGAGAAACUUGUUGAACAAGUUAUGUGUAAAGUUUUAUGGUUCAUGUAUGAUAGAAAAUACAGAUCUACUACAACACUGGAUUUGCAAUUUUGGUUAGUAUUUAAAGAAAAGACCAUAGGACAAAAAGAAUUAAACUUUUGGUGGAAAACAAUAAAGAAAGGACUACAUGGAAAAAGGGAAGAGAUCAUUAUAAAGGAAGAUUAUUGAAUAGAAAUAAUUCCAAGAACCUAAGGCAAGACAUAGAGUAUCACUACUACUAUCACAAAAAGGGGUAUAUCAUAAAAUUUAUGAAAUUUUGAAAAAGACCUAAAAAACGAAGAAAAAAAAAAAAACAAAUCAAAGAAGCCUACAAGUGUAACUAGUGUUCUUAAAGUUGCGAAAUGUAAAUCAAAAGUAGAUUUGUUAAUAGUUUUUAAAAUGCUUAAAUUAGGAAUUGUCUACUUGUACCAUACAAGCCCUUGUAGAGACUGGUUUGACAUGUAAAUUGUUUGUAAAAUCAUUUUAAUGGGCAAUAAUGCACCAAGUUGCUCCACGAGAAGGGGAGGGGUUUGUGAAACCAUCACUUGUCGUGGCAUACAUCGUCGGGUAAUCACGGAUGAGGGCAUCCACGGGAGGCCAAUGUCUACCCUCGCUCUACACCCCUCUAGUACAAGGCUCUAGGAGGGAGAGAGGCAACAAGUGUGUGACACCAAGGUAAAUAUGCUUGACCUUAUGGCUUUGGGAGCAACUUGCAUUUAAAGACUUGAUGAUUCACAAGAUUCUACAAUUCAUACCAAGUAUUGCAUUUUGCGACGUUCUUCAUCAAUGAGAGAGCCUAGAUAUCCAUUGUCAAGAAUUAUUUAUGUAUGAAAAUAAAGGCGCCUAACCGACAUGCCCAAGAUCAAGGCAACUGGAGUGUGUUGCUUCGCCCAAGUUACUUAGCGCGUUUUGUGCCAAAGUUUGUUGUUCGCUCAAGAGGGCUUUUGUGAAUCUUUGUAAUAAAGGGAUAAUACAGAGUGGGCCGUAAUUUAGCAUCUUACACGCUUAGUUUCUUCCAUUGGUGGCAUAUAUUAUUUUGUCUGUCAUUGGUGAUUAUUUAAUAAAACUAUGAGAGUAUUUCAUGAAAUAUAAAUAAGAGGUUUUUAGGAUAUUUAAUCGAUGGUAAACAAAAGUUGAAAACUAAGUAGGGAGGAAGAUAAAAUAUUUUAGAUUUGAUAGUGGACUUGAGCAUUAGAACAAGAAGUUCACAAAGUAUUGCGAGAAUUCUUAUAUAACUUAACAUCACAUGUAAAGAAAUUACAAAGCAAAAUGGAGUGGUUGAAAAGAUGAAUAGAACACCAUUGGAAUGACUAGGUGGCUAAGAUUAAUCAUUGGGUUACUUAAGAAUUUAAGGGCUAAAGCUAUCAACAUAACUUAUCAUGUAAUUACUUAGUUGUCAAGUUUUACAAUUAUUUUCAAUAUUCCAAAAGAAGUGUCAAGUAAAUCAAUUGACUUUUCAUCUAUUGAAAUAUUUGAUUGUUGCACUUAUCUUCAUAUAUAGGUGAAAAAAAAAUUCAAUCCAAAAUAAAAAAGGUAUAUAUUCCUUGGGUUUGAAAAAAGGAUUGAUUAAAGACUAUAGACUUUGGGAUCCAACAAUUAAAGAAAAAAAAGUGGUGAGUAGAGAUGUAUUCGAUGAAAAACAUAUGUUAAAGAAAGAUCAAGGACAAAUGAAAUUGUUAUUGAAAAAAAAUUCAACUACAUGACCAAUCAUCGAGAUGAAAUUUGAGAAAAAUGUCAUUAAAUAUGAAAUCCCUCCUAAUUGAUGUCCCUAUUAGAACUUUAUAUAGGCAUCUUUCUCUAUUGCUCUAAAGAAUCAUCGUAUUGGGUAAGGACAUCAAUUUUAAGAUUUUAAUUUUUUUUUCAUUAUUUAUUGGAAUAGGAGAUCUUUAAUUUUUUUUGGGGUGCAAUUAGGAAGGAUGAUAGUUAUCAAUGUCUUGGUGCUAUGUCAAAUGAGAAUCCAAUGCACAUGUUGACUAAAGUUGUUCUUAAGGAUAAGUUCAAGCAUUGGUUGAAUGUCAUUAAUUUUUCAUUUUGUAGAACAUGGAAGGUCAAUUUUAUCGAAGAGCCAGGUCAAUCAACUUCUAUUAGGACUUCUAUUGAUUCUUGACCAAUGCACAUGUUGACUAAAGUUGUUCUUAAGGAUAAGUUCAAGCAUUGGUUGAAUGUCAUUAAUUUUUCAUUUUGUAGAACAUGGAAGGUCAAUUUUAUCGAAGAGUCAGGUCAGUCAACUUCUAUUAGGACUUCUAUUGAUUCUUGAUUUGAUUAGAGGGACUCCUAGCAGUAAACUUGUAUGAAGGGGCCCUAUGGAGAUGCAAGAGAUGCAAGAGCUGCCAAUCAGAUCGACCAAUAAAUGAUAGGCCCAUGCAGAGAUGUCCCUGAAAUAGGGGAUUGGUUGAUUGGAAAGCUUAGGCAGUGUAUAAAGGAGAACAAUUUAGCAUAUUGGGAAAAACACAUAUGAAGAUGUUUACAAGUUUGGAAAAUUGAGUUAAAGAAUAGAUGGUCUAAAAAUGUUUCAAAUUUCAAUUUUAUGUUUUUCUAAGUUUGAUAUAUCCUAUUUGGAUAUUUAGGAAGUCUUCUCUUGUUAGAUAAGAUAGUCCUAUGAUGAGAUUUGUUAUGAAAAUAGGUUCUUCCUCGUGUGAAAUAUUCCUAUGAAAUUAAGAAGGAAUAUAGGAAGAGUUUUGAUUGAAAUUAUGAAUCUUUUUUUUAUGUAAUUAGAACUAAAAUAUGAGAGUUUUAUAAUUGUAAUUACACCUUUGAAUAUAAAUAAUUGAUAAUAGUGAAUUAGUUUACCUUCUCCCUCUAAAUGUAGGUAAAUGCUAAAUUAUGUUAAAUCUUGUAUUCUCAUAUGAUUUUUUUUUCAUUUAUUUUUCAUUUUCUUGCCCAUUUCUAACUUGCUACUACAUAAUAACAGGUGGUAUCAGGCUUUUUGUGUUUGCACAACAAAUGGUCUCAGUAUUUCCAGCACCACAAAAAUGAUAUUUUACUUAAUUGCUCCUCAGUGGAAAAGUUGGAAAGAAAAAUUAAAUCAUCGACUAUACCUUUUUUUUUUUUUUUUCAAAACUUUUCUCGUCUUUGUGCAAGAAAAUUAGUAUAUUUUCUCUUUAGUAUUUGUUUCUCUUUUAUAUAUAUUCAAAUGAAACCUUAAUCAUCUUUUAUAUGAAGUAUAAAAGAAUUAGAAAAUAUUCAAAUUUUAAAUGAUUUUUAUUAUACUUUGUCCACUUCCUAUUUCAUAUAUCAAAUUACAAUAGAAUUUAAAAUUCUUUUAUACGUUUUUCCCCCCUUUGCUACCACAUAAAUGCAAAGACAGUAUGUGAGUUAAAUACCUUAAAAGAAAAAGAAAUUAAAAUGUGAUAGAAAACAAAUGUAACCUCUUGAAAUUCAAGGAAACAAAACACUAAACUUUUUCAUGUAUUUUAUUCCAUUUAUAAAUGCAACAUGACAAAAAUAGACAAAAAUAUAAAUGGAAGCCCUUUGGGUCCUUCAUUUUAUAUUUUAUCAACUUCGACCAAUUCUAUUUCUAUAGCACAACCGAUACUAUAAAGUUCAAUGAGUAUAUAAUAUAUAAAGAUACUAAUCAAUACGAAUUAUUCUUUCUUUCAAAUGGCUACUUGUAUUAAAAAUUAAAUGUAAUUCCUCCUAAACAAUAAAAUAUGUUGACACGAUUUCAAUGAAUAUACAGUACAUAAAGAUAUGACCAAUUAGUACGAAUUAUUCUUUCUUUUAAAUAGCUACUUAUACUAAAAUAUAAGUAAAUAUAAUUCCUCCUAGAUAACAAAAUAUGUUGACACAAGGAGGAAUAUAUUUACUAAUUAUAUCAUUUGCAAUAGCCUCAAUCUCGCGACGUUCUUCGAACCAACCAUAGACUUUAUUGAGAUAGGUUAACCAAGGGAGCUUCCACUCUCAUAACUCGUAUAUGAAAAUUUCAUCUUGUACAACUCAAAUAGAAACCCAUAAAUACCAGUUGAAACCAAAAUGUAAUAAAUAAAUAAAAACAUAUUUCAAUGGAUCCAAUUAGUAUUUUUCCGAUCUAGGAUAAACAAACAAAUUUUUCUUCAUUUUGCUUUUUUUUUGUAUUAAUCUUUGUAAGUAAAUUAUAUUUUAAUUUAACAAAGCACUAAACUUUACUUUAAUUUUCAUGCAGGAUCAACUAGCUUAUCAUAAUAAAAUUUAUCAAUAUAGUUGAGCAGAGAUUUGAUGUAAUAAUACCAUACAAAAUUCAAGUAAAAUUAAAUUAAUCAAAUAGGACACUACGGUUAUAUUUGGAUACAUAUUCUAUUUUUUAUUUUUAAAAUUAAAAUUUUGAUAUAAAAUAUGACAACCCUUUGUAUAAAAAAUAAAAAUUUAUCCUAUAAUCUUAAAACUACUUUUCAAUAUUAAAAAAAAAAUGAGGAUGUGUCCUAAAAUUUUAAACAAAUUUAAAAAUAUUUUUAAAUACCAAGAUAUCCACUUUUUUCUUUUUUAAUAAAAAUUCCUAUAUUUGAUAUAAAACUCUAUUUUAAAAAAUGAAAAAUAAAAAAUGUAUCCAAACAUAAGCAAAAUUGUUAGAUUUCAUUGUGAGAUUUCUUAGAUUCUACAAUUCAUAGUGAAAUGAAGACGAGAUAUAACUGACUGAACUAUGAAAAAAAAAAAAUUAACAUUGAUGAGAUUCAAAAAUGCUAGUUAAUGAAAGAGUUUCUCCGCCAGGAUGACUAAGAAAAAUGCUGAAAAAUGUGUCAUGCCCAAAGCAAUGUUACAAUGAAGAAUAGAAUGAGAGCUAACCCGAAACAAAAUCCGACAAUCGCCAUGAAAGCCUGGAUGCAGAGGAAAUGUAACUAGAGACAUGUAAGGAAUCAUUAAACAAGUGAGAACAAUAUCAAAAUCUCAUGUACGACUUACCUUUCCCUGAGAUUCAAACUUGAAUUUUACUGUAAACCAUGACAAUCCUCUAUCUACAAUAGGAGCAAGUGCAAGGGCCCUGCAUGAGAAGCACCUCUACAAAAAUCACAGAAAACCCAAAGGAAAAAAAAAAAAAUAGGGUUGAAUAUGCUAUAGUUGAAUAACAGCCACAAUGCUGGGAAGGUCAAUAACAAAAGCAUUGACUUGAAUGUUAGCAGUGUCAUUUACACUGGCCAUAAGAACCAGAGGUAAUGCGUACAGUUGGUAAGUGGGGAGGAGGGGAUGAGAAAUUGCAAAGUCUUGAAUUUAAUUGUUUCAUGCAAUUCCGUUUUCCAAUACUCUAUAUGAUAAUAUACAUUGUACGGAACAAAAAUAGGGUUGUUUUAAAAUUUUGAACAAAUAAAAAUUUCAUAUCAAUAUCUAAUAUUUAAUAAAAAAGAAUGAAACAAGAGUAAGUACAUUCUCUUCUCCUUAACAUGGUAUUAAAGCAGUCUCCAAACUCUUAACUCCUAGUUGCAAACUUGAUUUCCACUGGAAGUUGCAGUUUGCUUAUUUUGUUAUUCAAGUAAGUUACUUCAAUCUAUCAUAGUUUAAAUGACUUGGGAUGGUAGUUGUCAUGGGCACGAAUUUUCCCACAAAUUUUUUGCAUCCACGCAGCGCUUAGAAGCCCUCUGAGCCAACAUACUCAAACCCACAUGAGAUUGCAAUCAAGAAAAAACUCACAAAGACACACAAGGCUAUGGAGCUCAAUCCCUAACUUGUAUUUUAUUUCUUCUCUAAAUAACAAUACAAGACAUAGCUCAACAAGACUUCCACAAUCUCUUUGGUGAGUUCAUGCUCUCUCUCAAGCUAUGUUUUAAGAAAGUUCUCCCUCUCAAUAUACCUCUGUAUAUUCUCUAUGAUCUCCAGAUUGCACGAUAAUUCAAAGGGCACUCCAGUCCUCCUUUUAUAGGUGUGACACCAACCACUCCCUAUUCGAUAAGGAGCAAUACAUCUUCCUUAAGCUUGUCCCAAUGCCAAGACAUCUUUGUUGUGUUCUGCCUGAAGUCUACCCACUCUUGUGCCUUGAGUCAGUUCAUUCAUGCAUUUGAAUCAGCUGAUGCAUCCGAUCAGCUUGCUAUAGAGUCUCUAGGCAGCCUACUACAUGUGUCUCUAUGCAACUAGUGUGCAUGCCAAGCCCUCUCUUAGCCUACAGAUCUAGCAAUUUUCCUUGGUGCCAAUCUUUUCUUUGGUUCUAGCUCCUUGUUGUUCCUUGAGCGUGUCAGUCAUGCUCAUAUGUGUUCCCGCAUCUGGAUCACGUCCAUGCCGAGGCAACCUGCCCAUGUUUGCUCUGCCUAGUUGUUGCUAUAGCAUCAUGCCAUGCCCAAGCCCUCUUCUUGGUGCAGCAACGAGUCAUGGCAUUGCACCCAUGACUCCUCAUCUCUACGCACAAGGCAUUGUGCCUUUGUGCUAAGCAUUAGGCAUCACAUCUGAGUCGGCUUCCCUUAUCUCUAUGCACAAGCCUCAAGGCAUUGUGCCCUUGUGCCAAGCCACCUUAUUGCACAAGGCAUUUCCCCCUCAUGCUACCGUUGGGAAGGGAAGACUGCAUAGCACCCCAAGUCGUUGCAACCAUGAGUUGCACACCAUCACAUGUCAUGGAGCCCAUGUAUGGCUGCUAGCAAGGCGUUGCCCAUGUGCCUUGCUCAUGUCUGAGGACUUGCACUGAAGCCCCUAAGUGUGGCCAUGCCCAUGCCACCUCGUCUCCCUUGAGUCACCCCCACCCUCGCCCCCCUUAAAAGAGCAUUUUAAGCCCUUUUAAUUAAUUCAGGAAAAUCUAGAAAAUUCCCUUCCACUUGGAGUCUCCCUUUUGAAGGUUCCUAUAAAUCUUUUAUCUCUAAGCAAAUUAACCAAGUCACUUAAUUGUUUUGCAACAUUCCUUCCCUUCCCAUAGUGUAUUUCAAGAUCUCUUAAUGAACAAGACAAUUGGUGGAGGGCAUGAAGUAAAUGGAAUUUAUCACCAUAUCGGCCCACCUCUUACUCCAAUUGCUCUACAUACUUCCAUUUCUUCUAUGUAGUGGCACACCUUUCACUUCGCAUCUUUAGCAUAUGGGACUUCUAGUUAUAUUGGACUCCAAGUUAAAGCACCAAGUUUGCGAGUCAAGAAAAUAGCUUCAUCAUAGUGUUGUUCUAGUCCUUUUUGUGCUAUAAUCAAUAAGAGGAGUACUAGUCCUUUUCAUCUUGUUCAUUUAGACAUUUACAGUUUAUGUUGUGUUGUUCCUAAUGUUGAACUAAACUUUCUUAUUGCUAUUUUAUUAAUUAGAUCAAUGAAAAUGGUAUGAGCAUAAAGAGGCUGAAUAAUAGGUACUAAUCUCUUAAAAAAAAAAUUUUAAAAAUAAUCUUAUAGAAACAUCAUCAGGUGACUAUGCACAAGUAAAUGGUCUGACAAGGCGUGAGAAAAACAUUCAUUUUUGUGCAAGAACCAAGUAUUUGCAUCUUAAUCAACCAAAGAAUAAAUGGCUGAAGACAAUAAAUGACUGAACAAAAAGAAAAUCAUAAGUUUUAGGCCAGACACUUUUUUCAUCAAUUAUAUACAACAACAAUAAAUCAAAUAGUCCUAAAUUUCAAGAGAAUAAUGCUCAGCAGCUAUGCAUACUCACAAGUCACAAAUACCUCAUCCUUAACUAAUUUACAUGAAUGAAUUAUUUACUUACCAUACCAAGAGAAACGUUGUAAGAUAGUAUGCAGUAUUCAGGAGUCCAUAGGAUAAUAUUCCAGAAAUUCCAUAUCUCUUCAGUUUCUUUAGAAGACUGAAAGGUUAAGCAAGAGUGAGCUCUCAAUGUAAGUAGACAUGCAUUUAUGCAUACAAAGGGCAAAAGGAUUGAGGUAUCACUUCUUACAGAUUGUUUGCAUGAAAUUCAGUAGUAGAAGAGAAAUUAAUAUGAUUGGGACAAGAUCACUCAUCCAAACAAUAGUUUAUUUACUGAGAAAAGGUCUACAGCAUACUCAUGCAGUAGACAAAAUGAAUCUUUUGUGUCAUGUUCCAAUAAUGUUAACAAACUACAUUAAAUUCAUAAGGUUACAUAGAAAAAGAAAGAAAAGACAUUGUUGCAAUAGUUUGUCUGUUACACUGCUAGCACCCAGACUACGACCAAAUCCUUGCAUUCAAAUUGAAUUUCAAACUCCCAAUGUGAAAAAGGAAGAUACAAAAAAGAAAAGAAAAAAAAGAAGAAAAAAAAAAGUGGGAAAGAAAAGAGACAUGGGAUUUCUAUGUAUAAUAAAUACAUAUUAUAUGUAUAGAUAAAUGCAUGUAUGUGCAUAUGUGAUAGAGGCUGGUCAGACACAUUUCAAGAAGUUUCACAACUUGCUUUGGAAUGACAAACACCUGGAUCAAUAAAUGGCUUGUCUCCAUUAUUGAGAAAUUGCAGAUAAAUUUCAUCCACUACGGGCAUGGGGUGGCUGGACAAAGUUAUGCCAUUUGGUGGGAUGUAGUGGACUUAAGACAGAAAAUUCUCAAUCAUUCUUCUGUCCCUUGUGCAGUGUUGAAGCUGACAAUAUUAUUGAGCAUACAAGGAAUGUGAUGUAAAACAUCAUUGAGGAGCCAUGAGCUGCGAAUGCAUGGAGAAAUUAAGUUAUGAUUAAGUUUUGGUGAGGGAUUUUCAGAUGCAGAUCAUAUGGCAAAUUAUCAACUUCAGAGAAUUGCACGUUUUUAUUCAUUUCCAUACACAUUGAAUAAUCAUAUUUAAAAUCUCUCAUUCACUUGUUUCGCUUCCAUUAGUGCUCCUUCCACAUGCCUAUUAGCAGCACAGACCUCAUGAUAGUUUGGUAAAGGUAAGACAAUAAAAUUGAAAAAUACAGCUAAAGCCUAAAAUAUUGGCUAAUAAAGAGAGAAACCAUCCAAGUUCUAUCUUAAAUGACUCUACAAGUUCUAAACAGGGAGACAAGGACUUCAACCUGGUCCAUCAAUGCAUAUAAAUGGGUAAACAUUCCAACAGCCAUUACGUUAGAAGUACACUAAAAGAAAAUUAUUAAACAAUGUUGUUUCCAAAAAAAUUCCAUGUUAAAGAAUAGAAGAACAUACUGCUAUAAAUGAAAUUCAUUCAAAAUCAGUUCAAACAGUAAAGUUAAGAAUUGUGACUGCAAUUUUUUUCUAAGAAAGAAACAACAAUUGUGACUGCAUAUCACCCACACUUGUUUUAUUUACAAUCCACACAAUGUAUUCUUCCCUAGCAUGUUAUCCCAUUAAGUAGCCUCCAGAUAAAAUUCCCUUUCCAACUCUGUCAAUCAGUCAAAAAAUUUCAUGUAAAAUGUAAAAUACAUGGGUACACAAAAACAACUAUAUAAACUGCCAUCCCAUCAUUAAUAAAUCAGUUGUCUAUAACAUAGACUAAUAGCAUUGUAAGGCAAGUAGGAAGUACUCUUUUGAUGUGUGCAGUUCUCCUUCACCAUUUUCGCCCUUUGCACUUGAGUCUAUAAAAAUAUGUAUAAGUAGAUUUUUAGAAAUAUCAAGUUUAUCAAAUGUAAAAUAUGGUAUCACAAAAAGCUACACCAUUUUUCCAGUUAUCAUUUGAAAGAUAUUGAUACCUUCAUGGUUGGCAGAGUAGUCAUGACCAUUUGACAUGCCAGAAGCCUAACCUACAACAAAGGCAAUGUUGAAAAAGCAAUAUUCAAAAUUCAAUGAAAAAAAUAGAAGACAAACAAAUGAACAAAUAGCAUAUCAUCACACUCAAUUGUUUUCCACAUAUGAUAAACUAAAUGAAAGAAACAAGGAAUAUAUUGAGAAAAAACCCUAUGAUCAAUGGAUAUGCAGUCGCAUUCCAGCACAGAUAUAGGAUCAAACAAGUAACUAAUCUAGACAUAGCUGCAGCAAAUUUGUGUAUCUCUGAAUGUGUGUCUGCUUUUUGUGGGGGUAUUUAUUAUGACAUGUUCUUGGUGCAGACAAACCAUCUGCAUUUACUUGAGGAUUAGGUAAAAAACAUACUUUUCAUUUAAAAUGAGGCCUUGAACAUCAAGCCACGGUGAGUUUUCAAAUAAGGAAAACGUAAUAGCUUUACAAUGAGUCCCAUAGCAAGAAGGCAUAUAAUUCCAUUCAUCAGCAUACCAGAAUAUAGAAUAGUGUGGACAUGUGGACACAUGCCAGAAUUAGCAUUGGACACACUAACAUGCCAGUCAUACAUAGAAAGAAUUUCCAAAGAUAUUAAAGUAAAACACUGGUAGUAAGCAAAUUAUACCCAGAAAAACAUGCAAGUAUAGGCCAAGAUCAAAUCUUAAUUUUAAUUUCUAGAAAAAAAAAAAUUUAUAUCAACCAAUAGAAAUGGUAUCACCAGCAAUUAACACCAAAACACACCAACAUAUCGGAAUGCAUAACACGUGUACCCAUCUCCAAUCAGCACUACACCUAUACAAGUUAGCCUGUAGCAGGUCAUAAUAGGUUCAGACUAUAAAACCUUCCAAAUCUUCCUUUGCAAGGCUUAGAAACCAUUUUCUAAGUAAUUUACAAUUUUAAAAGCCUGUGACAAGAUUUUGGAUGAAGAGCUUGAAUUAUAUACUCACAAACCCACUCCAAAAUUUCCUUAAGGUAAUACACAUUUUUUGAAGUCCUUUCCAAUGUCUUCUCUUAUUUGAGUUAGAAAAGCCAAUUUUUUUAUGAAUUGAUUACUACGUCUAUUGAGGUUUGAGGUGUAUAACUAAUUUCUUAAUAUAUCAUAAUUUACAUCAGUUAUUAGAAAUUAAGGUUCAAUCCUUUUACACUAAGAAAAUCCUGAGCAAUUAAAAAAUACCUUCUUUAAUAUUAUUAAAUUUAAGUUUCCUUCAGGUCUUUGAGUCAAAUAGAAAUUAGUGUAAAAGGAAUUUUAAUUUUCUUACACUAAGAAAAUUAAAAAAUAGGCAAAAUAAUUUUCAAAUUUUGGAACUUUAUAGGUAAUGCUUAUUAAAAUAAAGCAACAAAGUUUGUCAUUUGCCAUUGAAUGAACCAAUUGUAGAAAACUAUGCAAAAAAUUUUAUUAGUAUGGAUUUUUUUUUUCUACCGAUAAAUAGAAUUCAAUUUCAAACCUGCCCCUCCCAACCCACCACUUGCUGCUUGAGGCAAGCUUAGAGGCAGAAAACUAUUUACAAUUCUACGUAUGGAUAAAAAUUAUUCUUAGAUUUUAUGCCAAAUUCCAUAUUUAUAGGUAUCAAUUUAUUAUUCUACUGUUGUCAAAAGCUUCAAUUUUAGGCGUCCUCAUGGUUAUGCCACCCUUAAAUGAGAACAACUUUGGUCUUCUGUUUUUCUUUUUGAGCUCUUCAAAUUUUUGCAAGGUAUUUUUAUAAUCUUAUUAAGCUCAAUGGGAGAGAGAGAGAGAGAGAGGGCGAGAGAGAGAGAGAGGGCGUGAGGGAGUGUGAGAGCGCGUGCGACGGCGACGACGAUGAGUCCGGCGAGGCGAGUCGAAAGCGAAGCUUCACGGUGGAAUCCAAGACUUUCGAGCUUGCCUUGGAUGAUAGGAAAGGGAAACGCCAGAUUCGCAUUGUGGAGAAGAAGCGGGGGGUCUCGACAUGGGUUCGAUUAGGGCUGGAAAGCUUAGGGCUCUUCAAGGAGGGACUAAUCCAUUGUAUACGAGACGAAAAAGAAGGGAGAUGGGAAAAGGAGUGGAAAGAAAGAGGCAAGCUGUAUACAUUGGCUCGGGGUUUCAACAGAGCGGGUGGUUUUUUAAGGUUGGGGGUUGUGGAUCUGGAACGAAAAAGGUUUUGUAUCUUCUUACCGAGAGGUAGGAGGAACAAAAGAGGAUGGACGACUAUGGCGGAGAUGGUACAUCAAAUGGAAGAACUGGCUAGUGGAAGAACAAACUUGCAGGAGGUAAGGACCGUCGGAAAAGCUACUCCGGCGAAAUCAUACGCAGAAGCAGUCAUGAGAACAAAUUGGAAUGGCUUAAACGCAAUCAAGAUGAAGGUCACUAGGGAGGAGAUUGCUGGAAAUUUACAGAAGCUGGAGCACUGCCUCGUCGCGAGCUGGAAGUCCAACGAAAAGGAAGAAGAAGACUUGGAGAGAUUGGGAAGUCAUUGGGCGAAUUCUUGGGGUCUUAAAGGCAAGCUAGGGCUGGCCAAGUUGGAACAAGGUAGGGCACUGUUGGAGUUUGAAGAUCUAAGAGAGGCACACCGUGUGGUCUCCUCGGGGAGCAGAGUGAUGGGAGGAGCUCACUUAGGGUUGGAUCUAUGGAAUCCAAAGACGGGAUGUCGGGUAGAGGAGGAGAUGGAACAGGAAGCUUGGGUUAAAAUCUUCGGCCUUCCAAUUUCGCUAUGGAGCCCGGGGAUUCUGAAGAAAAUAGGGGAGGAAUGUGGGGGCUUUGUAGAUAUUGACGAGCGGACAAGGUCGAUGGGGGAGAUUCAAUGGGCUAGGAUACUGGUCAAAAUAAGAGGUGAUUUUAGACCAAGUAUGUUAGAAAUUGAGGUAGAGGAGGAGGUAUACACUGUGACACUGUGGUGGGAGAUUAGGCCGGUGGUGAGACGGAUCUUCUCUGCGACGGAAAACAGGAGGAGAAAGGAGGUCAGGGGUGACUCGUAUUCACGCGCGGAGAAGCGCGUGGGGAAGGAGCUGGUAGACGCGGGAAUCGAGGAACUGCACCUGCCAGAUGUUGGGAGUGAUCUGCAGGAGAAUAGGCCGGGUCUAGUGCCCGGGAACCAGAUCCAUGGCCCGGUGACCCGGGAUUGGGCCUAUCCAGAUGGAAGAGUGGCUGGGUCAACCGCAUGUGGCCCAAAUAUGGAUCUUAAUGAGUUGGAGAAGGAUGGUGGGCAGACUAAAAUAGACGGGCCUUUGGGCCGAAAGUUAAAAAAUAAGUCAAAGGUGGCUAGUGAUUCAGAGGCAGGCCCAUCGUCUAGUAGUUGGGCUGCUGAACUGGGCUGCCAUCCUUUAGUUGAGGUGGAAGGCCUGGAAAGGGAGGGCCCAACUGUUCCCCUAGAGAAGGCUGGUUUUUUGGGCCGUUUUAGCUCCAGAAAAGGACCCAUUUCAGAGGAUCCUUUGACGAGCUGGGUGCCAGAGGAGUUUAGAAGGGAACAGAGGGAUGAUGGCUUUUCAAUGACUGAUCGAGCGCUGUAAGAGGAAGCUAAAAGGUAUGUCCUGAUUUCCCAUCCUAAAGGAAAAUGGGUUAUGGGGACACCUCUUCUUCUCUCUUCUAAUUCUGAUCGGGCUCCGGAGGGGGAGUCUUUUGAUCGCCCAGGGGGAAUUGAGGAGGAAUUAAGGGGGGACAUGUCAACAUGGUUAACAGUCUAUGAGGGGAACGUUGAGAAUGAAAAUGGAUCUUGGAAGCUGGGAGAGGACAACAAAAGCAGAGACAAGGUUAAGGGCAAGGAGGAGAACACUGGGGUCUCUGGUUCUCAAGAUACCGAAAAUGAGAAAGAGGAUCUAUGAGAGGACUGUAGUCUUGCAAAAUUUAGCCAAUUCUUGGGAUUCUCUAUGAAGGGGCUGGAAAAGGAGAUAUUGAAUUUUCUGAUUAAAAUCAAAAAGAGGCGGGAAAAGAUUCACAGCAAAGAACUUUUGGAGAAGUCCAAGUUUGAAAGGGAACUAAAGAGGCUGGAAUGCUCUAUCAAUUACGAGGGGGGGAAUAAGCAGAAAGGUCCUUCACAGGGCAAAAGGAAUCAGUUGAUAGUUGCCCAAUGAAGCUGAAGAUUAUAACCUGGAAUGUGAGGGGAGCUAAUGACAGCUCUAAGAGGAAAAUUAUUAAGAGCUAUAUAAGGAACCAGAGGGUGGACCUAAUGUGUAUUCAGGAAACCAAGAUUCAGGAGAUGUCGGAGGGUAUUGUGAGAAGUCUGGGUUCGGGGAGAUUCUUAGAUUGGAGAGCCUUAAAUGUGGAGGGGGCUGCGGGUGGCAUUUUGAUAUGCUGGGACAAGCGGGUUCUGGAUAUUUUGGAUUGGGAGGAGGGUCAGUUCUCUUUGUCUUGUAGAUUCAAGACCACAGUAAAUGGGGCUACUUGGGUUUUUACGGGAGUGUAUGGUCCUUUUACCAAAGUGGAAAGGGAGGGUAUGUGGGAAGAACUUGGGGCAAUAAGAGGCCUUUGGGAUGAUCCCUGGUGUCUCGAUGGGGAUUUUAAUAUCACUCUGUUUCAACAAGAAAGGAGCAGCCAAAGAAGAAUCAGCUCAGCCAUGCGGAGAUUUGCAGAGACUGUGGAUGAUCUAGAGCUGGUGGACCUGCCCCUUCAGGGGGGAGAGUUCACAUGGAAUGGGGGGCUUAAUAAUCAGGCGUGGGUGAGACUAGACAGAUUUUUAGUUUCCCCUAGCUGGUUAGAUCAGUUUAGUGGAUUCACUCAGGGCAGGUUGUCUCGGCCAAUUUCUGAUCAUUUUCCAAUCGUGUUAGAGGGGGGUGGAAUAAGAGAGGCCCAACCCCGUUUAGAUUCGAAAAUAUGUGGCUUAACGUUGANGNUUUAAUGACAUUGUUAGAACCUGGUGGNNNNNNNNNNNNNNNNNNNNNNNNNNNNNNNNNNNNNNNNNNNNNNNNNNNNNNNNNNNNNNNNNNNNNNNNNNNNNNNNNNNNNNNNNNNNNNNNNNNNAGGAAGCUGAAUUAAAAAAGGAAGCUAAAGACUCCUUUAAGAAAUGGGUCCUGUUGGAGGAAGCCCAUUGGAGACAGCACUCAAGGGAGAUUUGGUUAAGGGAGGGGGAUAGAAACAUGGGGUUCUUCCAUAGAAUGGCAAGUGCUCAUCGAAGAAACAACGCUAUGGACAGAAUUAAGGUUAAUGGGGAGUGGCUAGUAGAGGAGCAGGAGGUGAGAGAAGGAGUUGAGAAUUCGUUUCAGCAGUUGCUUUCUGAAGAUAUGGGUUGGCAGGCGGAUAUUGGUAGAAUUCAGGUGGGUUGCAUCAUUCAGCAAGAAGCAGAGAGUCUGGAAAUCCCAUUUGCAGAGAUUGAGAUUCACUCGGCGCUGAUGGAGAUGAAUGGGGAUAAAGCCCUUGGCCCGGAUGGUUUUACUGUAGCCUUUUGGCAAAAUGCAUGGGAUUUUACCAAAGAGGAGAUCAUGGAGAUGUUUAAAGAAUUUCAUGAGCAUAAUUCCUUUAUUAGGAGCCUUAACAAUACUUUCUUGGUGUUGAUACCUAAGAAAAGCGGGGCUGAGGAUCUUGGAGACUUUAGACCUAUCAGCCUGUUGGGGGGGGGGCUCUAUAAACUUUUGGCUAAAAUCUUAGCUAAUAGGCUCAAAAAAGUGAUUGGUAAGGUGGUCUCUAUUGCUCAGAAUGCCUUUGUAAUGGGAAGACAAAUUCUGGAUGCGUCUUUAAUUGCUAAUGAGGUGAUAGAUUCGUGGCAGAAGAGAAAAGAAAAGGGUCUUAUUUGCAAAUUGGAUAUAGAAAAAGCUUAUAACAGCAUUAAUUGGAAUUUCUUAAUGAAGGUCCUUCAAAAAAUGGGCUUUGGGACCAAGUGGGUGGGAUGGAUGUGGAGUUGCGUGUCUUCUGCUAAAUUCUCUAUUCUUGUUAAUGGAGUGCCAGUUGGGUUUUUCCCUAGCACUAGAGGGCUUCGUCAAGGGGAUCCUCUAUCCCCUUACCUCUUUGUUAUGGGAAUGGAGGUUCUGGACAUCCUUAUCAGGAGAGCGGUGAAGGGGGGAUAUCUUUCAGGAUGCAACAUUCGGGGUGGUAGUAGAACUUCCUUGAAUAUCUCCCACCUAUUUUUUGCUGAUGACACAAUUGUGUUUUGUGAGGCGAGCAAAGAGCAAGUUUCUCACCUAAGCUGGAUUCUUUUUUGGUUUGAAGCGGCUUCGGGUCUUCGAAUUAAUCUAGCCAAAAGCGAAAUCAUUCCAGUUGGAGAAGUGGAGGAGAUUCUUGAGAUGGCAGUUGAGUUAGGGUGCAGGGUGGGGUCUCUGCCCUCUCAUUAUUUGGGUCUCCCCUUAGGGGUCCCCAAUAGGGCUACUUCUAUGUGGGAUGGAGUGGAAGAGAGGGUCAGAAGGAGACUUGCGCUUUGGAAAAGACAGUACAUUUCCAAAGGGGGGAGGAUCACUCUCAUAAAAAGCAUCUUGGCUAGCAUGUCAAUUUACCAAAUGUCUAUUUUCCGAAUGCCCAAGUCUGUUGCUAAAAGAGUGGAGAAAUCCCAAAGAGAUUUCCUAUGGGGGGGAGGAAACUUAGAGGGAAAAGUUCACUUAGUUAAAUGGGAUGCGGUCUGUACAGAAAAACACAAGGGAGGGCUAGGAUUAAGGAGAAUAGUCACUCUGAAUAGAGCCUUGCUGGGCAAGUGGAUUUGGAGGUUUGCUUGUGAAAAGGAUAACCUUUGGAAACAAGUGAUCACUAUGAAAUAUGGGCAAGAGGAUUAUGGUUGGAGGUCAAAGAAGGCUAGUGGGGCGGCCGGAGUAGGGGUCUGGAAGGAGAUUAUGAAAGAAUCUGUUUGGUGCUGGGAAAAUUUGGCUUUUAUAGUUGGGAAGGGUUCCAAAAUCAAAUUUUGGAAAGAUAGUUGGUGCACUGACACUCCGUUGUCCCAAUGCUUCAAUCAUCUCUUUGUCCUUGCCGUGCAUAGGGAUGCUACGAUUGAGGAGAUGUGGGAUCAGGACUCGGGCCAAGGAGAUUGGAAUUUUGUUUUUGUGAGGGACUUCAAUGAUUGGGAGUUGGAUAUGGUUGGGGAGCUGCUUCAUACUUUGAGGGGUCAUAGGCCCUCCCUGGAGGAUGAUUCAGUUAUGUGGAGGCAUGGAAGAAAUGGUCUAUUCAGGGUCAAAGAAGCUUACAAGCUGUUAGACAAGCCUAAUGUCACAGUAUUUCCCGCAAGGAGAAUAUGGGUGGAUAGGGUGCCAACUAAAGUCUGCUUUUUUGCUUGGGAGGCUACGUGGGGGAAGGUGCUCACUCUGGACAGACUCCAGAUAAGAGGGGUGCAACUCCCAAAUUGUUGCUUUUUGUGUGGUUGUGAAGAAGAGAAUGUAAAUCAUAUUCUUUUACACUGUAUAGUGACUAGAGCCCUAUGAGAUAUUAUUUUUGGGUUGAUAGAUGUUAAGUGGGUCCUCCCAGAAACUGUAAAUGAGACUUUAAUCUCUUGGAGGGGCUCAUUUGUAGGGAAGAAAAGGAAAAAGAUUUGGAAAUCCAUUCCGUUAUGUAUUUUUUGGACGGUUUGGAAGGAGAGGAAUAGGUUAGCCUUUAAGGGGGGUGCGUUGAAUAUUCAGAAAUUAAAGAAUUCUUUUGUCUGUAACUUGUGGAAUUGGGACAAAGUGUAUUUAGGUGAGGAGUCUUUCUCCCUUAUAGGUUUUUUGGAGUGGAUAGCUUCCACUUAAGGGGAGGUAGUUCUUUUUGUUCCUUUUUCUCUUUUUGAGGCAGUAGCCGUCUUGUAUACUCCCUGUAUGCUUUGUGGCGUUUAGCCUUUUCUAAUGCAUAUCUUGUUUACUUAUCAAAAAAAAAAAAAAUUUGCAAGGUACUUCUAUCCAGGUUCUAGGAAACACCCACUUUUUUAAAUCUCCAAUAAUUUAGUGUUCUGUGGCUGAGGGAAUAGACUUAUUUUUGGUUGAAACACAUAAAAUUCUUGGAUAUGUAUAUAUAUAUUUUUUGGCAUCAGGUCCUUUUAGGUUGAUUUUUCUACUUAUUUUUCACCCACCAAUUAACAUUGCCCUAACUCUAUUAUCUAACCGAGCAAAUGUUUAUGAACUAGCAAAUCAUACUAAAAUUUCUUACUAGUUGACAUGUGCAUCAUCUCAGCAUGUCAUUCCAACACCAAACUACAACCAUAAUCCCACUAACAUCCUAACUGCCUCAAUGAGUAUGGAUUACAGAAAUGCAAUUAAAAUAUACUUCCCUAUUUAAUUUCAUAAUUUUUAUAAUAAUAUUUCAGCAAUAUUUCCACAUAGUAGCUUAUGUGAGAAAUCCCCAUUUCUGUUUAAAAUCGAAAAACCCUAUAGCUUGCGCAAGUAAAUAGGAAAAAAAAAAAACAGAGGUUUUGCAGAAUUGGGAGAGCAGACUCACACCAGCAUGGCCAUUGAUUGAGCAGAAACGUAGAUGACGAUGAUGGUGGUGGAAUUGGGAGAAAUUGUUGAGUUUGGGAACCCUAGGAAAGCUGGGAUUGAAAGAAGAGGAUUGUGAGAGAGAAUUGGAAAUUUAAGAAACAAACACAAAAAAUAAAUCCAAGAAAUAAAUAAGAAGCGUAAAAAUGAAAUAGAGAAGAGUGUGUAUGACGCACCUGAUGAUGUGAAAGCAGCUUCAGCUGGUGAAGGCAAACUUUCGACGGGAGAGACAUCAGGAUACUGGCCUCUGACAACAAUCGCUCCAAAAUAUUCUUUCUAUACCAUUUAUUAUUAUUAUUAUUAUUAUUAUUAUUAUUUUAUUAUUAUUUUCAGGUUAUUGAAGUGUAAUGUCCACCGUACACCCUUACAUGAUGAAGCCUUUAGAACUCUCCAUGGAGCCUAAAUCUCACAUUGCUAAUCACCCUAUAAUAACCAGCAUAUAGUAAAUUCAAAGUAUCAUUAAUGAUAGAUUUCAAACUUAGGACCAUAUAUCAUUUAUUGAGACCACACUUCUUAAUGUUCAUCCUUAACGACACACUCAUAUAUAUCAAAUUACCCAAUGACCUACUUUUCCUAUUUUCUCAUUUUUAGAAAUAAAAAGAAAAAAUAAUAAUUUCUAUUUUUAAUUUUUUAAUUUUUUUUAUAAGUAAAUUUUUGUUCUCAUUAGGACCUGUGGAACCUCCCACAAGUCCUCCCGAAUCCUUUACCACUUGAGUCAUGCCUUAAUGGCUUGUUUUUUUAAAAAAAUUAAUAACAACUUUUAUAUAUAAAAAAAAUACUUAUAAAACAUACUUAUAAAAAAUAUACAUGUCAUUAAAAGUUUAAAGAAAUUUAAAUUUGAUAAUAAUUUUUUAAAUAAUUUAAUGUGUUAAUUGUUCUUAAAAACUUUAAAUAACCUAGAAAAGAAUAAUAUGGUUAUAAAUUGACCAAAUUGUUAUAUGGUUUUAAAUAGUCACCUUAACAAUGUUACAAGUGAGUUAAUUAAUUUAUGGUAGAGAAGAAUUACAAUAGAAUUCAAUUAGUUAUCGUAUUUGAAGUCUUUGAUUAUUUGUUGAAUAAUAUUUGCAGCCAGUUAGCUAGGGUUGGCUAACCCAAGCCAAACCUACUUACUAAUAUGUCCAACCUAUGCUAAACUCGAUUCAAAGUUAGAUUGGUAGUUACUAAACUCAUUGACAACUAAAGUUUCUAUGGAUUCCCACAAGUUUUCAUGGAUUAUCAAAUAAACCACAUAUAAUGGAAUCUCCUAAUAUAAAAAAGACAUAUUUCAAAAUUAUAAAUUAAACCAUAUUAUAAAAUAAAAUUUUAACAAAGUCAUAAAUUAUAUUACUAGUGACUAAUUUUAAUGGUAACAUGAAACACAAGUGUGAAUAUUUAAAAAUAUUUUAAUAAUUAAACAAAAAUGAUAAACUUAUAGUGUAAUGUAAUAAAACUAGCAAAAGUUAUAGUUUUUCCAUUAUCCCUUUUAUAAAUUUCAUAUUUUAAAUAAACUAAUAAAUAAUAUAAUAGUAAUGAAUUUGCUUAGUCUUCAUCAUGUAGAACCAAUGUGAAGAAAUUUUUUUUAAUAGGACUGAUUAAUGACUUAAUUAAGGGUAGGUUACAGCAUACACUAGGAGUCAAGAAAUAAGAUGUCAAGACUUGUACAUUCUGAAUAGGGAAGGGAAGAGUAUCCUAACAUAAGAGACCAAAAACAUGCUCAGGGAGAUUCUCGUUAGGAUCAAAUUGGGGGCAUAGAUGUAUCUCUUUGGUAAGAGUUCCCAUAAUUUAGGUAUUAAUGAAAUAGGUAUAAAAGAAUUAUAUAUCUUGAUAUGAUCAUGUUGUUAAUGAUGAUCUAAUGAGUUGAAAUAUUAUGUUUUCAACUGUGUAUAUCUAAUAAAUACAUCAAGUACUUAAACUUUAAUAUAGAAAUGCUCCAUAAUGGUUUGUAUGACUCAUCCUCUUAUAAACAUAUUAUUUAGAUUAGGCUAAAGUGGUCAAAGUAAGAAGAAAACUUGAUACUUGAUUUGAAGUAUGAAGAAUUCUUCUUAGACUUUGUGUGUAGUAUUGUUUGCUUAUUGUUGUGUUAAAGUCUAUUUUGAUGUAUUUUGGAAAGAAUGACCAACUAGAACCACUAUAAGAUGUUGCAAAACUUAUUUAAACAAGGGCUUGUGAGCAAGAUUUUUUUUUUUCCCUUUCAUGUACAAAUAGUAUGAUGAAUGAAAAUUUGAUUCUCAGUUGUAAUUAGUGUUUUCCUUAAGUUUUAAAUCAUGCAAUGAAUACUUAAAAUUAGUUUAAGAUGUCAAAGAAUGUAAGUAAACAAGGUUUUACAUGUUGGAUAUAUAAUUAAUGCAAAACCUUUACCUUCCACAUUGAAUGAUUACAUUUUUUCUUUAAGUGCCCUUUAAUCAUUCUCAUCUUGUUUAAUCAUUUUUCUCUAAUGUCUUGAGCAUAGUAGAUUUCUAUAAAUUUACAUGAGCAUUCCUUAACUCUUCUUGAGUGAUCCUAAACUUAGCAUUGAAACAAUCAUAAUUUAGGCGAAGAUGCUUACACGUCUUCAUAAUCAUCCUUGGUUGCUAGCCAUUUUUCCUUAAUUACUUUAGGAUGUUUAGCGAAGAUGAUUACAAAUAUUAACUAGUUCACUCACACAUUUUUGUAUGAGUGUAGAACAAUUUUGCAUUCUUUCCACAUCACUUAUGCAUCUUUGUUCCAAGAAAGAAGAUAUAGAACUCUUAUCUUUUGCUUACACCACUUGGUUCUCCAGCCCAUUAUGCUUAUGCGUCAUUUUUAUAUCACAUAUGCAACUUGUUUCUCAUUAAUAUAUUUCACUUACAUGUUCUUAUAUAAGCAUAAUUUAGGGAAAAACAUUUUAAAAAAAAAGAAGCAAAAUAGAUGUUAAUAUAUAUAUAUAUAUAUUUGGAACAAUUAAACUCAAACUAUGCAAAGUGACCUUGUCUACUAUAUAGGUGACUUUGUUUACCCCAUAGGUAGAGUAUAUGAUAGUGAUAGUCAAGGAAGCUAUGUAGUUGCAUGGUUUAGUGGAGAAUUUAAUGUUGCAAAACCGUUUUGUAUUUUUAAUAAAAUAAAAAUAUUUUAAAUUGUGGCCCAUUUAAAUAUUAUUUUCCCUAAAAUAAAUGAAACGUGGGAGCACAUCUCUUAUGGAGUAACCACCCAUGUCUACAAAUGUGGGACAUAUUACUCGGUUGAAAACUACCCAAAGUCUUUUUUGAUGGGAAGAAGAGAAAAUAAAUAGAUAGAUACAAGAUUAAUUCCAAAAGAGGGAAGAAGGGUCUCUGGUCUACAAGAAUAAGUCUGUGAUUAGUUUCAUCAGUCCCUAUUUUGUGUGAAUCUGAUUGCCAUGGCUGGAGGUACGAUCUUGGAUUUUCAUUUUAUUACUUGUAAUUAUCAGAGAUAUUUAUCUAACAUUUGGUAUCAGAGCCAAGGGUCUCUAGUUUGGCUUUCGAUUCAAUAUUUAUGGUCUUAAAUGAAUUAAGUUCUAUAUUCAUACAUGAUAAGAGAAAUUUAUCUCCAUAUUUAUUGGGUAUUUCUAAUUUAAUCCAAAUGAAGAAAAUUUAGUAGACUCCAUAUUUAUUGGAUAUUUUUUAUUUAAUCUAUACAGAUUUGUUUUUCUACAGUUGCAAUAGACAUUUCUCAUAUGACAUGUUAUGUUUCCUGCAAUUGAGACAACUUGAACCCGUGACCAUGGGUUACUUCCUUAACUAGAAUAGUCCUUGAACCAUUGGACUAAAGCCUAUGACUUGUUAGAGAUUGCCUCCUCUAAACUUAAAUGUUGGCUCCGUUAUUGUGAAAAACUUGUAUAAAUUAUUUUUAUAAAGUAGUAUUUAGAAACACUACUUAUAUUUGUUUACCAUUGAUUUGGUAAUUUUUUUGAUGUCAUACUGAGGUAACAUUUGAUUAAUUAAGUAAUAGCCACAACAUUCUUGAUUAUGAUAAUGUUAAGUGACAAAAGAAAGUUUCAUUUUUGUCACAUUAAAUUAAUGACAUCAAUAUUUGUAAAUAAUCAUAAAAAAUAAUAAUUUUACCCCACAGGGUAAUUAUUAUGUUUUGUGUUUAUUUAGGAUGGGAUGGUAAAAAAAAAAUAUGUUGCCCAUAGGCCUAAAAUUACUAGUUCCAUUAUAAAGUAAUUAAAAAAAAAACAUUUGCAUGUUGUAUUCUGUUUCCACAGGAAAGUUUAUGAUCACGUGUUGAUUUUUUGUUGAUUGAAUUAAUUUACAUGAGUAAAUUUUGUUUUUUGCUUCAUGGCAUAUUAGUAAGCUUUGUCAUUUAUUUUGUAGUUCAAUCUAUAUAUGUUCCAAAUUUUGAUUCAUCUCGUAUACCUUUCUUGAAUGGUGAUAAUUAUGCUAAUUGGUAGGAGAAAAUUCUCCUUACAUUGGGGUGCAUGGACCUUGAUUUAGCACUUUGUGUGGAUGAGCCAUUGGUUCCUAUGGAAUCAAGUACCCAAACUGAGAAAGCAUCAUAUGAACGUUGGGAGCGAUCUAAUUGCUUAAGUUUGAUGUUUAUCAAGUCUAGUAUUGGGAAAAGUAUUCGUGGUUCAAUUUCUGAAUGUGCUAAGGUGAAAGAAUAUCUCAAGGCUAUUGAGCAACAGUUUGAGGCUUCUGACAAGGCUUUGGCUAGCACCUUAAUGACAAAGAUGUGUUAGAUGAAGUUUAAUGGCACCAAAGGAGUACGUGAGCACAUAAUGGAAAUGAGAGAUAUUGCUACUCAACUUAAGUCAUUAGAGAUUGAGAUGUCUGAGUCAUUUCUGAUUCACUUCAUUCUUAAUUCUUUUCCAUCUGAGUAUGGACCUUUUAAGAUUUCAUACAACACACAUAAGGAAAAAUGGUCUAUUAAUGAACUUUUGACCAUGUGUGUGCAAGAAGAAGGAAGACUAAAUCAAGAAAGGAUUGAAAGUGCCCAUUUGGUGACUUAAGAAAAGAAACCAGGCAAGAAAGGUAAAAGAAAGCAAAAGACAUCUCUUAAUCAAGUUAAUAAGAGCGAUAUCAAGUGCUUCUUUUGCAAGAAGAAAGGACACAUUAAGAAGUGUUGUCCCAAAUUUAAAGCUUGGCUUGAAAAUAAAGGUAAUCUUAUCUCUUUAGUGUGUUAUGGAUCUAAUAUGGUUCAUAUUUCUUACAACACUUGGUGGAUUGAUUCUGGUACUAAAAUUCAUGUUGCCAAUACCAUGCAGGGCUUCUUAAACCAAAGGAAACCAACAGAAAGUGAAUGCUCUAUCUAUUCAGGAAAUCGGAUAAGUUCACAUGUGGAAGCGGUUGGGACCUACAGACUUGUUCUUAGAUCUGGUUUUGUUUUAAACCUUGAAAACUCUUUUUUUGUUCCAUCAUUUUCUAGGAAUCUUAUUUCAGUUUCGAGACUUUUACCAUAUGGUUUUAGUUUUAAAUUUGUUGUUAUUUCAUUUCAUUUGAUAAAAGACAAUGUCGUUGUUGGUGAUGGUAUUUUGGAUAAUGGUUUAUUCAAACUCAAUUUAAAUCCAAGUUUUAAUCAUAGACUUACAACUAUGCAUGGAAAUGUUGGCAUUAAGUGUGGUGUUAUAAAUAAGAAAUCUUCCACAUUAUGGCACAAGAGAUUAGAUCAUAUCUCUAUUGAAAUAAUUAAAAGAUUGGUAAAUGAUGGAGUCCUUGAGGCUCUUGAUUUUACUGAUUUUGAUAUUUGUGUGGGUUGCAUUAAGGGAAAGCAAACCAACAUGACUAAGAAUCAAAGUGCUAGGAGGACUUCUAAUGUUUUAGAAAUCAUACACACUGACAUUAGUGGUCUUUAUAAUAUGUGCUUAAAUGGUCAAAUAUAUUUUAACACUUUUAUCGAUGACUACUCACGAUAUAUGUAUCUUUUUUUGCUUUAUGAUAAGUGUGAAGCACUAGAUGCUUUCAAAAUCUAUAAUGCAGAGGUAGAGAAACAAUUGGGUAAACAAAUUAAGAUUGUGAAGUCAGAUAGAGUUGGUGAAUAUUAUGGUAGGUACACUGAAAAAGGACAAUUAUCUGGUCCAUUUGCAAGGUUUCUACAGGAACAUGGCAUUGUUGCCCAAUACACAAUGCCUUGCUCACCAUCCCAAAAUGGUGUGGCUGAAAGAUGAAACCAAACCCUAAAGGACAUGGUUAGUAACUCCAACCUCCUAUUAUCCUUGUGGAGUGAGGCCAUAAAGACAACAACAUAUUGAUUACUAUUCAAAAAGUGCUGUUUUGUAGCUUGUAAUUAACUCUUUUAAACACUUUUGAGUAGUAGUUAUUACCUUUUAACUCAAUUGGCAUGUUAAGGACCCUUGCAAUCGUUUCUAAUCAAAUUGUGUUAAGUUUUAGUGUUUUUGAUAUCUUUUUUAUCACCAAAGCAAUCUAAGAUGAGGGAGAGCUUUAUAUAAUCCAUGGCAAAGAAAAUAAAAGCUCAUUUACAAGAAGAAUCCAAGCUUUGGAGCUUUGAAGUCCUUUGCCAAAAGCAAAUCAUGAAUGCAAUGAGGGAAAGCAAAGAGAGAAAUCUAACAUGAAGAAUUCAAGAGGACAGCAACUGUUGAAGACAUUUUGAGUACUUCCUGAAGUCCAUUUCAUGCAUACUAUAUGUCGUUUCGAAGAUCGGGAAGUCAGAAGCCCAACGCUUCAAACGGUACAUGAAUUGGAGUUGAAAAGAAGAAGUUAUGGCCAUUUGAAGACAACCGCACAAAGUUGAGCGAAAAUUUCAUGGCCCAAAGCCCAUUUCGUACCUGCGAAAUAAGCUGCGAAAUGAAACCCACUUGCGAAAUUUUGUAAGGUGUUUUGCAGCUGCGAAACCACCUCCAAGCACACGUGUGCCACUUCGCAAGUUGAAACUCCAUCUUCGCAACUGCGAACCACGUUGCGAAAUCACCUCCAAGCUGCGAAACAAGUUGCAAAUCAUCUCCAAGUUGCGGAAUCACCUCCAAGUUGCAAAAUCACAAAUUCAACUUGCAAAAUCAAAGUUCAAACUUGCAAAAUGGACAAUUCAAAGUGUGAAAUCCACCUGUGCAAUCUCAGAUAUUUGCAACCGACUCAGUUAGAUUUUUUCUCAAGAUAUUUUGUAAAUUUCUAUUUUCUCCUUGUAAUCAGUCAAAGAUAUUAUUGGGAUAUUUCUUAGAAAAUAUCUUCUCUAUAUAUAUCUUUGAACCAAUGUAAAUAAUACGGAUAUAUCAUGUAGAUCAUAGAUCAUGGAUGUAAUUGACGAUAGUAAGAAAUAUAUUUUUACAGAGCACUUGCUCUGUUUUUCCUUCAUAUUUUUGUUUUCUCGUUAUUUUUAUUUCUAGCAAAUCAAACUCUGAGGAUGUUUCCUUAGAGGAUGAGUGGCUUGGCUCUUUGUCUCUUGGAGUGAAGAAAGCCAAGUAAGUUUCCAUAUGCAAAAAUUAGAAGUUUUGUUGUUUCAGUUUUUAAUGAAGAGAAAGUGUGACUCGUUAAUGGUUUUUAUCUUUUUAGUUAACUUAAAACGCCUUUAAGUUACCUAGGCUAACACUUGGUAAGGCAAGUGAUCUCCGUCCAUUGAGAUGCACUAGUUUACCUCUUGCGAGCCUUUGGGAGGUGACUUGAAGGUAGGAUUUUCUAGAAUAGCCAACACUUGGUAAGCUUUUGGACUCUAAGGAGACAUCCAUUAGUUAUCUCUUGCGAGCUUUUAAAGGGUAAUCCAAGGUUAAGGAUCACCUUGAAUGGCAAAUUCUAGGUGAGAGGCAUGAGCCAUUGCAAGAUGCAUCAGUGAGAGAGAUUUAGUGUUUGAACCCAUUAAGGGGAAACAUCUAUACCACAUCGAUUCGGGAAAUAACUAUAUGUUAAAUCCCCAAUGCGAGGAAAAGAUUCAAGUGACCAGAACUCCCUUUUUGUAUAAGGAACCUAAGCCUAGUGAUCUGAAACUCCAAGAAACAUUUUUCUUUGUAAUUAAAAUCAGUUACUAUUUUUGGUUAGCUUAAAACCAACCUUUUCAAACAUCUUUAUAUUUUCUUUUAGAGCUAACCUUGAAAUGAAAAAACACCAAUUCAGCUUUGAAUUAAUAUCAAUUGUGAAGUGAAAACCCAUCCCAGUGAACGAUCCUAGAGCCACUAUGCUAUGCUAGCUGAGGCUAUCCUAGUACAUGGUGUAAUAGGUUAUAAAUUUUGUUGAUUACUCCCGUCUGAGGACCACAAUCAAGGAAUACCAGCUGGACACGAAUCAAAUGACACCGUUGUUGGGGACCAUUGAGAGGACAUGAAUCAGCUGAUACACCAAUUGGGAAUGAAUCACAUAUGUACUAAACCGGGUUCCAACCAAGGUAGUUCCUAAAACGCCUUUUGAGUUAUGGAAAUGUUGCAAACCCAGUCUAAGGCAUGUACAUGUAUGGGGUUGCCUAGUUGAGGUUAGAAUUUAUAAUCCACAAGAGAAAAAGUUAGACUCAAGAAUAGUCAGUGGAUAUUUCAUUGGCUACAUAGAAAAGUCUAAGGAUACAAAUUUUUAUUAUCCUUCUUGUGCUACGAAAAUUGUAGAAUCUCAUAAUGCAAGGUUUUUGGAGAAUGAUGUGAUUAGUGGGAGCAAUGAAUCUUGACACUUAGUGUUUGAGGAACGCCACAAUAUUGAACCCACUCUUGAGUCUUCAAGUGGAUUAAUUAUUUUCCUGGAUAGUCAUCAAGAUUUGACAAUCCAAGAAACACCAGUUGUUAAUGAACCACAUCAUGAGGAUAUUCUGAUGGAUUUAGUUAUUCAACAUCCUCAACAAGGGAAUGUUGAUAUAACAUUAAGAAGAUCUACUACAGAAAGGAGGUCUACAAUUUCUUUUGAUUAUGUUGUGUACUUACAAGAAUAUGACAUUGAUAUUGGUGUUGAAGAUGACCCCAUUACGUUUUCACAAGCCGUGGGUGGAAGUGAAAAGAUGAGAUGAAUUCAAUGGCUAAUAAUCAAGUCUGGGAUCUUGUUGAGUUGCCUAAAGGUGCAAAGGUAAUUGGUUGUAAAUGGGUUUUUAAGACUAAAAGGGGUUCUUUGGGCAAUAUUGAAAGAUAUAAGGCAAGACUUGUAGCUAAAGGAUUCACUCAACAAGAAGGAAUUGAUUAUCAUGAUACCUUCUCUCCUAUUUCCAAGAAGGAUUUAUUUUGGAUAAUCAUGGCAUUGGUAGCUCAUUUUGAUAUGGAGUUACAUCAAAUGGAUGUGAAAACAGCAUUCCUUAAUGGGGAUUUAGAGGAAAAGGUUUACAUGAAACAACCAGAAUGGUUCAUCACAAAUGGAAAUGAUCACAUUGUUUGCAAGCUUAAAAAAUCUAUAUAUGGACUAAAACAAGCAUUCCGUCAAUGGUAUUUAAAGUUCCAUGAUGUUAUUUCUUCAUUUGGUUUUAUAGAAAAUGUUAUGGAUCAAUGUAUGUACCAUAAGGUUAGUAGGAGCAAAAUGAAUUUCUUAGUCUCAUAUGUGGAUGAUAUUUUGCUUGCUUCAAAUGAUUUGGGCUUACUUCAUGAGGUGAGGUGAGGCGAUUUCUCUUGCAACAAUUUGAUAUGAAAGAUAUGGGUGAAGCUUCUUAUGUCAUUGGCAUAAAGAUUGAGAGAGAGAGAUCUCAACGGAUAUUAGGAUUGUCUCAAGAAACCUAUAUCAAUAAAGUGCUUGAGAGAUUUCGCAUGAAGGAUUGUUCACCUGGUAUUGCACCGAUUGUCAAAGGUGACAAAUUUAGUUUGAACCAAUGCCUCAGUAAUGAUUUGGAAAAUAAAGAGAUGAAAAAUAUUCCUUAUGCUUUUUCAGUUGGGAGUUUAAUGUAUGCUCAGGUUAAUACAAGACCUGACAUUUCUUAUGCAGUUGGAAUGUUGGGCAGAUAUCAAAGUAAUCGAGGUCUGGAACACUAAAAAGCUGCAAAGAAAGUCAUGUGAUACUUUAAGGGGACUAGGGACUACAAACUUACAUACAUGCGAUCUGAUUAUUUGGAUGUGGUUGGAUAUUUGGAUUCUAACUUUGCUAGCUGCCUUGAUUCUAGAAAGUUGACAUCUGGAUAUGUCUUCUUAUUAGCUGGAGGGGCCAUUUCAUGGAAAAGUGCAAAACAAACAUUGGUUGCUACUUCGACCACAGAAGCGAAAUUUGUUUCAUGUUUUGAAGCAACGUCACAUGCUAUUUGGCUGAGGAGUUUUAUUUCAGGGCUUCAAGUUGUUGACUUAAUUUCUAAGCCAUUGAGGAUUUACUGUGAUAACUCUACCAUAGUGUUUUUAGCUAAGAAUAAUAAGAGUGGAAGUCAUAGUAAACACAUUGACAUAAAGUACUUAUCUAUUAGGGAACAUGUUAAGUCAAACAAGGUGGCUAUUGAGCAUAUUAGUACUGGAUUGAUGAUUGCGGAUCCUUUGACGAAAGGAUUGCCACCUAAGGCUUAUAAGGAACAGGUUGAACAUAUGGGACUCAAUUCUAUUUUUUAAAUUUUGUGUAAUUGAGACAUCUUUUGUGUUUCAUCGCAUUUUUUGGUUGAUAUGAAAACUCCAAUUAUUUCAAUCUUGUCUUCUCAUUUGGUUAUAUACAUAAAGUUUAGAGAAUGAAAAUAUGCAUGUUAUGAAUGUUAAGUAGACCUUGAAUGAGAAUUUUGGAAACUCAUUCAUAAAGGAAUGACUCACGUAUUGUUCUUAUUCAAAAGAGAAAGUUGCAUUGUAAUACAUGGAAGGUAAUACUUGUUCUUAGAGGACUUACUGACAUGAUUUAUGUGCUUUAAAUUCUUUUGAUUAAGUAUAAGGAUUUAGGGAAAAAUAUGUUAUGUAUUAAUUUAAUUAAUACAUAUUAAGUAAUUUUUAUGGGCUAAGUGGGAGAAAUGUUGGAAACCGUUUUGCAUUUUUAAUAAAAUAAAAAUAUUUUAAAUUGUGGCCCAUUUAAAUAUUAUUUUCCCUAAAAUAAAUGAAACGUGGGGGCACAUCUCUUAUGGAGUAACCACCCAUGUCUACAGACGUGAGACAUAUUACUCGGUUGAAAACUACCCGAAGUCUUCUUUGAUGGGAAGAAGAGAAAAUAAAUAGAUAGAUACAGGAUUAAUUCCAAAAGAGGGAAAAAGAGUCUCUGAUCUACAAGAAUAAGUCUAUGAGUUCCAUCGGUGCAUGGACAUAAGGUCUUGUAAGGACUAGCCAACUAAUCCCUAUUUUGUGUGAAUUUGAUUGCCAUGGCUGGAGGUAUGAUCUUGGAUUUUCAUUUUAUUACUUGUAAUUAUCAGAGAUAUUUAUCUAACAUUUAAGAGUUAAGCAUGAUCACAUUGUGAUUUAUUAUGAUAAUGGGAGUGCCCUACAUUUAUUUAAGAAUAAAGUUCAUCACUCAUUGGUAAGGCAUAUUGAUGUCUAAUUUCAUUUUAUUUAAGAGAUUCUAGAAGAAAGUCAUAUCUUGUUUUAGAAAGAUUGCUAAUGUUAAUGAGGUAGGUCAUAUUUUAAGAAAGAUUUUUCCUAAAGUCAAGUUUAGCCAUUGUUUAAAUGUGAUCCAUGUAGAAAGGAUCAAUGUACCUUUAGGUGUGUAGUAGCAAAAUCCUUAAAGAUUGUUUGGUUAGCUUCAUUUACAUUACUUAGUUAAAUAUUACAUAGUCAAUUACAUAGUCCUUUAUUAUUAUUUUUCAUUCUUAGUUGGUUUUUGUCUUGAAUUUAGAGUGAAGAAGAUGUAAUCAAUGAGUAGGGAAAGAGGAACAAAAAUGAAAAUAACAUUAGAACUAGGAAUUGGAGAAGAGGAAGAAGAUGAGGACAUUUCUAGCAAUGUUGCAUGUCAAUUUUUUGUUUAAUGAUUUCCUUAUAAUAGUUUUCAUAUUUCAUUAUCUCUCUCUAAACUAAACAACAUAUUUCUUAAAUAUUUUGAAUUCUUAUUUAUUUUUAAACUCUUUCAUUCUCUACCCUUUCACCAUUUUCACAUACCUAAAAUUUGCUCUCAAUUUAUUUCAAUAAUGUUGACAUAAAAGUAAAUAGCUAAAAUAGAUAAGUUAACCUUCAACCUAUUUUUUAUUUAUUUAUUUAUUUACAAACCAAAAUCUAGUAUUUUUGUUUAGAAACUAAAAUUGAACAAAAAUGUAUAAACUAAGAGAAAGAAAAAGUAAAAACUAGAGACUUGUAAUUAUAUAAAUGUUAAGAUUUCAAGUUAGUAAUUUAUGUUAGUAUUUGUAUUUUUUUCUUUUUUUUUUCUUGAUUUUUAUAUACCAUUUUAAUUAAUAUUUUCAAUUUUGUGAUUGAAGUCUCAAAUUUUUUAAUUUGUGUUAUGCUUAUUUUAUUGUUUCCAUGUUAAAAACCAAUGUGCAAUUAGUAUGACAUGUACACUUAUUAUUUCGAAGUGUAAUGUUGAUAUCUUAUUUUGUAAAGCCCAUGGCGAUCAAUCAUUGUCUCUCAUGUGUCUCAUUGAUGAUGUGUGAGUUUGACUAAUUAUUUAGCAUCAUGCCUCAAAGAUUAAUGUUACAUAUCGAAGACAUCUCUCUAAUAAACAUGACAUUCAAUACACUUUUCUUGGCCUUAAUCUUUGAUACAUGAUAGGUCCAUGUUCUACCUUCAUAUCUCCUAUGCCAUAGUGCUACAUUAUUUGAAAAUGAAUAUUUAUCUUCAAUAAGACCCUAAGUCACAUGGAUGCCUAUGAAGCAUGGAUGUUGCCCAUAGUGAAUGCCAGGGAGGGGGGUAAAGGUGUUUCUUACUCUAUUCUUCCUUAAGAUGGUAUCAUGUGCUUCUGAUAAUUGUUUUAUUCUUAUUCUAGAAAAUACAUGCUUCCUAAAAACUAAUAGUUUUUAUUGGUUUAUGAUCUUUUAUACCUCCUUCUAAUGUGUCAGCCUUACCAUAAUGCCUUGAUGUUAAUAAAUCUACCUAGUUCAUGAGCAAAGCUCAAGGUUUUGGAAUGGACUUUGUGUCCUUAGUGGUAAAUCUAGUUUCCCUACCCAUUAGCAUUUCAAGAUUAGUUUGAGCAUCUUGGUUUAGCAAUUAGAUCUUAUACUUACCAAGGUUGGAUUAACACACAUUGAUCUCAUUUUAGCUUAAAUGAAAGAGGUGACAAGUGUGUCUUCAUUAUAGGUGUCAUAUGAAGAAGUUUGUAUAUCCUUAUAGAAUAACUAAUAUUCAAAAUACUAUUUUAGAGCAUCAAUAAAAACUUCAUUUCUAUCCAAAUGAAAAAAAGAAGUGAUAUUGUUGUUCUCCUUGAUCUUACUGCCACCAUCUCUACCCAAUCAUCUACUCUCACUUUGUUUUGCUCUCAUUUUAAACUCUUGGGACAUUUAAAACUUUUAAGUUUUAGUUGUAAACUUAUAGAUACUUUUUUAGGAAAAAAAAAAUGGAAGUGAGAUCUAAGAUUUUGUUUUGAGAAAAGUAUUGAAAAAGCCCCAGGCUUAGAAACUUUUAUUUGCCUAUGUCUAAUAUGAACUUUUGAAUGAAAAAAACAAUGUUAUAUAAUUUAAUACUUGAAAGGAGUUAGAAGGUUUUUUCUAAUUUUGGAGCAUGAUGUACAUUAUGAGCCUAAAUCAUGACAACUUAAGUUGUUAGGAAGAUCAGUUGCUUAACAUGCCAAUAGUGUCUUGUUUAGUGGGGGGUUGUGUGUUUGAAUCUCACCUCAUUAUUUCCAUGAUUUACUAAAAUGAGGUUAGUUGCAUAGGAAAAUUUUUCUCUUCAUACGUGGGUAUGGGGUUGCAGUGAAAGAGAGUGUUAAAGAAUGGGAUCAAAUCUUAAUAGUUUAAGCUUUUAGAAAAAUCAAAAGUUCAAUAUGGCAUUAGAGUCUUAUUUAUUCGAAGGUUAUUAGUUUGGACCUAAAGACAUUAUUUCCCUAAUUUAUUGAGUAAAAAAAAGGCUAGAUAUGAGGUUGCUAAUGAGAAGUUAAUAGGGGUCCUGAGUCCAAGUCCUUCCCUCAUUAUUUAUCUAUCUAAUUAUUUAUGACCAUAAAGUGCUCCCCAUGAUAGGUAUGGGCUCACAUAUGAGGAGAGGAGGGGUGUUGGACCAUUAUAUAUGUUAUGUGCUCAAAUUCUAACAACUUAAUUAAGCUUUUAGGAAAAUUUAUUAUUUAACAUUAAUAUUGUUUUGUAAUCAAAGUAAAAUCUGUUGAGGAGAAGAAAAAUGGUAUUCUUCUAUAUAUUGAAAGAUACAGCAGAUGAGGGUUAUAUAUAACCUGUACAUGAAGUUAAUUUGGAAGAAACUAAUCACACUAAUCUAGGCUACAAUCUUGGAUGAUUUACAAUCAAAUAAAACUAACUUGGUAACUAGAAUAUUUUUAUUUCUAUAAUUGCUCCUUCAACAACUCACGUCAAUACUCCCCCUCAAGUUGGUGCAUAGAUAUCAUCAAUGCCCAAUUUGUCAAGUGAGUUGUGAAAUAUUUUGCUAGAGACAGCCUUUGUAAGAAUAUUUGCUAGUUGAUCUUCUGACUUCACAAAAGGAAAUUGAAUGACCUUGUCUUCGAGCUUCUGCUUGAUAAAAUGUCGAUCCACUUCAACAUGUUUGGUGCGGUCAUGUUGAACUGGGUUAUGCGCGAUUGCUAUGGCUGCCUUAUUAUCACAAAACAAGUUCAUUGUAUUCUGAGAUGAACACUUAAUUUCCUCUAAUAAUCUUUUUAACCAAAGUAGCUCACACAAUCCUUUAGUCAUGCCUCUAAACUCAGCCUCUGCACUAGAUAAAGCAACUACCUUAUGUUUUUUACUCCUCCAAGUGACCAGAUUGCCUCCCACAAAUGUGAAGUAGCCCGAUGUGGAUUUUCUAUCAGUAAUGUUCCAUGCCCAGUCUGCGUCCGUAUAACCGUCAAUGUGCAGAUGUUGGUUUUUCGUGAACAUCAGUCCUCUUCUUGGAGAAGACUUCAAGUACCGUAAAAUACGAACCACUGCACUCAUAUGAUCUUCGCUAGGACAAUGCAUGAAUUGACUCACCAAGCUCACCGCAUAAGCAAUAUCAGGUCGUGUGUGAGAUAAGUAUAUCAGCUUUCCCACAAGGCGUUGAUACCUUUCUUUAUUGGUAGGGGUCUGGUUAGGAAAUUCUCCCAAGCCAUGGUUUUGAACAACUGGUGUAUCAGCAGGUCUACAAUCAAGCAUUCCUAUUUCAGACAACAAGUCAAGCACGUACUUCCUUUGGGAUAGAAAUAUGCCUUGUUUUGAUCGAGCUACUUCAAUCCCCAAAAAAUACUUCAACCCUCCAAGAUUUUUCAUCUCAAAUUCAAUUGCUAAAUGCUCUUGUAAUUUAGAGAUUUCUUCCUCGUCAUUUCUUGUAAUUAUCAUAUCAUCAACAUAGAUUAUUAGAGUUGUUACCUUCCCCCGUUGGUGCUUUAAGAAGAGAGUAUGAUCUAAAUUACUUUGCUUGAAACCGUGCUUUCUCAUGGCAAGGCUAAAUCGUCCAAACCAUGCUCUAGAAGACUGUUUCAAUCCGUAUAAUGCCUUUUGUAACUUGCAAACAUCCUUCCCCUGUGUCGAAGAAACAAAACCCGGUGGAAUGUCCAUGUACACCUCCUUUUUAAGAUCCCUAUGGAGAAAGGCAUUUUUGACGUCAAAUUGGUGCAAUGGCCAGUCCAAGUUUGCAGCAAGAGAGAUUAGUACUCUCACAGUAUUUAAUUUUGCUAUAGGUGAAAAAGUUUCUUGAUAAUCUACCCCAUAUGUCUGAGUAUAUCCCUUCGCAACGAGCCUUGCUUUAUAUCUUUCAACUGAUCCAUCUACUUUGUGUUUGAUAGAGAACACCCAUCGACAUCCCACAGUUUUCUUUCCCUUAGGCAAUGGCACAAGCGCCCAAGUAUCAUUUUUUUGUAAUGCUUUCAUCUCUUCCUCUAUCACUUGGAUCCAUUUGGGAUUAUUCAUGGCUUCACUCACUGUAUCAGGAACACUAUCUGCAGAUAAUUUAUGAACCAAUGCCUUGAGAGGUUCAGACAAUUUUUGAGUUGAGAUAUGGUUGGCAAUUGGGUACUUUGACUUGCUCGUUCCAUGAUCGGGUGAAUAGCGGUUUGGUGGUUGCCCGCGGUUAUGCCUGAAAGGUAGUUUAUAGCCAGAAAAAAUAUUGUGAGGAGAGUUUAGAACUUGUACCUCAGGAAUAUUCUCAAGAGAUUGGUCUAAUUGUGGUACUGUCAAGUCAUGGAAGGGUUGUUCACUUUCAAUUUCCCUAACUUCUCCAUUUUGAUAUACUCUUGUUGGUUGUUGUUCGAUCUCUGCUUCGACAUGCUCAACAUUUUCAACUUCUCCUCUUUGAUCUAUCAGUAUUGCCAUUGGUUCUCUUGGCUGAACCUCCCUUAUAUCAUUUGAAGUUUCUUCGAAGCCUGGCCAAUUUUCCCAAUUCUGCUCUUCACUCGUCAUCUCCCCCUGAAGAGAGAAGUGGGAAGAUUGAGAAGUGAAGAAAUUCUCCUAUUCAAUAAAGGUGACAUCCAUGGUGGUAUAGAGUCGCCUUGUAGCUGGAUCAUAACAUCGGUAUCCUUUCUUGUGAGUUGCAUAGCCAAGAAAAACACAAUGGACAGCACAUGGAUCAAGCUUUGUCCGUUGAUUCUUGUGUAGAUGAACAUAUGUAACACAACCAAACUUUCUUGGAGGAAGCAUUAGAACUGAUGGUAAUGUCACAUGUUGUGCGAGAACUUGAAGAGGGGUUUUGUAGUGCAAAACUCGUGAUGGCAAUCGAUUCAUUAAGUAUACAGCAGUCAUUAUUGCAUCUAGCCAAAAUCGUUUAGGAACAUAAGCAGCAGUCAAGAAAGCUCGAGUGAUUUCCAAGAUAUGUCUAUUCUUGCGCUCUGCAACACCGUUCUGUUGCGGUGUUUGAGAACAAGAUGUCUCAUGAUGCAAACCAUGUUCCUGAAAGUAUCUGUGAAAUUGUGCAUUAUCAUAUUCCCCACCAUUAUCAGAUCAAAGAAUUUGAAGUUUAGCAGAAAAUUGUGUUCGAAUCAUAUUAUGAAAUGAUCGAAAUAUUUCAAACACUUCAUGUUUAUUUUUCAUCACAUAAAGCCAAGUCAUUCGUGUACAAUCAUCGACAAAGGUUACAAACCAACGAACACUAGAAGAAAUAGUAAUAGGAGCAGGGCCCCAAACGUCAGAAUGAACAAUCAAAAAAUGAGUGUCACAUUUAUUCAAACUGAUUGAAUAAGGUACCUGAUGACUCUUAGCCUGAAUACAAGCUUCACACUUAAAAUCUGACUCAUUAAACUUCGUAAAUAAAUCUAGAAAUAAACAUCUCAAAUACCGAAAUGAGGGAUGCCCCAACCGAUUAUGCCAUAACCAUAUCUGUCUUUCCUUAACUCCAGCAGAAUGCAUAUUAUUUGCUCGACCAUAACUAAAAUCAUCCAUGUAAUACAACCCUUCCCUUUUAGUACCACGACCAAUAAUCUCCUUGGUGAGAAUAUCCUUAAACAAACAAAAGUUAGGGUACAUUAGAGCAUAACAAUUCAAUUCCUCAGUCACUUGUCCAAUAGAUAACAAUUAAUUGGAAAGUGAUGGAACUAGUAAGGUAUUUGGUAAUGUAAAAGAAGGAGAAAGAGCCACUGUUCCAACCCCUGUUACUGGAUAUGUUACUCCAUUAGCAUUGGCAAUGCAUAUUCGUUUUGGUUGGGUGGCUUUAGAGAAGUCACAAGGGUCAAAGGUCAUGUGGUCUGUUGCCCCAAAGUCAAUGAUCCAGCCAUCAUGGUUCCCCGUUUUCGAGCAAGAAAAAACAUAACCUUGGUUACCUGAGUCAUUCUGAGCAAUCUGUUCACUAGUGGAGAUAGAAUAUUCUUGUUGUGGUACGAGAGAUAGUUGAGGCUCUACGCUCAUAAGAGCUGCACAACCAAGAUUGUCGCCUCCACUUGCUUCACGCUUUUUCUUUGCCUUGAGUUCAUGCCACCAAUCUGGAUAACCAUGUAGUUUGAAGCAUGUUUCUUUGGUGUGUUUUGUAUUCCCACAAUGUGUGCAGCCUCCUCCUUCCCCUUUUGGUUUUGUGGUUGUGUUAGGCUUUCCAUUUGAUGGCGUUUGAAAAGAUAAUUGGUGUUGAGGUUUAUGUUCUCCUCUUGAAAGCAUAGCACCACCAGAUAUGGUAUCUUCAUUCAUCAUCAUUACGGAUUGCCUCAAAUCCUCUAUUCAAACUUGCGCAUAAGCUUGUUCCACUGUUGGGAAUGGUUGUAUCUACAGCACAUCUGCUCAGAUCUUGUCAAGCCGAUCAUCAAGUCCGUCUACGAAAGUGUAGACUCUAUCCUCCUAUAAAAUAGAGUUAUAUUUUUGUAUAUUAAUAUCACAUUCCAUAGGAUUUGGUCAACGAAAGUCGAUUUCCCUCCACAAGCCUUGCAGAUUGUUGUAGUGUGUCUCGAUAGAUCCUCCUUCUUGUUUGAAUCUGGUUACUCUUCUUUUGAGAUCAUAUACUUGUGAUGUAUCAGUGCCAUCAAAGUACGUAAUAGCAAUAUUAUCCCAAACAGCCUUAGCCAUUGAGAAUUUGAUAAAGUUACUGACUAACUUUGGAUCCAUAGAAUUGAUUAGCCAUCCCUUCACCACUGCGUUUUCGGUUCUCCAUUUUCUGAAUGCAGGAUCUGUUUGCAGGGGCUGUGGAAAAUCUCCAUUUAUGUAUCCCAACUUGUCUUUACCUGAGAUAUACAUCUCGACAAUUUGGGACCAUAGUGCAUAAUUGGUACCAUCUAACUUGAUUCCAAUCUGUGUAGCAGGUUCAUGACUUGUGAUAUGGUUCUGAGUUUGGUUGUGGUUCAGUACUUGUGUCAUUCUUGUCAUAAGAUCUGCGAGAAUUGAACUCUCCCCUUCGUGUUUUUCCACCCUAAUAGGAGGUGUUUCCAUUUUCCUCUUUCUGUUUUUUUUUUUUUUCUGAAAUUCUAUGGCCCUAGAAUCUCUGCUCUGAUACCAUGUUGAAGAGAAGAAAAAUGGUAUUCUUCUAUAUAUUGAAAGAUACAGCAGAUGAGGGCUAUAUAUAACCUAUACAUGAAGUUAAUUUGGAAGAAACUAAUCACACUAAUCUAGGCUACAAUCUUGGAUGAUUUACAAUAAAAUAAAACUAACUUGGUAACUAGAAUAUUUUUAUUUCUAUAAUUGCUCAUUCAACAACUCACGUCAAUAAAAUCAACCCUAGUUAUUCAACAUAAUAAAAAACAUUAGUUUCCUUAUUGAAAAUGGUAAGGACUAAGUAAAUUGAUAUAAAAUAGAAUGCUUUAUAGUUUAUGAGGUGAAGUAUUAGCACUAUAAAGUUAAGUAACUAAUUUGCUAAAAUUACUAGCUAAAACUUGAAAAAUCUUAUCUAAGUGAAAAAUAAAAUAAAAUAAAACUCUUUAUUUUACAUAAUAGCAUAUCUAUAUCCCCUUAAAUUAUGAAAUUCAUGUUGUUUUUUCAACAAAAAAAAAAAAGAUAGAAAAAGAAAAAGAAAAAACCUAGAAAUGCCUACUCAAAAAGAAUAGAUUGAUACACUCCCUAACCAUAAAAUUGAGUUGUAAAUAUAAAUUAUAGUUCAUCCAAGUCUAUAUGCGACUUUUAGAAAUCAAUAGCUAGUUUCAUUUACACCAUUGGUUCGCAUUUUUUUAUUCCAUUGAAAAGAAAGCAAUAAAAAUGAAUUGAGACAAAAAUGAUAAUACAAUCCAUAAAACAUCAAUAGAUUUGUAAACUCAUUAUAAAGUUCAUAAAUUUUUAGAUAAAAAGAAAAACAAUAUAAAGAGGAAAAAAAAUUAGGAACUAUCAAGUUCAAAAAUAGAAUUUAUGGUAAAAAAUAAAAAAUAAAAAGAUAUAACAAACAACAUUUUAAAGUAAGGGUACAAUAGUUAUUAAAAAGAAUCUCAAUAAAAGUUUUCUAAAAAUUGAAAAGAGAGAGAAAAAGUUUUUGGUAUGCUUUUAUGGUUUAGGGGGUAAAAGUUCAUAAUACUCGUCAUUUUAUCAUCUUUAUAGGAAAAAAAAAUUAGACUCAACUUUAUCACAACUCAUAUGAGUUAAAAAUCUCUUGAAUGUAUUUUCUCUCAAGUUUCUAAUGGAUACCCCUUUAUCAAAGGUAUGGACAUUGAGCUAAAUUCACCAUUAAAAUUCAUCAAGUUCCUUUUUUCCUUUUCCUAAUUCAUCAAGCUAUAUUUAUGAAAUAUCCUAAUUAUUCACUUGUAAUAUCAUAUUGUCAACAAAUCCCUUAACAGAUCUACACCUAUCACUAGUUAAUAGAUAAAAUAACUUAAUAAUUAGUUUUAAGUUUUAAGGACUUUACAAGACAAGCCAAGAACCUCAGAUUGCUUGCACACAAUUGACAAAUUGAUUUGUUUUAAAAAGUCAAAUGCUAAAGAAAAUCCACAACACAUAUUGUUUUAAAAAUAUUUGUAUUUAUAUGACAAAAAAAAAAAAAAAACCAAUAGUUUAAAUUGGAAAAGUUUAUGCAAAUUAGAUGAGGAAAAUGCAAGCCAUAAAAUAACAUUAAACUGUUAUCAUUCUCUAAGAAACAUCAAGAACAUAUUGAGAGAACCAUUGCUUGACAUAAUAAAUUGGUCUUGAAAGGAAAAGAAAAUCAUCAAAGCAAUUAUAUUUGUGAUGCAUUCCUAUUUGCAAUAGGUUCCAAUAUUUGAAGCUCACAAAUUCUUCACAUUUGGAUGAACCUUUUUAUUGCAAACAUAGAUCAACCUUGUGGUGCUUACCAAUGGGAAAACAAUUAUAGUAAGAUAUGUAUUGCAAAUGGUGCAUGCUUGCUGUAAAAAUAAAAAAUAAACAAUGAUGAUUGGAUAAGGGAUAGAAAUGGAACAAAAGACAUUGAAUUGUUAUAUGAAUUAAUAUAUUUUAUGUACUCAAAUACAAAAGCAUAUUAUAAUAAUAUUCAUAAGGCAAAAACCACUAUUUUUUUUAUUGGGAAACCCAUAUGAGAACAUGGCAUGGGGCUCAUCAUUGCACACACCACAUUCUCCACAAAAAACCAUAGGACUAACACCAUGAAAACCCAUCAUUGGCACCAUCCUCUUGACUCUCAAUCCCUUAACCCUACACAUUUUCAAACCAAUGUCAUCAACCACUCAUAUCACACAACUCAUAACCCAUCUCUAAUUCCACAACUUUCACCACUGUUGUACUACCAUUCACAUCAUCUCUAUCUCUAAAAACCUACACUCACACCUCUACAAAAUGUCACACUUCCUCACCUUAUACAACACCACCGCCUUAUUAAUUCAUCCAUGCCUAUGGCUAACAUAAAAAAACCCACCAGCACCCUCAUAAAAAAACAAUACUAUUUCAAAGUUACACCACAUUAAUGUCACCAUGCACCUUUCCCUCCAUUGAAUAUCCCAUACAAUCUCUCAUUAUCACCCUCGUCAAAUUCGCAAUGUCUCUCCUAAAUCCUGUAUGACUCUUAGUUUUACCAUUUAUUAGGUUAGCGUCCUCUAGUUCUAAUCGCAACCACUCUAACUUCCAAAGAAAUAAAAUGAUAAAUGAGCAAGUCAUGGAGAUUUCUCUUCCUUACAACCUUUUGCUCCAAGUGUUUUGGUACCCUACUAUUUGCACAUAUAUGUCUUGACAUUAACUUCUACUCAAAUAUAAUCUCUUCUUGUUUUCAUGCUUACCUAUUUUAUACAUCUUUUUUUGUAGAUUUUUUAAUUAUUUAACAUCUUAAGGUUUGCUUUGGUCAUGUUGUAUUGUUUACUUUGCACACUAACCAAAUGUCAAGGCCCUUUUACAUACAACUGGUUCUACCUUAGUCUUUGCAAUACCUUCCUAAGGUAGACCAAGUGAUCUUGUAGAGUGUAGUUGUAGAUCACUAUAUCGUCCAAAUAAUACACCACAAACGAGUCUAGGAAGUCAAAUAAGAUGUUGUUUAUGAGGUUGCAGAAAGCGGCAAGGGCAUUAAUCAACCCGCAAUGCAUGACCAAGAAUUCAUAGCUACCAUACCAAGUCAAACAAGUUGUCUUUGCAUCAUCUCUUUAAGCAAUGAAAACCUGUCAAUACCCUAAUCAUAGGUUUAUCUUGGUAAAAUACUCCACUUCACAAAUUGAAGAAGUUUGUGUGUGUGUGUGUGUGUUUGUAUAUAUAUAUAUAUUAUGCCAUAGCUUUACAUGCCAUCUACUUGUCUCCAUUUCAACAUUUGAUCAUCACCCAUGGAUGCAUUAUUCUAACUAAAUCCACUUCUCCUUCUUUCAUCCUCUUUCCAUUUUGCAUUAGAAUUAAUCCAAUUAACACCACAUAUUGCUUCUCCGUUACCCCACAUUGGUAUAUAUGCAAUGAACUUUUUGGUUUUAGCUCCAAUGUUUUAGCUACAAUUAGGGCCAACUUUAUAUUAUUAUGUACCUCAAAAUUAAGCAUUGAAUAAUGCACCCUACUCAUCUCCAUUUGGUUCAAAUGGCUUGUUGUUGUUCAAAUUCAUAGUCUCUUCAAUAUCUUGUAGUUUUCAUGAAUUCCAUUUGGAAGACCAAACUACACAUGUAUUUUACAAAUAGUAAGCCUGAAUUUACAACCAACGAUCUAACAACUACACAAAGAUUUAUAAUUUCAAUAAAAUCACACAAUAUUUAUGCCACCUAAUUCAAUAUUUUGAGCACCAGGGAGUGAGAAUUAAUGGUAUUAGAAUAUUUAGGUAUCUUGCAGUAUGGUUACAAGUUAGUUAAAUAAUUGUUAGCUUGUUAAAUAAUCGUUAGUUGCUUUUUCUAUUUUUUUUUUUUUUGUUUGCAACUGGUAAACUAGUAGGUUGUGAUAGCUUUUUUACCAAUCUUUAUUAUAAAGGCUUUCUUUGUAUUACUAAAACAUCAAGUGAGAAUAUUCUAAAAUUAUCAGAGAACUCAUUUUCUCUUCUUUCCUUUCUCUAGUCAAUUUUCUAAUAUGGUAUUAGAGUCAUUUCUUUUGUCUCUGUGACUUCUCUAACUUUCCCCUCCCAUUUAUCUAAUGGCUUGCGGUGGUGGCAAUGUUAAUGCCAAUCGAGCAGUAGUUAGUACUCCUAAUUCCUCUAUAAUGGAAUAUUCGAGCAGUCCAUUUUUCAUCCAUAGUAAAUAUCACCAAGGCUUGGUUCUUGUCUCAUAUCAACUUACUGGAGCUAACUAUAAUUCCUAGAGUAGAUCUAAGCACAUGGCUCUUAUAGCUAAGAACAAGAUCAGCUUGGUUGAUGACGCUUUUCUUCAACCUCCAACAGACAAUCUCAUUUCCUUUGUUUGAAUCCAUUGUGAUAGUAUGGUUACAUUUUAGAUCUUGAACUCUAUUUUUAAAGAUAUUGUUGAUAGUCUUCUCUAUGCUAAUAGCACUUUUAAUGCUUGGGUUGAUCUUUAUGAUUGAUUCCACCAAAGCAAUGUCCCACAAAUCUUCUAAAUCAAGAAGCACGUAGUUGUUCUUGAGCAAAGAUCUAUGGAUGUCAACACAUACUACACUAAGCUCAAGGUCCUCUAGGAUGAGCUCAAAAAUUAUCAACCCAUUCUUGUCUAUCACUAUGGAGGCACAAAGUCUUGGUUAGACACCAACAAUAGGAGUACAUCAUGCAAUUUCUUAUGGGUUUGAUUGAGUCAAAUGCUCAAACUUGAACACAGAUCUUAAUGAUGUCUUUGCAUUAGUUGUUCAAGAAGAAUGCCAAUGUACUAUCAAUUAAGGCUUUUUUUUACUUACCGAUUCUCUUAUUCCCAACAUUUCAAAUUCCUUUACUUUUGUUGCAACAACAAAUUUUUCUCGAAAUUCAACUUUAAAACCUAAGCGUGAGUGACCCUAAUGUUCCCAUUGUGGCUUGCAAGGACAUAUUGUAAAUAAAUGCUAUUAGUUACAUGGCUAUCAUCCUGGCUAUAAGUCAAAAUCAAAGAAACCUGAAGUAAAAAAUUCAAGCCACCUAGGCCAAUGCAACUAUUAAUGAGACUAUUAACUUUGAUUCAUCCCUUGGAUCUCUUACUUUAGCUCAGUGUCAUCAAUUGCUUGCAUUCUUGAGCUCUCAACUUCAUACCAACUUUCUUAUUAUGCUAGAAUCUCAAUAGCUAGAACCCUUUGUUUCCCAGUUCAAUGGUAUACUAUCUUUUUCUUCUAUAUCAUAAUUUUCCAAUUUCUUUUUCCAUCUGGAUUUUGGACAUAGAAGUCGCACAUCAUGUUUGUUGUUACUUAAGCACAUUUACACAAUCUACUCCAGCACAAAAUUCUUUUGUAACUUUGCCUAAUAGUCAAUCUGUUGUUAUUAAUCGUAUUGGUUAUGUAUUUUUGUCUCCUGAUCUCAUCCUUAAUAAUGUCAUGUUUGUUCCUAAUUUCCAUUUCAAUCUUCUCUCUAUUAGUUCUCUCACUCAGAGUUAUAAAUCUUCUAUUAAUUUUAUGGUUGAUUCUUGUACUAAAGGCCAUACAUGGACCAAAACGAUUGGGAUGAGUAGAAGACAUGGCAGCCUAUACUUCUUAAAUAUAGUCAAUUUUCAUGCCACUACACCACAAAUUUUCAGUCCUUGUAAUAAUGUUUCUUUGUCUCAAAAUGAAAUUUGGCUUUACUGUUUAGGUCACCUUUCUUAUGUAACGUUACAAACACUCAAAGAUGAAAUAGAAGUUAAACCAAAUUUUGGUGAUUCAAGUCAUUGUUUAGUUUUGCAUUUAGUCAAACAAUGCAAAUUACAUUUAUUUCUCACAAUUAUUUGUCUGUUUUGCCUUUUCAACUCAUACAUUGUGAUGUUUAGGGUCUCCUUCACACAUUUACCAUUGAAGGUUAUAGAUAUUUUUUACUAUUGUUAAUGAUUGUACUCAUUUUAUUUGGGUGUAUCUUUUGCGUGCUAAGCCUGAUGUUACCGAAGUUAUUCCUAAUUUUUUUUUUCUCAUUGAUUCAAACUCAGUUUAGAACACAAAUAAAAUUAGUUCACUCAGAUAAUGCUCCUGAAUUGGCAUUUUUUUUACUUCUUUCAUUCAAAAUGAGUCAUCUCAUUUCAUUCUUGUGUUGAUUAGCCUCAACGGAAUUCAAUAGCAGAAAGAAAGCAUCAACAUAUCUUAAAUGUUGUAUGGUAUUUAUGUUUCCAAUCGCAUAUUCCAUUGGUUUAUUAGGGGGAUUGCAUUCUUAUUAUUGUACACUUAAUAAAUAAAACUCCAUUCCCACUUUUGUCCAACAAAACAACAUUUGAACUUCUUUGGAAAAAGAAGCUUGCAUAUUCACAUCUUCGUAAUUUUGGUUGCCUAUGUUAUGCAUCUACUUUAGAUCGUCAUAGGACAAAUUUCUCACCUCAUGUCAUUCCUUUUGUCUUUCUUAGGUACCCACCUGGUUAUAAAGAAUACAAAUUAUUGAAUCUAGUCACUAAUUCUGUGUUUAUCUCCCAUAAUGUGGUAUUUCAUGAGUCUAUAUUUUCUUUCAAAACUACUCAAACUUAUUCUCCUCUUCCAGAUAUUUUCUCCGGCUAUUGGGUGCAAAUAGGUGUACAAAAAUAAGUAUAGAGUUGAUGGAACUAUUGAACAAUACAAAGCUCACCUUGUAGCUAAAGGCUGCACACAACAAGAGGGCAUAGACUAUCUAGGUACCUUCUCUCAUGUUGUCAAAUUGGUUACUGUUAAGGUUUUGCUUGCUUUGGCUACCAUUAAUGGUUGGAGUCUUCCUUAGUUGGAUGUCAAUAAUGCGUUCUUACAUGGUGAUCUUUUUAAGGAAGUUUAUAUGACUAUGCCUCCUAGUUAUCACUUAAAGGAAAAUCAUUAUCCUCACACUCUGUUUACAAAAUUCAGAAGUCCUUGUAUGGCUUGAAACAAGCAUCACGACAAUGGUUUUCCAAACUCUCCAAUUUCUUACUUGUUAAAGGUUUUUAAACAUUCUAAUGCAAAUCACUCUCUUUUUGUCAAAGUUGUUAGUACUUACUUCAUUGCUCUAUUAGUUUAUGUGGAUGACAUUGUCAUUGUUAGUAAUAGUGAUGAGCAAGUUGAGAAAUUAAAAGUUCUAUUUAGGAAAGCUUAAAUACUUCUAGGGCCUUGAGGUGGUGAGGUUUAAUAAGGGAAUUUCCCUUAGUUAGCACCAUUAUGCCUUACAAUUACUAUCAGAUGUAGGCUAUGUUGGUUGUAAAACAAGGAAAACACUUAUAAAUCCAUAGAAGAUCUUUUAUUUUACGGAAGAAUGAUAGGCAAAUUGGUUUAUCUAACCAUAGCAAACCCAGAUUUAUCAUUUUCAGUACAUAAAUUCAAUCAAUUUCUUGCAAAGCCUAGAGUUCUUCAUAUGUGGGCAAUACAACAUGUGCUUCAGUACUUGAAAGCAUGGUUUGAAAUAUUGGUAAACACGGAUAUAUCGAUACUUGGAUUUUAUGGAUAUAUUGGAAAUAUUGGUAAAAUAUCGGUAAAUAUUAAUAAAAUAUCGGUAAAUAUUGGUAAAAUAUCGGUGGAUAUUUUGACAAAAAUAUUAGUGAAACAAAAAUUAUUCAAAAUUCAUGGAAAUGUUUGGAAAACUCUAAAAAAAAAAUGAUAAAAUAAGCAAGAAUACAUAUGUUAAAGUUAUUGUAAGUGGAAUUGACAUAAGUAUGGUCAAUGAGAAAAAUAUUGAGGGAUAUAUCAGUCUUAAUAAUUUAUUAUUUAUCUUAUCAAAUUAAUUUUAUUUUAUAAAAUAUUAGAAGUUCAUUAUUUUUUUAUUUUAGUAAUUUUUUGAAUAAAUUUAUAUUUUUAAUAUUUUUAAAAUAAAAAAAUUCAAAAUCAAUAAAAUUAAAAGGAUAAACAUAAAAAAAAAAAAAAGUGAAAUGAUAGUAAUUUCUAAAAAUAAGAUUAAUGAGAUAAAUGAUGAUACAUUUAAUAUUAAAACUAUAAUUUAUUUAAUUCAAAUACAUUCAACAAUGUAAAAUAAAUUAUGAUGCAUAUAUAAUUUUUUUUAUAUUUAUAUUUAUUUUUAUAUAAUUGUCAUAUAAAUGAUAUAAAAUAAAAUAAAAUAAAAGACUUAUUAAGAAAAUUAUAAUGAUGGUUUUAUACUUUUAUCAAUUAAUUAAAUUAAAUAAUUAGAAUUAAUUUAUUUAUUCUUUUAAUGAUGAAUUUUAACAUAUUUAUUGUGAACAUAUAUUUACAUAUGUGGACUUGGCCCAAUAGUAGCCAGGCUUCACCCAAGCCUUUUGGCCUGGGUUUGAAUCCCCUUGGAUGCAAUAGAAAAAAAUUUGAAGGAAUUUACACGAAUAUCGGCAUCUUUUCGAUAAAGUCGAUUGACUUUCAGUGUGCAAUAUCAUGUCAACUCUCCUUGAUAUUUUGACGAUUGACUUUCAGUGUGGAAUAUCUUGUUAGCUCUCCCUAAUAAGCAAAAUAUCGACAAUAUUUCACCAAAAUUUUGCAACAUUUCAAUGUGGAAUAUCAUGUUGACUCUCCCCAAUAUUUCAACAAUUGACUUUCAGUGUGAAAUAUUGUGUUAGCUCUCCCUGAUAAGCAAAAUAUCGACAAUAUUUCACCAAAAUUUUACAACAUUUCAAACCGUGCUUGAAAGUUAUGCAGGACAAGGUUUAUUUUAUUUUAUUUAUUUAUUUUUUUCAUUAAUAGAGUUGAAAGGGUUUGUUGAUUCAAAUUGGGCAACUUGUGUGGUCUGUUAGUGGGUUUUGCUUUUUUUUUUUUUUUUUUUUUAAUUAUUGGUGAUUCCUUAAUUUCCCAGAAAUAAAAAGGCAGCAUAUAGUUUCAAGAUCUUUUGUUGAAGUUGAGGACAGAUUUAUGGCAAAUGCAACAUGUGAAUUGAUGUGAUUACUUUCUUUAUUUAGAGAUUUGCAUGUAUCUCAUCCUAAGCCUGCCUUGCUAUUUUGCAACAAUCAAGCAACUCUUUAUAUUGUAGCUAAUCCAAUUUUUCACAAGCACACUAAGCACAUUGAGAUCGAUUAUCACUUGGUUAGAAAGAAACUGUAAAAUGGAAGCUUGAAGACACUACAUAUUUCAUUUAAACAUCAAGUGGGGGACUUGUUGACCAAACCUUUUUCUUCACCUCAAUUUCAUUUUCUUCUUAGUAAAAUGGGAAUUCACAACAUUCAUUCUCCAUUUUGAGGGGGAGUAUUAGAAUAUUUGGGUAUCUUGCAGUAUGGUUACAAGUUAAGUAAAUAAUUGUUAGUUUGCUAAAUAAUUGUUAGCUUCUUUUUCUAUUUUUUUUUUGUUUGCAACUAGAUGUGUCUAUUCAAUAACUUCAUAUGGUUAUAGUUAAUUAAGAAUCCUUUACGUAAUAACUAUUAAAAUAAUUUGUUUCCAACUUUCCUAUUAAAUUUUCUUCUGCUUAGUAUUUCAAAAAUUAUAGUUCAAGAAAGCUCUUUCGAUUUCUAUGUUGCACUGUAUCUUCUUAUAUGUUAGUACAAAUCAUACUCCUCUUUUUACCUCUUCAAUGAAUCCUUUUAGGAGUAAGACCACCAAGUGAGCACCCUUAUAUCGAUCCACAAGCUUUUUAUUACAUAUUUUUGGUUUGUGCACACCACCUCAAAUUUAAGUGGCCCAUAAAUUUUAUACUUUGGAUACCUUACCAUCCAAUCAUAAGCAUAAACUAAAUUUGAAAGGAUAAGUUUAGUUUAUUUUAGAGAAACUGAGCUCCAAGUCCCCUAGCCAAACAUGAAGUUUUGAAGCAUGAAAUUUUUGUGAUGGAACAUAUUUGCAAUCCUUAUUAAAUUGACCAAUUGUGUUAUGCUAAGAAUGCAAAUUAUGCAUGGCAAAGUGGUUAGAAAGUGUACAAAUGCACCAUCUUUUUACUUGUUUUUUUACUCAAAUUUCUCUGUCAAUUUUUUUUUCAUUCUUAUCCUUCUUAAUUGAGGCAAACAUGUUUUGGCUAGUGCUUUCAAAUGCCUUAAAUAUAUUCUUUUCAAUAUUGUAAACAUUUGGCUUGGUCAUUGUUAUAGUUAUCAAUUGUGUCAACUUUUACUUUCUCUCAUCCCCAAUUACAUAUGCACUUUGUAGUUUUAAAUUUUUUUUAGUGAUUAAUCUUAGUUUUUAUCUAAUUGUUUGCCCUAUAGUCUCUGACAUAACUAUAAGUGGAACAUGCACCUCUCACAAACCAAAAGACAUCACUUGUCUUCUUUAAUUUAAACAUUUUUGCAUCUGUGUAAGAUUUGAAACUAGAAUUUCACAAUAUCUCAUAGUCAUCUUCUCUAGUUGUUUCUCAAAGCUCUCUUCAAGAUUUAGUUCAUGUUCAAUUACCAACUUUGAGUUUUCAAUUUUAUUUUAUUUUUUCCUACAAGUCAUGAGGAAAUGAAUUUCAACUGUGUUUCAUCUAUCCAUCUCUCUUAAAUUGUUUUAUUCAAUAGUUACCAAUUGUAGAAUUGUUUUUAUAUAUUCUUUUCAUAGAUAUUGUUAAUAAAUUAUGCUAAAUGAGUAGCUUCCUGAUGUGGUGAGAGCUAAUUUUAUUAUUGCUAGGAUAAUAUAUUUUUAACUUUCUUGACUUUUUCCGAAUUAUAAACCACUCAUGCUUUGACCAAUCUCCAUGUGUUUUUCAUUUGUUUGGAUUUAUGGGCUUUUGAUUCUAUUUAGUGAAUAGAUAAUAAGGAAUUAAGGAUCUGAGAUUGACAUUAUUUUAAGGAUGUUUGAAGAUGGCAUAGUGAAGUAUAGAAUAUUGUUUUGGGUUGUAUCUCCUCGUUUCUCAUACUUAUGGUGGACAUUGAUGAGUUGGAUUAUUUGAAUGAAAUGAGCUUUGGAAAAAUACUAGUAAUUACAUGAAUUGUUGCAAUAUAUUUGAGUGAAAAUAUUAUGUUAGUGUCUCUCCAUGUCACUAAUUCAAACCUGUGACUUUCCAUUGUAAGUGGUAGAAAUAUAUCUUUUAUUUUCUAGAAAACAUUACUCUAACUUGUGAAAAAGGUUCUUAUGCCUCCAUGUUAAAUGUUAUAUGAUGGAAAAAACCUGAAUCUCUCUGUUUCCUCAAUCUGGAUCAAGUUAGGAAUAUGCAUAACUAUCCUAGGCUUUUUCUAAAUUCUAUGCACAACAAAAAAUUAAUUUUUUUUUAUACUUUAUAAGGAUCUAGAAAGUGCUAACGAAAACUAUACCUCAAAUUCGAAUGUUCCCGAGUCUUUCGCCCGAUGACUCAAACCUUGAUCUUGGCACACUUCUAAUGGGGAGGAAAUAAGGGUGGAGGCUAUAGUUCUCUAUCUCUCUGGAUGGUGGAAGAUAAAAUCCAUGGAAACCCUAACCUCUAGGGGGUAUUUAUAGGGUUCCUAAGUUGGCUUAAGUGACUUGAGCCCAUACAGACUUAGGUCACUUAAUCUAACCAAAAAUGAGUUCUAAUUAAUUAAUUAACCCAAUAAGGCCUACUAAUUAAUCAAUUAGCCCAAUCAAGAGACCUUGUUCACUUACCCCUAUACAACCUUGCGUAAUUAUCAAAAUGCCCUUAUACACAAAAGUGAACUUAGAGUCAAUUCAACCCUCAUAACCCAUGCUAACAAGGUGUAUGAGUUCAAAGCGGGGACCAUUGGGACCCAUAGAAAUACUGACUCCCUCAAAAUCCAAUUCUAAAGUUGAUUCAAUAUCACACUACAGAGAAUCAACUAAACUUCAAUAUCCUAUGUAAAUAACAACGAGACACUAAGUGAUCGGGUCUAUGACUUGCUAUCCAUUGUGUUCAGUCUCCCCAUGAACUAAUGUCUGUCGUUUAAUAAGGUGAAAGCUAUUAGUCUUUCAAGACUACCUCUACCUCCUAUUUUGUGUUCAAUUGACAUAUCUUAGUUCUCAAAUUGCCUAUGUCAAGUUCCAUUUAAUGAACUACAUGACCAUAGUUUCCAUGAAUAUACCUCCUUAAGAUCACCCAAGGGGACACACUGUCUCAAUCCCAAGAGAUAUCAUAGUGCCUCUAUUGAAAAUACCUAUUACUACCAGCUUCUACCAAUAAUGAUCUAAUCCAUAUGGAAUAUAUGAUCAACUUCCGAUUUCACCCGUAGGUCAAAGUCAUUGCCAACUUUAGCACAAGCUCAAUAUUCUCUCAAGGUUGAGAGACAACACAAUGAAACAGCUUGGUGAGGUCAUGACUCAAUAAUAGCCUUAAGUCAUGACUCACCAUAGGUCUUGUCCAAUGUGUAACCAUACACACUAGUGCACUCACCAUAGGAAACCCAUCCCGAUAACCAAGACCAGUGAUCCCUCCAAUUAGGAGGUGGUGCACUACAACCUUUAAUGGGUUGCCUAGACCCAUGAACCAGUUGUGAACAAGUCAUCUAUUUGCAAAGAACCCAUGACUUAGAUCUCCUGUGCAACUCCUAAUGCACCUAAGUCACGUACAAUAGAAAAAAUGCAGACAAAAAGGCUCAUAAAGUAUAAUAUAUGGAAUAAGAAUAUAUAAAAGUGAAACUGGAACAUCAUUAAAUAAAUAAUGAAUUCUAAGUUUAUUACAUCAUGUCAUGCUUUUAAGGGCUUUAUCCUAACAUUAUGUAUUUGAGAUAAACAUGAUAUAAUGAGAUUUAUAUUUCUCUGUUAUAAUAUUUCAAUAAGUAAUUGUGUUUUAAUUUUAAUAAACUAUGCUUGCAUGAAACAAUUCAAGUAUCAUUGGCAUCAUUGUGAGACAAAAGUUUCUCUUAUUACAUAUUAAAGAGAUUUAAGUUAUCAAAAAGUGAAAACGGUUUUAUCUAGGCUAGUUUCAAGUUGACAACUUUUAAAUUGUUUAUCAUGUGAUAAAGAACUUUUCCCCACAAAUGAUACUUGAAUUGUCUAAUUAAACAGUGUAGGAAAACAUAAUAUCUAUGAAGUUAAUUGUUUGUUCUUAAUUCAAUUUUUAUAAAUUUUGGUAGUCUUUUCUCUUAUUCUCUGGGUGCAUAUUUGGAUAAAGUUGCAUAGUAUGUCUUGUCCAUUUUACAUACUUAGAGAACUAUAGGGAAAUUCUACUAAAAUUUCUUUAAAAUGAAAUUGACCACAUUGGUCAUUGACACAUAGAGAUUAUGUAUUUCUAUAUGGGAUAGGAACUACUACUGAAUUUAGGAUGUUGGAGAUGUUAGAAUGCAUAAAACAUGCAUCGAAAUUUGACAUACUCAAAUGAUUUUCUUGUGUUGCUUAAGGAGUUUAUUGAGAAAAUUGGUAUAGACAAUGUUUGAUGCAAAGGUCAUGGACAAACCCAAUAUAAUAAUAUUAAUAUGAACUAGUUUUAUUGAGGUUAUACAUCCCUUUUAAUGCAAGUAUUCAUGGUCAACAACAUUUAUAACUUAUUAGUCACUACUACAAAUAAGAUAUACCAUGACCUUGUUUUUUCCCUGGCACUUUUAAAAAUGUUAAUAAUUAGCGUGAUAUUUGAAAAGUGUAGAUCUAUCUUCAUAGAUCAAAAUGGUUAGAACAAUGCUUACUCUUUUUCUUUUAAAUUUGGCAUCUUAACAAAUGUUAAACUACAUUUUCUUGAUUAUUAUUUGAACAAAAAAAAAAAAAGAGGUUGUUAAACGAAUAGCAUAGAAAAUGUUGUUAUUUUCUUCAAUUUGAAGUUUGAUCACUAUUGAAAGUUUGUUCUUAAAAAAUGGAUCGUUUGUGGAUUUCAAAUGAUAGAGGAUUAAAGGAGUAUGAGGAUGGGGUAGAACAUUUUUAUCACAUUUGCAAUAUAAAAUUCUGCAUAUAAAAACUCCAUUAAGUGUCCAUGCUUGUAGAGUGGUAAUAUGAUAUUUCAUACUCCUCAAAGAUUUCCUCAAAAGAUUAGAGAGCAUAUGUUUUUCUAUAGAAUUAAUUAGAAUUACCAUAUAUGGUAUUGGCAUGGGGAAGCAACUCCAAGUGAACCGCCAACUAGAAGGGUAGAACAUUAUAAUAUGGUUCAAUUUAAUGAUGUAGAUAGUACAAUAGAAAUGGUUGAAGUUGUACAAGUUGAAUGUCAAAAUGACCUAAAAUUGCUUAAAAGAUUACUUCAAAUUGUUGAAAAACCUUUUUAUAUCAUAGUUGUAGAAAAUUCACACAAUUGUUUGCAUUGGUUAAAUUAUACAACUUGAAAACACACUAUGAGUAGUCUGCUAAAAGUUUUUCAGAGCUUUUAAAAAUGCGUAGAUAUAUGCUGCCUCUAAAUAAUGAGUUACCCUUAUCUAUGUAUGAGGCAAAAAUGGCAUUGAAUACAUUAGGAAUGGAAUAUGAAAAAAUACACACAUGCCCCAUGAUUGUAUACUUUAUAAGAAUAAGUUGAAAGAUGCAUUUCAUGUCCUAUCUAUGGAACUUCAAGGUGAAAGGUAGAUAAUAUAGGAACUAAAAAAAUGACGAGAGCUCCUGGGAAAGUAAUGUGGUAUUUUCUUCCAAUUCCAAGAUUUAUAAGAAGGUUUCAAUCAUCAAAAAUCGUAAAAGACCUCUUAUGGCAUACCUAAGGAAGAGAUUUAGAUGACAAAAUGUGUCAUCCGGCUGACUCUCUAUCAUGGCUAAUUGACCAUAAAUGGCCCAACUUUGUUUCAAAACCUAGAAACUUGAGACUUCCCAUUUUAGCAAAUGGUAUAAAUCCUCACAAUUCAUUGAUUAGCAAAUAUAGUUGUUUGUCCUAAAGAGCUUGAAGCAGUAACUAUGGACAAUGUUUUUUUUUUAUCAUAAAGAGCAAGUUAUGGGCUACACUAUGGCUGCAGAUAGAGGUAAAACCUUUAACUUGUUUUUAGUUUGAUUUUUGUUUUCUUUCAUAAUGGAAAUAGAAAAUCAUCUAAACGAAUAGGACCUUAAUAAUUUAUUUUUUAUUCUACAAUUUAUUUUUGAAUAAAAUAAUUUAAAAGAUUUCAUUCUUAUAUUUGUUAGACUUUUUUUUUAAUGAAGAAAAAAAUAGUCUCCCUUUUAGCAUAUAUAUUAUAUAUGAUUAACAAUGGGUAUAAUAAAAUUUAUUUAAUAAAUAAUUGAUGUGACAUUCUAAAUUGAAAGUCAUAAAUUAGCUCAUUUGUUUGAUGUUGUCCCUAAAACUACAAGACCUGAUUACAUACUUAGAUUUUGUUCUUGAAAUUUAAGAGAUAAUUGAUGUGACAUCUUGAAUUGAAAGUCAUAAAUUAGCUUAUUAGUUUGAUGUUGGCACUAAAACUACAAUUCCCAAUGACAUAAAUUUUGUUCUUGAGAAAUGUCAUUAUGGUUCAUAGUAAGGCUUAGUUUGGUGUGUCAGACCAUGCAUGCAUGAUAUCUUUUCACAUUCUCUUGCUUUUUGACAAACAUGCUACCAUACUCAAGGUGUUUGUCAAGGCUCAUCUUGGACUACUCAAAACUUUAGGGUCCUUUCUUUGAGUUCACAAGCUUCUUUCCCCUAGUGUUAACCCCAACUCCCAAAAUCCACUCCUUAUUAGUGCACUGACGAAAUCUACAAAUGCACCAUAAAGUGAGAAUGACAUCAUGAAAAUGUAUUAAUGCAUCUUAGAUAUGGGAACUUAAAAAAAAAAAAAAAAUCUAGAGUUUAGACUUGUUUCUGUUAAUUAGAAAUUACUAAGCAAUGAAUCUUGCUAGUGUGGAAAGCACCAAUAGAUUGACCAAGGAAGGUAUAUAUAAAAAAGAUUGACAUUGUCAAUUGGGAAAAUUCCUCUGCAAACGCCAAUCCUAUCUUUCUAACCAUCAUGGAUGUUGAGAAGUAGAUAUCGAUGACUAUGAUGAGGAUCACAAAGGAUUAUCAUACCAAGGAGUUAGACAUUUGUUGGGUUAUCAACAAUUUUAAUGAAGGUGGUAUUAACUAUUUGGUUGUUGAUAGUGUAUUGCGUAGUUCAACCAAGCCAAUCUGCUCCUACAUUGAGAUCAAUCUCGAUGAAAAGGUAGCAUAUAUUUUUCAUUUCCUAAUUAUAUCAACUGCUUCAUGGUGCCUUUGUCUGAUAAGCUUAACAGGUUCUUCUACAUUUCCACCCUCUAAUUCUCUAAAGUUCAUCAUGAUAGGGUUGAAAUUUCAUCAUCAAAUCAAAACACAUCCUCCUAUAAGAGGCCUUUGAAUUCUGAAAUAAUCAAUUCACUUGAUUCUCAUAUUGGCAAAGACAAGCUUACACUAUUGGAAAGACUACCCAUCACCUUUGCCUUCCCAAAUAGAAAAGAUGAGAGAUAACAUUUCACAAAAUCACAAGAAUUAUUCAAGUUUGGAAUUCAUAGGCAUUGUUAUUGAAUUUCAUUUGUAUAAAAUUGGUGUGUUGUGUUUAUUUUGUUGGUAUUAAAAUUGAAUUUUUUUAAUUGCAAAUUGAUGAUUUUUUUUUCUCACAUUUAUACCCAUUAGAGUUUCUUAUUAGGGUUUGUGUUUGAAAUUUGGAGAAAGUAUGGUGCAAUUGUUCACCAGUGUGGUGUACCAUUUUGUUUGUUGUAUCUGAUCUUUGGGUAUUUGAUUUAAUUUUAUUGUUGUUGAAAUUGAAAGUUGAAAUCCAAGUUAAAUGUUUAACUAGAUAUUUGUAGUUGACUUGUUUGCACCGAUCUUGAUUGCCCAUUUCAUGGGAAUAAUUCAUUCCAAUUUUCCUUCAUGAUUACUAAAAAUAUAUUGUAGGUGAAGGACUAUUAUGGAGUAUAUUUAAUUCACAAGAUUGAAUAUUGAACAAAGAUAUGCCUUAGGUCUAGCUUAUAUGGAAUAGCAUAUCUUACAUUUAGUUAAUUAAAUAUACUAUACAAAUUUUGGUUAUAUAUAAUAUCUAUGUUACAAAUUUGGAUAAUUCGAAGUCUAAGUGACUUCAUAUAAUUAUUGUUACAUCUUAAAAAUGAUUUCACAAAUUAGAAUUACAAUGACUCCUACAUAUCUUAGAUUCUAACUCAAAUUCUCACUUGAUUUUAUUUUAUUUUUAUUUUUUUGUUUUCAAUCAAUUAAUAAUAUGUUAUGGGCUAGUUUAGCUUAUAGUUGAGAUGAAUUUUAUCUAAGAGCACCUCAAUUUGAACCAAAUUGAAGAAAAAAAUGACUUAUUAUACCUUAUGAAAGAUAAUAUUAUUAAUUUCCAUGUUUUUUUUUCAAAUAACCUUUUCAUGACAUGAACUUAUAUGGAACAUUGUUGUAUUAAUUGAUUAGGAAAUCACUAAGCCUAAGAAAGUGAGAAAAUUUAAAAGGGAAGGAAUGUCACCAUUGCAUUUUAGCACAAAGGAAGAUGAUCUCUAGCUAUGACGAAAAUUCAAGAAAUGAACAAGUUCCAUUAAAGAUGAAGGCACAAUUGGGUGACAUUUAAAAAAAAUGUCAAAGGAAGUUAUUGUUUUAGCUACGGAUAUGUUCUUUUUUUUUUUUUUUUUUAGACUUCUUGUGUUACUCAUAUAUGUAAUAUGCAAUGUGAUUUCUCUUUUAUAUUAUAAAUUUAUUACUCUUAGCACUUCAUUUAUGGGAUAGAUGAAUAAUAAUUACUUUAAUUUUAUUUAAUUGUUGGAUAGUUGUUGGAUGGAUAAAUAAUUGUCAUUUCUUUAUAUUUGAGUUAUUUCAAUAUCAAAUGCCAAUUAAAAUAAAAGAGCAAUAGGUGAAGCUAAUUUUAGAUUGUCACAAUCCUUGGCACUUCCACUAAGUGUCAAGGUUUAGAGCAAUCAACAAUGGAAAAGGUGAACGAUGAUGCUUCCAAAAAGCGUCAAGGUUAUUUCAUCUUCAACAAUACCAGUUUUUGUAAGUGUCAUUAUUUACAAAAUCAACAAUAACAUUGGCAAAUUGGUACGCCUCAAUGCUUCUAAAAAACAUCAUUAUUUGUUCCAUAUUUACAAUGACGCUUUUAAAAGUGUCAACAUCGCUAAACACUCUUUACAAUGACACUCGAUUUCAUGGUGCUUUUAAGAAGUGUAAUUGUUUGUAAAAACUUAUUAUGACAAGCUAAGAGAUGACACUGCGGAGAAGUGUCAUUGUUUGUCUUUCUUGACAUUGUUUGUCUUUCUUAACAGGUAAAAAGUGUCAUUAUUGAUCGAUUUUUCUUAUAAUGAAUCCAAUUGGUUGUGAUUGAGUUAAUGAAAUGAUCACCAACUUUUUUGCAACCAUACAACACUACAUAACCUUAAUACCUAUUGUUCAUUAUGAUGUUGUAAGAACAUAUGCCUUUAUGUGACCUAUUAAAUAAACUGGUCUUAUCAACUGAAAAAUGUUCCUCUAGUUAGUAAAAACUUCAUUCAUGUGGUCAUUUAUUAGCAUCAUAAUAAUCCAUAUUACAAAUAUUUAAAAACAUUAAUGCACUAAAACAUUGAUUUCAUCAACAAAAAUACACUCAUUCUUUUAACUUAUAGCAUUCAAAGAUGUUUAAAAAUAUAUAUGUACAAUAAAACAUCAUCAAAUUUAUUAACAAUUAAACUUUUAACCCCAAAACAAUCCGUUACUUUAGUAGAUAAGACACUAUUUGGAAUAACAUUAUUUUUAGCUCAAGUUAGAAGUUAAAAUGAUAAGGUUAAAAGAACAAAACCAACAAAAAAAAAAGUUAUUUUUUGUCAAACUUGACACUAGUUCAAGUUAGAUAAUGUAGCUCAAUGCCCUAUUGAAUUGAGUCAUAUAACUAAACUCCCUAAUUAUUUAUUAUGAUACACACACAACCUUUGGUUUAGUAUACAUGAUUAAAUUAAAUGCCCAACCUAGUUUGCAAAGCUAAAUUGGAAUCCCAAAUCUAGUUCAUCAUAAAUACUCUUCAACUGACUUGCUAUGGCAUUCAAAUAAGACAAUGACAAUGAUAGAAAACCAAAAAAAAUACCUAAUAUAUAAUUGAAAACUCCUUCCUAAAGGAGGUAAAAAAAAAUCAUGAAGUAACUUUCUUCUAUUAAUAAAAAAUGGGAAUACAAUGAUCUAUAUAGUGUUUUAACUCGAAACUUAUGGUACUACAAAUAUUAAAGAAGAAAUUUAAAACACACACACACACAACAAGCAUGUUGUCAAGCUUAUAAAAGUUGGAGAAAUCUCUGCAUACAAGUGUUCAAAACAUGAUGGAGAGUAACCUUGAUAUUUAAGUCAACAAUAUACAAGGAAAGACAACCCAAAAAGGUACAACUUUGAGAACAAACUCUCCUUUUUGCUUUUUCACAUAACCCCUUCUUUUUUUCUUUUUGAAAACUUCUCUCAUUUCCUCUAAUUGUUACACUAUACAACAAUCCUAAAAAAAUAGAGUUUAAAGGUCUGUUUGAUAAUCGUUUUUAAAAAUAAUUCUGAAAAAUAGUUUUUGAAAAUUAUUCUCUAAUGUUUAAUUUGUAGAACAAAAGUUUGUUUGGAAACCUAAAAUAUUUUUAACAUGUUUUUAAUGUUGUUAAAUAUGUUUUAAAAAUAAUUUUAUGUCUAGUAUUUUAUUUUUAAUCAUUCUACAUGUUUAUAUAAUUAUUUUUUAAAACAACUCUAAAAAAAUAAGUGAAAAUAACAUAAAACAAUUAAAAGAUGUUAUCUGAAAACACCUUAUUUUAUUAUAACAAAAAAUAAAAAGCGGUUUUUGGUUGUCAAACAUGUUUUCUUAGUUUUUUAUUCUGAAGAAUAGAAAAUUGUUCUUGAAAAUAGUUGUAAAACAAGAAUCUUUUCAUAUUAGUCUAGGUAUCACAUUAGUUAUUGCCCAUUUUAUGAUUUUAAUUAUUGCUUAAAAACUAGUCUUUCAACUAAAAAAGAAGGUCCACUACUUAUGGGUCAAACCUUCAACUUUCAAACCCCAACACAAAGUUAUAGUCAAGACUAAUAUUCACAUAUUAGUAUUAAUAUAGUUCAUUAAAUAUGAAUUUCUAUAGAAGGCAAAAUCAAGUUUUUAGGGGAAGUAACAUUCACUUUCAUAUUAAGCACUUUUUAACUCAUAAGUUAGUACUUGUAACAAAAUUUCUUAAUAGAGACUUUAAUUGAGUUUUAAGAAAAAAAAAAUUGUUUGUAAAAAACCAAUUCAAACAAAAUCUAAAACUAAUAUUAUUAUCUAAAAGGCAUAAUGAACAAAAUAAACCAUAAACUAAAGUGGUAGUGACAACCAGUAUGUAGCGUCCAUGAAUAAUUGAAAAUAGCCUCAUUUUCUAAUGACCUCGGACCUAGAAGCUCUAAAAUCCUUGCCUAAUUCUUUGUGAUGACUUUAGUUUAACCUUAAUGGCGAGGGCAAAAUUCUAAAUAAUUUUUGUCACAACUCAUAAAUUUAGAAGAAAAAAAUGAGAAUAAAUGGAAUCCCAAACAAGAAAUUGUUAUUUUUCUCUUUUAUGACAAAAAUCUACUACUAUUAUUUAAUAACGUGGGAAUUGUUCUUUCAACUUUAAUACCAUGUAUGACAUAACUUUAACAACCUUAAUUUAUAAGAUUAUUGAAUUUAAAAGGAUAAAACAAUUACAUAUUCAUAAGAAUCACUUCUAUUUUUUAACAACAAUAAAUUUCAUUUUUUGGACAAAAAUACCCUCCAUUGUUUUUAUCAACAUUUCACAAUCGAACACUUAUUGGAAAAAAAAAAAGGUAUAAGGGUAGCUAUAUUAAAAUGAGGUUAUAAUUAUAAUACUCAAUAAGUGGAGAUUGUUUUUCCAAAUAUUGGGAUCAUCUUAUCCAUUUGACACAAAUAUUUCUAAUUUAUAUUAUAAUUACUCUUAUAGUAAGAGAAAAAGAGUAAUUUCACAUGAAAUGGACCCAUAAACAUAGAUUUAUUAUGAGGCAUGUUACUAUAAUAAUAAUAGGAAAUAAGACGAGACAUGUUACCAUAAUAAUAGAAAAUAAGAUAAGUAAUUCAAUACUUAAUAAAGGUCUAAAACAAUUAUGCUUCUCAUUAAAUGAUAUUAAUGAUGGAAAAAAACUAAGGGGUGGUUAAUAAAACUUAAUAUUUAUUACUUAAGGAUUUAAGUUGACUUUAAAUUAAAUUAUGCUUAAAUUGUUAAUUUAAAACUUAUUAAUUCUUAUUUUAAGUAUUAAGACUAUUUAAUAAAAUUAACUUGAAAUUUAUUAAGACUAUUUAAUAAAAUUAACUUAAAAUUUCUUUUAAAUUGUCAAAUCGAUAUAUUUAUUUUCUUAAAUUAUAAUUAAAGUAAAGGACAUCAAGUAACAAUGGAUGUCAUGGAAUAGUGAAAGAGAUCUUAGAGGUAACGAGACAAAUUAUGGUAAAAAAAUGUUAAAUAAAAAUAUGAACUUAAAAAUAAAUUAAUUAUUUAUAUUUAUUACUUAAAGUUGUUUUUUAUUUUAUAUUAUUAAAUUAUUAAAUUAUUUUACUAAAUGUGUUUAAUUUAUUUAAUGACUUACAUUAAAUUACUUUAGGCUAUUAAAUCGGUUUACAAAUAAUAUCGAGUAGGCCCACAGACUGGAGAAUAUUGCUAUCAUAUGUUUUAUCACUACUUUCAUGUAUUAAGGUGCCAAGAAUAAUUCACCACAAAAUAUAUGAUAAGUUGAUAGUAUAGGAUACAAUCUAAAAAAUGCACUUGAUUUCAUCAUCUAAAUAAAUGCUCUUGGCAAAAUGGAUCAUCCUAGCUGAAACCAGAGCACAAGCCGUCAUGGACAGGAGGCAACGGAGAAACCCUUCUGCUUCUUCUUCUGCCUUUUCAUCUCCAACUUCAUCCUCAUCGCGUUUCCGCUCAGAGAAAUUCUCCUCGAAUCCCCCAAAAACUAGUAACUCCCUGGAGGAUGCUCACCAAUUGAAAAGCAAAUGUGGGAAGCCACAAAGACCAGAGCAAGAGGAGGAAGGAGAGCAAGAUCCGAACAAUCUUCUCUCCUUAGUUGGAACUUGCCCAUUCAUGUGCCCUGGUAAAAAUGCGUGCUUAUUUUUCCAUUUUUUUUAAUUCUAUUUUCCUGUUAUUCUGUGUUUGGUUUCCGAGAAAUUGGAGGAAAACAGUAGAAAAGAGAAGUGAAUCUGGAAUUUCUGUGUCAUUUUUGUUGCUUUUACAUAAAUUUUACAAAUAAAAUUGAUAUUUCCCCCCUUUAUUAGAUACCAAUCUGAAGAAGACGUAGGAAUCCCAAAAAAAAAUUCGCUUUUGCCUUUACUUCCCCCAAAUCUUUCAUAAUGGAAAAUGGACUUACCACCUCUUUUAUCACUUUUCCUUUACCAUGUCAGGUUUACAUGUAAUCAAACACUGUAUUUGGAGUAGAGCAUUUAUUCUAAUGUCAAAUGGUGUUGAAAACUUGAAUUACUGGAUCUUAAGACUCCAGAAGAAAUUUGAUUGUUUAUGAUUAUUGCUCCAUGAGAAGGGAAAGGGAUUUCUUUUGUUUUUGCUCACAUACAUGGCCAAAUUGAUUUAUCUCCUUCUCAUACGAACAAAAUAAGGACAUUUCUUGUCUUGCUGCCUUUUAUGCCACCGGUUCCACAUGCUGAUGUGACAACCCUUGUGCUAUUCUGUACAAAUGGUAGGAAAAUUCUGGUAAGACUGGUGGCCAGCCUAUCAUGUUCAGAGAAUAAAUUCAUUGUAUAUCUGGAAUUCACUCUAUAUCAGCAUAGGGUGUUGAUAUUGAUUAUAAAUGACUAAAUUCAAUUUAUUAUCCUUACAUUAGGGAGUGCUAAAAGGAUGCAAAUUGUUCAUGUUAUACCCAAAGACAUACAAGUGAUGCUAGAGAUUUUCACAAUGUAGAUAAUCAUAGAGUAGAGAUGAACACUAUGGAGUCUUUUGGCAUGUGUUCAUUCCAUGUAUGGGAACAUGCAUUGGAAGAUUAUGUUUCCUCCUCCCUCCCCUCCCCUCCCCAAAGUAAGUACUAUGUUGUCAUGGCAAGAACUUUGGUGACAUGCUUCUGAGUGGAAUAGCCUCCUAGAAGUCCAUUUAUGUGGCAAUUGGCAAGUUCUUCCAGUCAAUGAGAACUUUGUGACUGUCUGAUUGUUGUACUAAUCAUCAUCAGAUUUUUUUUAAGUUCAAGUUGCAAAUAGCCUUUCACAGUUGAAGGUAGCAAUGAAGAGGCCUGUUGACAUAAUUAUUUCUUCUGCUUGAAUGGAUUAAAAUCAGAUACCACACCUUCAGCCUAGAAAACUAUGGACUUUCCUAUGUACCUGCAAUUGGCUGAAUACUGGUGUGACACUGACCAAAGGCUCUCUGAUGCUGUUAUUAAUUUCCCGAGCAAAUAAGAGAAAACAGAGAGGUCAUAAUGUGAAUCAGUUACCUCUUGAGUAGGGAUGAAGGCUUUUUAUACCUUUUUACUUUCUGGUUAGGCCUUGGAAGCACUUCUGUGAACCAUGAUUUUGUACUGUAAAAUUAGAUGGGAUGGAUAGGUCACCUUAACUCUACUUUUGGAAGUGAUUGGGGAGUGCAUGACCGUAUGAAUAUUGAUGUAUUCUCCCCAUACAGAGCCCAACUUCUUUUUGAACUAGGAAGCAUGAAGGGUGGGUGCAUGUGGGCUGAGGAAGGAAGAUUUGACUUGUGUGCUGCAGGCCUGCAGUACCAAUUUGUUCCAGAACUUGAUAAGGCCCAUAAACUGGUAGGCAAGUUUCAUUAUUUGGUCACCACUGAAUUUCGGCAGUAUGGCCACAAGGAAGGUAGGAAGGAGAGGGAGAAGAGAAAGCCCCAAUUGCCAAUUGCAAUCUUCCGGUUGGCACAGUGCUCAUUUGCUGACAUUUCCAUUUGAUUUUAACCUUGAAACAGAUACAGCUUAACGUGAUGGACCAGUUUUUCACAAUCUUGUGAUUCAUUACCCAACUUCUAGUAACAGUUUCUCAGCAGAUGACUCACCCAUGACAGGCUGAUGAUGUCUGCACACAACUUGAAAGGUAUUUAUGCCAAGGUGUGAAAGGUAAUAUUGUGACACCAUUUUUCCUAUUCCAGAAAAUGUACCAAAUGUAUGGCUGGUUCUUGACCAAAAAAUGCUGGCAUUGGUCACCAAGUGCUAGGGUGAUUCUUGACAAAAAAUGUCGUAUUGUUCAGAACAAUGAUUUACAACUUCAGAUUGGCCAUCCAGUUAAUGAUGAUAAGCACUUGUUUUACAAAGUUCAGUGUCAUAAAAGCAAAAUAAUUUUGUCAACAAAUAUGGGGAUAACUUUAUCAUAAUUACUACUUAUGGAAUUUAAGGAUAAGUUGGGUAAUGUGAGAAAGUUUUGGUCAGAGGAUAUGAGGAUAACUUUGUUGCAAUUGCUAAGCUACACGUCCUAGGACUACUAGGAGAAAAGUAUGAGCAACAGAAUGAAUUUACAGUCCAUCCCCACUAGCUGCAUGGAGAGGUUGGGCUUAUUGCUGCUAUGGUGGAGGUCACCUUCUUGUAGACUUUGAAAUGUGCAAAUGAAGAGGCAGAUUUCUUAGAAGAAUGGGUAGGAUUCAGCUUGUGGUAGAUAUUGAGCUUAUCGCCUCUAAUUUCAUGUCUUCUCAAUGUGGAUUUGAGGUUUAACGAGAUUUUUGGGAAAUCAUUAAGAUUAAAAGUAAUCGAAGACUUUCACAUUAAUGAGGUAAUGAAUAACCACUGAUACUUCUUCACCCCAAAGUUCCUUCACAAAAAUUUGGUGAGUGAAGAACUAUUACUGAGUUGUGAAGCACCAAUUCCAGCUUCAUUAUCUUGAUCUUCAGAAAGAGGGAUCCAACUUGAUUUGGGAUUUUAUACCUGUCAACCCAGUCACUGGUUUUUAGGAGAAUACUUCCAAUUUACCCUUGGGUUGCUUUAGAAAGUUUCUUAAUAGUGCCAUCUCUCUAGCUUAAGGGGCUUUUGUUAAUGGAAGGCAAAUUCUAGAUGUGGUUAUCAUUAGUAAUGAAAUCCUAGAUAAAAAAUUCUGUUCUAAGGACGAAGGGAUGGUUUUUAAAAUAGGUUUUGAGGAAGUUUAUGAUCACAUAGAUUGGGGUUUCAUGUAUGAUACAUACUUUGAAUAGGGAAGGCCCUUGAACCUGGAUGGCACAAAGGGACUGGAUAUUUUGAGGUUGUUUUUCAAACUGCAGACUCUUUAAUGGUUAUUGAAGCUGAGUGAUUAGCACUCGAGGAAGAUUCGGACAUGGUUGUUUGCCUGGAUGUAAUGAACCUCCAUAUUGAAGGGGAUUCCUUUGUUAUUGUCUUAGAACCUUCUUUGAAGGCAAAGGUCCUUAGUGGAUUGCUCAUCAGAUGGGGUGGCUUCAUAAUCAUGCUAGAGACAUUGCUUGUUCUUCUCUAUUGAGGCCCAGAUCAGCUAGCCAGGUGCAUGGCUAUAUUUUUCUUAUAGGGAUGCUAAUAUCUGAAAUUUUUUAUUGAGAACACUUACCGCUCUUUGAUUGGUUUGAGGCAUGGAGCGGCUUUUCUGUUCUCUUCUUGCCAUACAUGCAUAUCAUCCCUCUUUUUUUAUCUUGUUUAACUCAAUAAAUUCUCAUUUGUUAUAAGGAAAAAAAGAGAUAUUAUGUUACAUGAUGGAAGGACUUUAUUCUGUUAUGGAGUAUGCAAAACCUAGAUCUAUUAGCUAGAGCUAUACAGUAGGCUGUUGGGUUGUUCAGUAUUGUCUCUUUUUUGGAUAGGUUUGGCCAAUGCCCCUUGAUGUUACUUUUUGGUGAUGUAAUUUUCUUUGAUUUUUCUUGAAAAUUCCUCAUUUUUCAAGCUUGCUUGUAUAUCUUUUCUUCUUCCAUUAAUGAUUGUUUGAUUCCUUACUAAAAUAAAUAACAAAUUAUGAUGGAAAGGAUUAUGUUUAUGGAAAAUUUUGAGAUUUUCACCAGAUUAGAGUCUCCGAAGCUGGUAUUUGUCUUUACACAGAUAAUAGGAAUCAUUUUCCCCCCAAACUACAUAAGACAUGUCUGCUACUUGGUAAUGUUCCAUUGGCAGUUAUAAACUCUCCUGUCAAAUGUGAAUCUGUUGUAGCAUUCCGAAUGGUGUUGUGUCGUACAUAGAUUGGUAAUUGAGGACUUUAUUAUGGAUUUCGUCCUGUUUUGGUUGUGCCAACAAGUUCUAUCCUGUUCUUUGUCUUGCUGAUUUGCGUGGUUGUGCAUCAUGUUCCUACCAGCUGUAUAAUUAUGCUUCUGGAGCAUAGUUAUUCUGGUUUUACCAUCCAGAUGAUGGUACUAAAGUAUUUGUAUUCUAGAUUGCACAACUCCUUAUAUGGGAUAUUUUUGCAUCAAAUGCUUAGUGAUCAAGAGAACUCUCAUAUUAAACACAUUCAUCUUCUAUUAAACUAAAUUCCUUAAGUCUGCAGUCUCACAACUACAUCAUACCAUUCUUUUCCUUUUUUCUUCCUUUCUUGCUAUUACAGGUUGGUUGCCACUAAUAUAGUAGAAAGCAAAUUACACGACCCUGCUUCCAUAAGACCUUUCUUAUUCCAUAGGUUGAAAUAGAAAAAACACUCGAUGGGACUAAUGCUUCUCUUUGCAAGCAAGCAAAUUAAAAUGUUUUGAAACCCAUGCUGCCAUGAUCUAGCUAAUUUGCAUUUUAUAUGUCUACUCCUUUCUAUUUACUCAAAUUGUGUAUUUCUUUUGCUUGUAUUUAUUUCCUGAUGAGUUUAUUCUGAUUCUUUGAUCAGGAUUUCUGCAAUCACAUUGCUUGCUAUUGAAUUUUCAAGGGCUUAAUAUGAAUUAUUAAUAAAGAAGUUGUUUAAUUAUUUCAGCAGCUUAUACUUUGUAAUUUCUUUUAACAACUCUUAUCUCUGAUGUUCAUUUGUAAUAAAUAGCUGGAGAAAGGGCCCAACGUGAACGCCUUCGGGACUUAGCUGUGUUUGAGAGGUUACAUGGAAAUCCUGGGAAAACAUCUCCAAGCCUUGCUGUCAAAAAGGUAAACCCUACAUCUCAUGCCUCUAUACCGCAUCUUAGCUUCUCAUCUUGCAUCGGACAAUGAUACUCUUAUUGAAUCAUCUUUACCAUAUCAGCCAUCAACAUGUGCACUUAUUGAGCACUAAUUCAGGCACUGAUACUUGUGCUUUUGUUUUGUUUUAUCUUCUCUUGUCUUGUUUUGUUAUGGAUGUGAUUGUGUUGGAUGACCUGUAUCUGUGUUAGACACCAAAGCCUAUCUUAAUGGUACUGUAAAGUAAGACUAUGCUAAUAAGCUAUUGAUCUGUUACAGGGUUUAUGCCAAACUGAUUUUUUAGUUUCUCUAGUAGAAAACUUGUUUUUUCCCCUGUUAUAUCGGUGCUAUUGUUGGAUUUGUGUUUGUUGUUGAUCAAGCAUUUGCUGAAACUUUUUUUUUUUUUUUUUUUCCUUUGCUUCUUGAUGUGCAAAGCAUUAUUGUUUGAAUUUUAAUGAUCCCAUUUGAUUCACUAUUCAAUAUUUUUAUUUGAUAUUACAUCUAUCUCAUUUGUUUUCUUUUCUUAGUUUUUAUUUUUAUAUUUUAUAUUUUUAAUUUUUUUUUAAUUUUUUGAAUUAGUGACAUUUGAAUUUGAUGGAGCCACCAUUAAUUUAUUUUUCCUUAUUAUUGUGGGGUGUGCUUUAUUUUGUUCAAUUGUUGUUGCACUAUUAUUAUCAUGUAACUUUUUUUUUUCUUUUCUUUUUUUUUUGUUUAAUCUAUUGUUCCUAUGAGCAUUAAAUGCUCCUAAAAUGUAUGGAAUAGGCUAAACCUUUCUAUAGUUUUUUUAAAAAAACUCAUUUAUUAUCUAUUUUCUUGUGCUCAAAAAAUUAUAUUUUUUUAGUAAAAUUGAAAAUUUAGGGAGCGCUUAGGCCCCAGCGGCUCAACCCCUUGAGGGUUUAUGCCUAUUGUAGCAAGAUGUGGACCCCCUUGCCUCUUAUGCUUUUACCUUAUGAAACUAUACCAAGAAAAAAACGCCACAACUCCCUGCUGCCAUCAAAGGAUACUUCAAAUUUUGCUUGAUAUCAAUUUUAAGGCUAAUUAUCAUAGGCUUGUCAUCAUGUCACUAAAAUUGGUAUUGUAACCAAAGUCCUAUUGCGAAAUCUUCAAGUUGCAGCUCCUUUUUUUCUGUUGGCUCUUGUAUUGUUAGGUGGCCGCAACCUGUUGCUUUACUUAUGCUUUAUGAACUACUCCAGUUAAAAUAAUGCUUCGAGUAGAUGCUUUUUGGAUCUUGACUCUAGCAAGAGGCUUAUAUUGCAAAUUUUUUUUGUGGAGUCCUAGAUAGGUUAACUAGGAAGACAAUAGCUUGCUUAAAAGGAUUGCCACCUCUCCUGUUGGGUUUGUAAAAAUUUUGCUUCUCCCUUGACCUUGGGAGUCCUGUGGUUUCAAUUUUGGGUGUGCUCUAGGUUGUAGCCUGUGUUAUGCUUUCUAAAUGGUAAUCUUCUUGUUUUGGUUGGGAUGCUUUUGUUUAUUUUGCUUGUUUGCUUUCUUUGUUUCUUUAUAAUUGUGGCUAUAGGAUCACCAAUCAACUUUAUAUUUUUUGCAAAAACUGUUUAUGUUUCAUAACGAAAAAGGAAAAAACAAAGGCAAGUUAGCCUACAAUAGGUUCUAUCUUGUUUCUUCUUUUACCAUUAGUGUGGAUUCGAACUCAGGAAAAGGCCUUCAAGCAAGUGGCAUUUGUGUUUUUUAAACAUAUAUCUUUGUUCAAUCAUUGUUAAGUGUUUGUUGUCUUGUCUGUUCUUUUGGUUGUUUUUGUCUUUGUCAAAGUGUAUAACUGUAAUAUCCUACAUCGUAUAGAAGAAAAAGUUUCUAGUGCUAUAUAUGUAUGAAUUUCUUUUAAUCUUGUUGAUUCGUUUUUAAGCCGUGAGGGUCGCUUAGGCUCAAAACAAAUAAUAUCCACACAACUGGGAGCAGGUUGUUACAAAUGGUAUCAAAGUCAAUGCUCGACCUUGGUGGGAGAGUUUGUUUGGCCUGAAAUGGGUGUCCGUUUAUUUGACCCUACAAUCCUGUUGGACACAACAAGAACGUUGUGUCUGCAUGAGAGAGAGGGUGAUUGUAAUAUCUUACAUUAGAUAGGGGGAAAAGUUCCUAACGUUAUAUAUAUAUAUAUGUCUGUAUGUAUGUAUGUAUGUAUAUAGACUCCUUUUAACCUUGUAAACGUAUUUUAAAGUCAUGAAGGCCCCUUAAGUAUAAGGUGGAUAAUAUCUAUACGGUUGAGUGCAGGUUGUUAAAAUAAUUACUUUUAACUUUCCUUCCAUAUGUUUAAUUGCAUAACAUUAUUAUAGCAAAAUAUUAAUCUAUCAUAAUGCAACGUCUUGUAAAGCUUAUGUUAGGUGUCAUGAUUUUAUCUCUUGUCAUUUUUAUUAUUUUGAUUCAAUAUCAUCUUAGCUUAUAAUCAUUUAUACACUUGAUGCAUGAGAAAUGAAGAUGCUAUAAAUUGUAGGAUUCUUUUUCUCCAAUUUGUUCCUUGAUAUUUUAUAAUGCCAUGAAAUGUCUAUAUUUUGAUGCAGAAAGCCGUUCACCCUCCAUCUCUCUCACUAGUUUUGCAGAACCAUUGCCACUAAGCACAUGCAGGCGUCAGAUGUGCGGCCACUUCCAGUGUUGGAAGAGACUUUGAACUACCUAUUAAACCUGUUGGAUGCCACGGAACAUCCUUUUGAAGUGGUUCAUGAUUUCGUCUUUGAUAGGACAAGAUCAAUAAGACAAGAUCUUAGCAUGCAGAAUAUCGUUAAUGAUCAAACAAUUCAUAUGUAUGAAGAAAUGGUAUGAAUUUCUUGAAACAUAAUCUCAAUUACCUUUUUUUUCUGAGCAUUCAUCUCCUCAACAUACAAUAAGUUAGCCAACCCAUUGCUAAACACUCACCUAGUUGGAGAAAAUAAUCAAAGUAUACAAGAUAUAAAAUGUUGAAUAAUUGAGUCAUUAUCCUCUCCUUUUGCUUUAUUGAAUAAGAUAAUUUAUUCAGUGGAGUCCAAACGAGGUGAAACUGUGAUCACACUACUUGAAGCCUACUUUACAAUGGAUAAAUGAAUGGUCUGAUUCUAAAUCUUUCUUGGCACAUUAGUUAUUAUCCAAUCCGUUCUAAUUAAAUUAUCCACUAUUAAGUGUCUAUUUCCAGUCACCCUCCAAGUUAUGAAAGACCCAUAGAACCAAAGCAACUCACACCACAUGUGAUGGGAAUUGAUGCUCUCUUCCAUAAUGUCAAGUUUUCCAGUACACUUGCUGACUUUGUAGAAUAUGCCUACAAAAAGGGCUGCCACCUCCUAAUUCCCAAUCAUAGAAGUUUCUUAACCAUAUUUCAAAAGCUGUAUUUCCUGUUCCCCCUCUUAAAGUUUUUUAAACCUAUAUCUCUUUAUCCUAGUAAUUUGGAAAAAUGAGGAAAUUAUUUAACAAGAACUCCAUCAAUUUGUUCCUUAAAAUUUUCUAUAGUUUCUAUCUCUCUCACUUUUGAUUCAAAUUCUUGAAGCAAAGGAACAAAUUCAUGGCCAGUAACAAUUUUAGCCAAGCAAUAGAAUGCACAACAAACAUGCAUAUGAAUGACUUGUGUUUUUUUAUGAUAAUUGAUUAGAUAUUUUAAUCUCAUCCUAAAACCUUGGAGUUAGCUAAAAGCCGCAUCUUAUGUUCUGACUUGUGGUUUGUUUCAUAAUAUAGGUGAAAUUUCAUAUUAUAUCCCACCACAAGCUUCGCAGUUGUAGUAGCAAGCCAAAUUUUUCUUCAGUUCAUUACCUCAAUAUGGAGCAGCUGAAAAAGUGUCUGAUAUCUCUAUAUGCUCUAUACGAAGAAAAUCGAAAUUCAAAUUCUAUUUACAAGAAUGAACCUGAGUUUUGCUCAUUUCACGUUCUUCUUCAUCUUGGCUCUAACAACCAACCAUUGGUGGAUACUUGCUUCCAUUGUUUGUUUGAGUUCAUCUUUUUCAGUAUCUCUUGUAGCCUUGUACUGGUUUCUGAAUAUGUUACUAUUUCUGUUCUGAAGGGAGAGUCACUCUCUUUAUGGUUGGGUCGUGUACCUUCUCUCAUUUUGAAGUCAAAGGAAAUGUGUUUUGCCCGGAGACUUUUAAGGUGACCACAAAGCUAUUAUAGAUUCGAUUUUCAAUUGAUUUUUUUCUCUUCUUUUAGUACCCAAUGUUCAAAUUUUUGUUUUCAUGAACUGAAAGAUCUGUCUUUUCUUGUAACAGAUUAUUUCGGAUGGGCAAUUAUAAGCGUUUCCUUUGUACUACAGCAACUGAGGCAUCUUAUUUGCAGUACUACAUUAUUGAACCUUACAUCAAUGAGGUUGCUUAAAUAUGUUGAUUUUGCUAGAUUUUUCAGUUUGAAAAAUAUAUGCUUCUUUGUUCAUUUAUUGUUUUUCAGUUUCAUUUCUGAGAAUAUAUCUCAAAUCUAGACUCGAGUACUUGUGCUUUUGGGUUUUAUUUUUCUUUCAUUUUUGUUAGUAGUUGUACUUCAUUAUUCUUAAAUUUCUCACCAACUGUUUCUUUAUGUGGUUUAUUGCUCCUCACUUUCUUCAUUCAUCUGAAGUGUUCAAAUUCAAUUAGCUUGUUUCAUAAACUAGUUCUUAUUUAGAAGUUCUUCUCAACUGCCUUUUUUUAGUGCUUCUAAAAGACAUGCCUGAUUUAUAUACAUUUUUGUUGGUUUUCUUUUGACCGUAAAAGGUUCGAGCAUUGGCAUUGUCAUGUGUAAAUUAUUGUGGCUACAAACUUCAUCCAUAUCCAAUUGCACACUUGUCCAAACUCUUGAUGAUGAAGGUAUGAUUGCAUUUACUAGCAUUAAAUUGCUAAAAUUUGUCAUCCAAAGUUCCAAUUUCUUUUGAACCUUGAAGACUUCAUUUGCAUUCUUGUAGGAAUUAGAUGUGGAAUCAUUUUGCAAUGCUUGUGGUCUUGAGACCAGCACUGGUGAGCGGGGAAAUAAGUUCUUAUCAACCAAGCAAACAAACUUCCAUUAUCCCAAGGAAGUCUUUCCAAGCUACUGCCUUCUGAGUUUGGAACACUUUUAGAGGUAACAAUCAAUUGGAACUAGUUACUCUUUCAAACUUCUUAUUGUACAAAUAUAACCUGCAUGUGCAACCAUUUCUGAUCCCAUAAUUUCAAGAAUUUAUGACACCUUCUAGUGGUUAGUUUUUCUGGGAAUAGAGUAAAGCAAUCUAUUCACUCCCAGAAACUAUCGUCAGAGGAACAGUAGAUAACCCCGCAAGACCAAAUUUAUGUAUGUUGCAUGGAGAUGCAUGUUUUCUGCAUCCCAAUCAUGCAGUGUUGUGUCAAAUGGAAUAAUAGCAGGUGAUGAUAAGUGGUAUUUCUAAAAUCUUCUAAGAGUAUUCCAUCUAUUGUAAUAUUGUUUUACUUAAAAUUGUCUUUUUGAGUCUUAUGUGUAAAUAUUCGAGUUGACCUCUUGUAAGCUAUCAAUUGAUGUUGUAACUUAACUUGAAAGGGAAAUUCUAUAAAUUUAGCCUUGGUUUGGCUCUUGGAAAGCAAAGAAAAAUUAGGUUAGUGAGUUGAUUUCUUCCCUUCCCAUGGAUGUAAGCACAUUCUUGAAUCACGUUAAUUAUUUUUUGGUUUAUUUUGUUGUUUUGUUGUUUAUUGUUCAAUUGUCUCCGCAUAACAAGUGGUAUCAGAGUUGUUUCCGACACACUAGAUGAUUCUUGUGCUAACACAAUGUUUGAGGCUAAAUAUAAGAUAGUAAAAGUUUCUAAAAUAUUUCCCUAUGACAGCUGCCAAUAAAGAAUGUACUUAACAGGAAGUUUGUAAGGUGUUACAUGGCAUGUUGAACAAAAUAUCUGAAAUAUUUGGGGCCACCGAUCCAACAAUAGCAGAUUAUAACACAAGAAGAGACCCUCUAAUCACCAUUUUUGCUUUUGAUUCUUCUUUACAAAGCAUCAUCUACUUUAUACAAAAAGACAACCCAUGGCUGAGCCCACAUUAUUCUCUACAUAUCCCAAAAAAGCCUUACAAAUUUUAGGGCAUGACGCUCUUUUUGGGGGUAUUUUUGGUACUAAAUUUGUGGUAGUCUCUCCAAUACCUAAACUAACCUCCAGAUUUUAAGGCAUGGCCCACUCUUUAAGGUGGUGUUUUGGGUACUAAUUUUUGUUAGGAGAGGUUUUAGUGUGGAAACUGGAGGGCUUUAGACAUGUCGCAUGUAUUUUCUUUUGCAUGCAUUACACAUAGAUCGGAGUUUUUGCAGUUACUCACACUUUUUGUGCGUCCAACAACACUAUAGUGCCACGUCACCAUAUGAUGGGCUCUUUAGUCUUUUCAAACCCAAAAAAACACCAAAAAAAAAAAAAAAACGAAUACUAAAAGGAGUGCUAACUAGCUAUGUGAAGGUGAACUUUUAUAGCUAGCUUCUUAGAGGGACCAUGAUCGCUUAGGCCAAGGAAGUUUGAGGUGAUAAUAGGUCUGUGAUGCCAUUAGAUGUUUUAAGCACAUGUGCGUUACACUAAUGUAUUCAACGAGUCUAUAACCUUGACCGACAGGUCUGGGUAAUCUUUGAAAUUUCAUUGUGAUGGGAAGGUUCCAUGCGAACAACACUUGCACAUGGGUUAGUCAAUCUUAAGAGACGGGGGAAGCCCGUCUAACAACGCACAAUGUGCGAGCUUUGAAAGGCAAUCGGGUUAACAUUUCUGAAUUGGGACAUGACAAUGACAACAACAUUAGGUAGUCUAGAGAUGUUGUCAUAUUAAUUGUUAUCAAUAUUUUUAUUUAUUCAAUAGAAAUUGAGGAUUAAAAAAUACCACAAAAAUUAGAAAAAACAAAAUUAAUUACAUGGCUUACAUUUCAGAUAUUUAAUAAAAUAUUGUAUGAAAGUUGAAUAUCAUACACUAUUAAAUGGUUGGAUUCUCCUCUUUAUUUUUUUUAAUUGUCUCAUCCUAUUAAAUUACUCAUCUAAUAUUAAUUUAUUUUAAAGGUAAAAUUAAUUAUAUUGUAAAAACCUUUUAAUUUACUAGAGUUUGUGCACAACAUCUAAUAUAUACUUAAAUACUUUUCCAUGCUAUAAUCCUCCAACUAAGAAAUGAAAUCAAAACUUAAAAAUCAUUUAUAUAUAUAGAUAUAUGUGAGUAAGGGAGGAGAUCCAACGGAUCUGUGCGCGAGCGAUGGUGAGAAAGAUUUCGUUGGCCUGGAAGCUCGUACCAGCCGGUGGAAGAGAAGCUUCGAGGUGGAGUCGAAGACUUUUGAGAUCGAGGUUGAGAGACAAAAAGGCAAAACGCAAGUCUUCAUUGAGGAAAGGAAAAGAGGGGUUUCCUCGUGGAUUAAGAUGGGGCCGGAGAGCCUAGGGUUUGUUGUGGAAGGGUUGGCUUUGUGUAUUAAGGAUACACGAACAGGCAGAUGGGUCAGAAAUUGGAGGGAGAGAGGGAGGAUCUUUUCAUUGCUGUGGGAUGAGAAUAAGGGAGGAAGCUUUAUCCGUCUGGGUGUAGAGGAUCUGGAGAAGAAGAGGUUUAAUAUUUUUAUCCCCAAAGGAAAUGGAGGGAAAGGGGGAUGGAUUGCGAUGUUGGAAACACUUAAGGCGCUGGUCGUUACUACGGAGAGGAAGAAAUGUCAGAAGGAGGAGAAGAUGCCGGUGGCGCCAUGUUUGGGGAGUAGCUACGCGGAAGUGGUGAAGGGACAGAAAUGUAAUGGCCGGUCAGUGGCUAGGGUAGAAGUAAGCCACAAGGACCUAUGCCAAAACCUAAAAAGGCUGGAUCAGUGCAUUGUUGGAUUGUGGGAUCCGAAGUUAGUCAAGGGGGAGGAUUUGAGGAGUUGGGGGAACCAAUUGGCUCGAUUGUGGGGGUUGAGGGGUAAUUUAGGUUUGGCUAAGUUGGGAAGGGGUAAGGUGUUGUUAGAGUUUGAGAGGAGUGUUGAAGCCGAAAAAGCCUUAAAUAUGGGAGGGCUUUUGGUAGGGAAGACACUGCUGCGACUGGAGAAGUGGAACCCUAGGACGGGGUGUCUGUUAGAAGGAGAGGAGAAGAGUGAGGCCUGGGUGAGAAUUGUGGGGCUUCCCAUCUCGUUGUGGGAUCGGGACAUCUUUAGAAAGGUUGGGGAGAAAUGCGGGGGUUCUUAGUGAUUGAUUCUCAGACGGAGAGGCUGGAAGAGUUGCAGUGGGCAAGAAUCCUGGUGAGACUAUCCGGCGAGGAGCCCCCUAGCAUGCUAGAAAUUGGGGUCGAGGGGGUGUGUUACUCGCUUGUCCUAUGGUGGGAGGUAAGGCCGGUAAUGAGAGUGCUGCCGGCAGAAAGGAGGGGAAAGAACAACGGUGAUGCUGUAGGAGGGGUUGAGGGUGAUGUCGCUACACGUGCAGGUAAGCGCGUGGUGGAAGUGGUGGAAGGUGUGAGGUCGAGACCCACAUGCAGUCUGCUGAUGGGACGAGGGAGCAGACAGGUGGGCCGGGGUCCCUUUGGGCUCGGUCCCGAGGCCCAAAAGGGCCGGGUCUGGGGGACCAAGUAGGCUUGCUUGGGAUGCUUGGCCCUACUGGGCCUCCUCGAGGCCUUGACUUGGGUGUUAGGCCCGAUGGGCUCGAUUCGCCUAAGGUCGGGCCGUUUUUCAGUGGGUCUUCGUCAUCUGAAGGGCCUUCGUCCUUAGAGGGCCUUAGGCCAAUGGAGUCCAUUAAGUUGGGUAGGCUAUCUGGGAAGGAAGAUUGUCAUGAUCCAUCUGGAGUGGCUCUGCCUCUGGUGUGGGCUGGCCCAAGUCAACUGAAGGAGUCAGAUGCUGAAGGCUUCCCUUCCUGGGUUUAUGAUGGCAGGCGGAGGCAAGCUGAAAUGGAGCCCUGUCUCGUAGAGAAGUCAAGGACCAACUGCGCCCUAAUUGAAGAAGCAACGAGGUAUGGGUGUGUUCCUAUCCCUUGUGGCUUAAUGGCAUCUGGACUCUCUCCUUCUCCUCUCUUCUUUUUUGGUCGGACCCCGUUGGGGGAUUUUUGCGACAUUUCUAGGGAUGAUAGGGUAACCUGUUUGAGAGAAACUCCCUUACAUAUGCUUCUCCCCUUGGGACCCCCAGAAGAGGAAAAUGCUUGCCGCUGGGAUUUGAGGGAGGGCCCAAGCGCCUGCAAGGAGAGCAGUGGUAAGGAGCUGAGGCUAGCCCAUUCGAUGCCACGUGAUGGAAAUGGAUGGGAGGAGGAAAGUUGGGAGGAAAGUGAGUUGGCCAAAUUUAGUAAGUUCUUGGGAUUUUCUACAGAAGGUCUGGAGAAAGAAAUUUUGGAGUUUCUGAUUAAAAUCCAAAAGAGAAGGGAAAAGGUCCACAGCAAAAACCUUCUAGAAAAAUCCAAGUUUGAAAGGGAAUUGAAAAGGCUGGAAUGCUCUAUUAACUACGAGGGGGGGAAGACGCAGAAGAGUGGAAUGAUAGUAGGAGGGUGUCAGAUUAUGGUGGUCAAAUGAAGCUGAGAAUCUUGAGCUGGAAUGUUCGGGGAGCUAACGACAACUCGAAAAGAAAGGUGAUUAAGGCCAUGAUCAGGAGUCAAAGAGUGGAUCUGUUCUGUUUCUAGGAGACCAAGAUUCAGGCAAUGACAAAGGGGCUGGUGAGAAGCUUAGGCAUUGGCAGGUUUCUUAAUUGGGGUACUCUGGAUGCCCAGGGGUCCCGCGGGAGGGAUUCUGAUCUGCUGGGAUAAGAGGACCUUGGAAAUAAUGGAAAUGGAGGUGGGGAGAUUCUCAAUUUCAUGUAGGAUGAGGAAUGUGGAAGACGGACUAGUCUGGAUGUUUACUGGGGUUUAUGGGCCAUUUUCUAAAGAGGACAGGGAGUGGAUGUGGAAGGAAAUAGGAGCAAUCCGAGGCAUUUGGGAGGAUCCAUGGUGUAUAGGGGGUGACUUCAAUGUCACCCUGUCACUGAGGGAAAGAAGUAAUCAGGGAAGACUAACGAGUGCAAUGAGAAGGUUUGCUCAAGUUGUUGAUGAGCUAGAACUCAUUGAUCUUCCAUUACAAGGAGGGAUGCUUACUUGGAGUGGGGGGAGGAAUAAUCAGGCAUGGGCCAGAUUGGAUAGGUUCCUGGUGACCCAGAGUUGGCUUGACCACUUCAGUGAGGUUGUGCAAUGUAGGCUGCCCAGACCGACCUCAGAUCAUUUUCCUAUUGUGCUGAUGGGGGGAGGGUUAAGGAGAGGUCCGUCCCCGUUUAGGUUUGAAAAUAUGUGGCUUAAAGCUGACGGGUUCACGGAUCUUCUUAGGGGCUGGUGGCAGGGAGUUGAGGUUAGAGGGAGGGCCAGUGUCAGACUAGCCACUAAAAUGAAGGUGCUGAAGCAUAAGAUUAAAGUGUGGAACAGAGAGGUGUUUGGUAGGCUGGAAGCUAACAAGAACUCAGCCCUGCAACAAGUGGAGUUUUGGGAUGGGGUGGAAAGGGAAAUGAGCUUGUCUGAAGGUGAAACUGAACUGAAAAAAGAAGCCAAGGAUUCCUUUAAAAUAUGGGUCUUAUUGGAGGAGACCCACUGGAGACAAUUGUCAAGGGAAUUGUGGCUUAAGGAGGGAGAUAGAAACACUGGAUUCUUCCAUAGAAUGGUUAAUGCUCACCGAAGGAAUAACUCUCUGGAUAGAAUAAAAAUUAAUGGAGUUUGGAUGACUGAGGAGUAGGAGAUGAGGGAGGGAAUAGUGAGUGCUUUUCAGCAGGUGCUUUCUGAGGAACCAGGCUGGAGGGCGGAUAUUGAGGGGCUGCACCUUAAUUGUCUAAGUUCCAGUGAAGCUAAAACUUUGGAGGUGCAAUUUACUGAAGAGGAAAUUUACGCAACCUUAAUGGGUAUGAAUAGGGAUAAAGCUCCGGGCCCGGAUGGGUUCACAAUUGCUUUUUGGCAAUCAAGCUGGGAGCUAGUGAAGGAGGAGAUUAUGGAAUUGUUUAGAGAAUUCUAUGACCAGUGUUCUUUUACCAACAGUCUUAACUCCACCUUUAUAGUCCUCAUUCCGAAGAAAGGAGGGGCUGAAGAUUUGGGUGAUUUCCGGCCAAUCAGCUUGUUAGGGGGUUUGUACAAGCUUUUGGCUAAGGUGUUGGCGAAUAGGCUAAAGAAGGUGUUAGAUAAGGUGGUGUCCGGGGACCAAAACGCCUUUGUGAGGGGUAAACAGAUCUUGGAUGCGUCUCUUAUUGCCAAUGAGGUGAUCGACUUCUGGCACAAGAGAAACGAGAAAUGGCUGAUCUGUAAAUUGGACAUUGAGAAAGCCUAUGACAGUAUUAAUUGGAACUUUCUCAUGAAAGUUCUGGUCAAAAUGGGUGUUGGGUCGCGGUGGUUGGAGUGGAUUUGGUGGUGCAUCUCUACCGCCAAAUUUUCAAUCAUGAUCAAUGGGGUCCCGACUGGUUUCUUCUCGAAUUCUAAGGGGCUAAGACAAGGUGAUCCCCUCUCCCCGUAUCUUUUUGUGUUGGGGAUGGAAGUUCUUAGUAAUCUAAUUAGAAGGGCGGUUGAUGGGGGUGUCUUAUCAGGCUGCGGAAUUCGGGGGAGAGGGGAAGAGGAGAUGAUAGUUUCCCACCUGCUCUUUGCUGAUGACACGAUCAUCUUUUGUGAAGCUAGCAAAGAGCAAGUGUCCGCUCUAAGCUGGAUUUUGGCUUGGUUUAAGGCGGCCUCCGGUCUUAGAAUUAAUCUUGAUAAAAGUGUCCUUAUUCCAGUUGGUGAGGUGGAAGAUAUUGAGGAGCUGGUUGUGGAACUUGGUUGUAAAGUGGGAGUACUGCCCACUAUUUACUUAGGGCUGCCCCUUGGAGCUCACCACAAAGCUGUCUCCAUUUGGGAUGGGGUGGAAGAGAGAAUGAGAAAGAGAUUAGCCCAGUGGAAAAGACAUUAUAUUUCAAAGGGAGGGCGUAUCACCUUAAUCAAGUGUACUAUGGCCAGCCUUCCUAUUUACAAUAUGUCCCUUUUUCGAAUGCCGAAGAGUGUUGUAAAGAGACUCAAAAAAUUACAAAGAGACUUUCUUUGGGGAGGGGGCAGCUUGGAGAGGAAGGUCCAUUUAAUUAAUUGGGAGGUGGUGUGCACUCGAAGGGAGAAGGGUGGCCUUGGCAUUCGGAAGAUUGACUCCUUGAAUAAAGCUUUGUUGGGUAAAUGGGUUUGGAGAUUUGCCGUGGAAAAGGAUAAUCUCUGGAGGUUAAUGAUUGGGGUGAAAUAUGGUCAGGAAGAGUUUGGGUGGAGAACUAAAGAAGCCCGUGGUACUUAUGGAGUGGGGGUUUGGAAGGAGAUUAUGAAGGAAGCUAAGUGGUGUUGGGAGAAUAGAAAAUUUAAGGUAGGGAAAGGGACUAGAGUAAAAUUCUGGUUUGACUAGUGGUGUGGGAAUGAGAGGCUGUCCCAUUCUUUUCCCCAACUUUAUGAGAUGGCGGUCAACAGGAAUGCAACGGUUAAUGAGAUGUGGGAUCAUAGCAGUGGUCCAGGAGAUUGGAAUCUUAGAUUUCAUAGAGGCUUUAAUGAUUGGGGGAGCUGGAUUUGAUUAGAGGACUGCUUAUUGUGCUUAGGGACUUCAAGCUAUCUUCAGAGGAGGAUGUGGUGCUUUGGAAAAGGGGGGGCCAUGGGAAGUAUGGGGUGAAGGAUGCCUACAAUGGGCUGGUUGUUAUCAAUGCUUGCGACUUUCCGUAUAGAGGCGUUUAGGUGGACAAGGUCCCAACCAAAGCGGCUUUUUUUGCUUGGGAAGCUGUGUGGGGGAAGAUUCUCACCUUGGAUAGGCUUCAAAAAAGGGCUGGCAGUUUCCUAACCGGUGUUUUUUGUGUGGUUGUGAAGAGGAGAGUGUAAAUCACAUUCUUUUACAUUGUAUAGUGGUAAGGGCCUUAUGGGAAAUCGUUUUUGCCCUUGUGGGGGUUCAGUGGGUGUUCCCAGAGUUUGUGAAGGAGGCGCUAUUCAGUUGGAGGGGCCCAUUUGUGGGGAAAAAGAGGAAAAAAAUUUGGAAUUCUAUCCCAUUGUGUAUUUUUUGGACGGUAUGGAAGGAAAGGAAUAGGUUAGCUUUCAAGGGAGGGGUGUUAAAUAUUCAGAAACUCAAGAAUUCUUUUGUUUGUACCUUGUGGAGUUGGGCUAGGGUGUAUAUUGGAGAGGAGUCCUCUUCUCUCUUAGGUUUUUUGGAGUGGCUAGCGGCCACUUAAGGGAGGGUAAGGUGCUUGUUUUUUUGUGCUCUCGUUUUGAGGCAGAUUUGUAUACGUCCUGUAUGCUUGGUGGCCUUUGCCCUUUAAUAUAUUUGUGAUAUUUAUAAAAAAAAAUAUAGAUAUAUGUUAUUAAGUUUAGGUAGUGAAACAAUUAAUGUGGAUAUAAAAUUAAUGCCAAAACUUUUGAUUGAUCCUUCACAUUCUCCACAACCAAACAAAGGAUAUAAGAAAAAUAAAGAAAGAAAUUUAGGGUAGCUUGAUUUUUUGUUCUCAUCUUGUUGUGAAGUUAAUAGAGGAAUGCUUAGGUUGGUGCUCAAUAGUUAAGUGACACCAGGGUAUAAUGAUUCUUCCAAUUGUGUAAACAUUAUCCGCUUUAAUUUCAAUGGAUCAUCAUCACUUUAAAUUGCAUCCACAUGGUUAAGAGCAACUCAUAUGUAUAUAAUAUCAUGAAUUUCUUCUUAUUCGAUAUGGAAUAUCAAAUUAGGUAUUGUAUAAGCGUUUCAACUCAAAUGACUUGGCUUAAUGUAUACUCAAAGCCAUGACAAAGGAACGUACAUGUAAUAAAGUGAAAAUUAAACCUUGUCGCCCUUCUAUCUCUAGUAUGAAACACAACUCCAUUAGCCCUUAAACAUCUGCAAAAAAAGAUAUACACAUCUGUUACAUUAAUUAAAAUAAAUGAUGCAAAAAGAGACUCUACAUGUCCAUGUACAUAAUUUGAUUAGAUUUGUUAUAUAUAUAGACAGAGAGAAAAAAAAACUGCUUAGAUUAAGGAUCUCAUUAAUUAAUACCUAGAAAAUAUAAAAUAAUAAGAAAAGAUUAGAAGGUGUGAAUCAUAAGAUAAAACUACAUUUUUGAAUUAGAUUCAUCGAAAGAUGGCAUAUUGUAUGAACAUUUGUACUCUAUAUAUAAAAAUUCAUAUUAUGGUUGAGAUGUAUUAAUUUGUCAUAUUUUUGGAAAAUUAAAGUAAUGAGUAAUUACACUAAAUUAAAUUAUUGACCUUAUUAAUCAAUACCUCAAGAGUAUAAAAUAGUAAGAAAUGAUUAAUACAAACUUCAUUGAAAUAUUUUUAUACACAUUGUGUAAAUAUUCUUAUUUAAUAAAAGUUUAUAUGUCAUUAAAUAAAUAGAGAAUUUUAACAUUAAUUGCAAUGCUAAGUAGAGGAGAUCCCAUAUUUAAGUUGUUGAUUAAGGCUUAUUUGAUAAAACUUAAUAUAUAUUACUUAAUAACUUAAGUUGACUUUAAGUUAGAUAAUAUUUAAGUUAUUUCCUUAAAAUUUAUUAUUUAAUAUUUACUUUCAGUGUUAAAGUUAUUUGAUAAAGCUAAUUUAAAAAUCAUUUUAAAUUUUCAAAUUGUCAUAUUUACCUUCAUUAAUUUGAUAACUAGAUGCAGAUAAAUGAAAAAAAGAAAUGAGAUUAAGAAUAAGUUAAUUAUUUUGAUUUAACACUUAAAAUUAAAAGUAACUUUAAAAUAUAAUAUUAAGUUAUUUUAUCAAAUAUAUUUAAUAAUUAAAUUAAGUUAUUAAGUCAAUGACUGAUUACCAAACACCCUAUAAGACCUAGAAAAUCGAAUGAGUUUUAAUAGUAUUCAGGAUGGGUAUGACUAGGUGGUGGUUCAAUGUUGAUUAAUCAUAAUUCAAUCAAGGCAAAAUAUGUAACAAAUACAUGUCAAACUGCACCAUCCAAAUGGGCGCCAAGAAUGUUACAUUUGACAAAUGACAAAUGCCAUUAAACCUUUACAGCUAGCAAUUAGAAGAUCACUCUCUUCUUGUAUCUCUCUUUUUCUCCAAACUCCAGGAGGAAAAACUCGAACUCCAUUAUUUUGAUCACAGAAAACAUGGCAAAAAAGUGUGUUGUACUUCAUCUUGAAGCUCAUUAACUUCAUCUUAAUUUGAUCCAAAUUGCAGAAACAUUCGAAACUCCAUGAAUCUAUGGUGCCUUGGUGGCCUACAUUCAUAUAACUGGGGACACUUUGGUUUGCACUACAAUGACCCCCAAACAUGGUUUGUAGAGACUUUAUCAAAAUCACUAGCUUCAAAAGACUAAGGAAAGAAAAAUGUUCUCAAUGAAAACUUGGAGUCGAAUUGCAGAUAAAGACCUAAAACUCCCACUCAAUGUGUUUUAGGAAUUGUUCUUUCAUGGGGAUAAGCUGUUUGGUUUGUACAUGUCUCCUUGGUGAUACUUAGAGAUUGGUGAAGUAUACGUUUCCUUUGUGAUCUGGUUUGUAUCUGGGCAGAUGAAUGUUCAUGCCAGGUUCAUAUAUGUUUAUGAUAUAUGUCACCCUGGAAGGAUCUAGAUCAAGGGGAUGAGUUUGAAAAGCUUGAGUAGGUUUAAAAUGUUCCGAGAAUUGGUGAGCAUGAUAUAUAUCAACAUAUUGCAGAAGACAACAGAGCUUCUGAAAUAUGUCAGAUUCAAUAGUAGGACAUCUUAUCAGCUGUCACUUACUGUAAUUCUAUGCUCUCAAUAUUCAUUUGUUGAAGAAGAAAAAAAAAUUGCUUUAACACUAUUCAAUUACAGGAGAAUGUUCAAUUAUAGAAGAAAAUAAUAUUCGCUAGUCUCUUUCAACUGAAUCAACAUGCAGAGAAAGCAGUCAGGUGACCAGUUAUUCACAUAAUAACUUACAUACAUUGUCUCUCUACCUCUACUUGUUACUCAUCAGCCAAGCUUACAGUAAUAUAAGCUUGGGUUCAUCUCUCUAUGCCACUGAUGAAAACUCCACAUGGGCUUUGCCUUUCUGGUGAUUUUGCAUUUGGAUUCCAACCCUCUCCAAGUGAAGUGGACUUAUUCCUUCUUGCUAUCUGGACUGCAAAUGGAAGUUAACCGGUGCCAAGAGGAUCAAAAGUUGGGCUUACCACCAAUAGACGGCUUGUUCUCUAGAGGCUAAGAUAUGUGGAAGACAGACUGGUAAUGUGAGCAGCGAACCAGUGCAUGGUGCCAUGCUUGGAGAUGGAAAUUGCAUACCAGUGUAUGGGAGAGCUUCAAGCACCCGACUAAUACCAUAUUGCCAACCCAGGGAUUGGUGUUGGAGCCUACUGUGCAGUUGCUAUUUAUGAGGACCUGAGGUUUCCAAAUGGAACUGGAAGCUGUUGGAGGAAAAGACUUACCUCUUUCAAAUGGGAGGUUGGAUCAAACUGCUGUUUCCAGAAGUGCUCUAAUCAAGAUAUUGAAGUCCAGUGAACUAACUUCAGGCAGAGGCAACCAAAAUAAAGCAAUUCUAAUACUCUCAGUCCUCUUAGGCCCCUCUGUGUUCUUCUUCUUCAUUUCUCUGGCUGCAAUUUCUCUAGUUUUCUACUGCUUGAACCUCAAAAAUCUGCAGCUUUAUCACAGAAUCCUGAGUACAAGCGAUGGUAGAAGCCUUUGGCACUGUCUAUAAAGGGAUAUUACCAUCAGGUUCUGGAAAUUCUGUUGCUGAAAGAAGUUGGAGAAGGUGGUGGGAGAAGAUGAGAAAGAAUUCAAAGCAGAAGUGAAUGUGAUAGGCCAACUCACCAUAAGAAUCAAGGACACUAGCUGCGUUACUGUUGUGAGGGUGAACACUGAAUACUGGUGUUUUUUUUUUAUGCACAAUGGCUCUUUAUCAAGGUUCCUUUCUGGAGGCGCCCAAGGACUUGUGUACCUACAUGAAGAAUGCAGUAAACAGAUCAUCCAUUGUGACAUAAAGCCCUCAGAACAUAACUCUUGGAUGAUUCUUCUACAGCCAAAGUUGCAAACUUGGACUGGGAAAGCUUCUGAUAAGCAACCAGACUAGAACACUCACAGGCAUCAGAGGGACUAUGGGGUAUAUUCAGACAACUCGGGCAGCCUAUGUCUCUUAUAAUAACACAUUGUGAAGCAUCAGCUCAAUGCCGGGGUUCAAUCUGCAAAGCAAGGGAUUCAUCAAUGUUUCCUUCAAACUAAAUGAUAAGGAACAGAAAUGGAUCAUUCUGCAUUUUCAGUGGUGUUUGUUAUAGCAUUUAUACAAGAACUCUAGGGGUUUCUAUGUAUAACUUCAUUCCCAUUUUGUAUAAUCCAAAUCUCUUCAAUCGAUUAAAUGUAUAAAUGAAUCCUAUUCAUUGUUUGGAGUAACAACAAAAUUCUGGAAGACUGGGAAAGUUUCAACACUGGAGAGAAGACAAAAUGACAAGACCAUAAAUUCUGGAAGAGGGCUUUGCUUUCUAACCAUUACCAUAAUUUUUGAGCUCAACCCGGAUGAGUAAAUUAUAUUUCAGAAUGUUCAGGAGAUAAUUCUAAAGUGAUGAACCUUCUACUCACAGUUUCUUGUUCUUCUUGAACAGAGCAAUGAACAUCAAUAGUUCAGCACCCAGGAAUCUCCCCUUCCUCCAAUUCCCCCACUGGGAAAAGUCACCUUUCCAGUUAAGAAAAUCAUCAGGAUUAAUUUGAGCAAAACAUCAGAGUAUACAUCAAGAAAGCCUUGAUCAAAAUCAAAAUACAUCAAGAGCUGCCAUUUUCUUCUAUUUCCUCUUCCCUGAAUGGAAUGUCUUUUGGACUGAGGUGAUCAAUGGUAACAGUCUAACAUACUCCUUAAGCUCCGAUUGAGGUCAACGGGGAUUGGCACAUUUCAUGAUUGGCAAACAUGAAUCUCAGGAUAAUCAACAAGUCAACAACUAUCAAUCAGUAAGGAAAAGGAAAUACCUUUGGAUAUUUACAAAUAAAAAAUUUGAGAGAGUCCAGCUGCUCUGUACAGAAAGGCUUGAGCUUAUUCCAUGGCCAGGCUUUAGAUGGUUCUGAAUUAAGGAUGAGAGGGUUGAGUUUUCUUUCAUUCUGCAAUAAGAUUAAAAACAUCAAUGAAACGCUAAAAGUUUAUAUAUAGAAGCCCUUCUAAAGAUAAGAAUUGGUAAGAGAGCCCACCCAUGGUCUAGUAAAGCAACAUCUGUUAGAUAAGUAACCACCAUUCUAUUGUCCAACUAAUGCAUUUAGAUCUAAGAUAAGAUAUGGAAAAAUAGUCGAAAAUAGUUAAAGACAGUCCAAAAACUCAUUUGACUAAUAAUUUUCUAAAAACAGUAACAUAAAACCAGGAUGAAGAAUCCACCCCUCUACCUGACACCACUUCAAUACCAAAUAAAAUGUUAUGAUGACCAUUUAUGGUCUUAAGAGACAGUGGAUGUUGUUUGGGCUCAAGACCUAAGACAAGCCAAAAAUCAAGAAGAAAACAACAUCAAAAUUGGCACAGAAACAAGUACAUCAACUAUCUAAUAAAGAGAUUUAUGCAUGUAACAAAUGCAAAUGAAAUAUGAUCCAAGAUUUUCAUGGAUUAAACAAAAAUUAUUUGAAAUAUGAUCCAAGAUGGCAAAAUAGAAGGAUAAGGUCACAGACAGGACAAUAUUAAAAGAAAUUAUUAUUUUUCUGACCUGAAAAUCGAGGCAUUCAGAACAGUACAAGUUUGUAAGUAGUCCAUGGAAACCAGGGAACAUAUGCAGACGUUGUAUUCUAUUGCAUAAGGCAAACACUCAAUACUUACAAGCAUAAUCAUGCCCAGAAAGCCAUGAAUCCCUUUCUGUUUUGCUUUUUUACCUAUUCUCAUCUCUUAUGGCCAGAAGUGCCCAGGAUGAUACAACCUCACCAAAUAAGUUAGAAACCAGCCCAUUCAGCAGGUUGAGUAGCCAGCUUGCCCUCAAUCUUCUUUGAGUCAACAAACAGCUGGGCAUUAUUGCCUCCAAUGGAGGGUCUGGAAAUAUUAGAGCCGGCAGCAGGGGUGGCUGUAAAACUCUCUGUUCCAAAACCCCAAGUUUCAGGGCCAGAAGUUCCUUCUGUGGCUGGUUUGUUGUGAUGGCCAUUUCGGGUCCUAACAGACUUGCUAUUGUUGUCUGGGCACCUGCCUCAGAGAAAGCCUGCCAAAGAUUAGAGUCUGGGCCAGGGGAAACGGAUUUUCUUUGCUGGAGUUCCCAGUCUGUUGCUUCAAUCUUUUCUCUGUGCUGUUACGAGAAGAAAACCUAUCAGACACAUGAAUGGGUACAAAGAGGUAAACUUCAGGUUUUGGUUGUAUUGAAAAGCACAGGAAACUUCACAAGAGGCAAAUUAUACCCCAGGCUUAUUGAAGAAAAAUAAAGUACAAUUGACUUACCCAAAUGUCUACUUUCUCAUUUAUAGGUUUCCUCCUAAACAAAUCCCCACAUCUAGGACAGGAAAAGGAAGAAACUGGGAGUCGACAUUUUUUCAACCAAAAGCACUAACUUAUCAAAAAACAUAGUUUUCCAUUCAACCUCGGGAGCUGUACUUUCUGAUAUUGUCUUCUUCAAUGCCCAUUUCUUCAGGCUUCUUAAAGUGCUUAUGAUUGGUGGAGGUGCUUCCAAAAUCACACAACUUCCAUAAUCCAUUAGGGCCCAAUGGAAGAUUCUCAGCAUUUAUAUAAGAACUUCAGGGUUUAUACAUAUGAUCAUGUUACAGUAUAAAUCAUAGUGAACUGG